rnacentral:lncRNA from 1 species
UUCUUCGAAAAGAAGAAGUGGUGCCGAGGUUAGCGUUGCCAGAUAUAUGACGGAAUGAAUCUUCACUCAUUAUGCUUAAUUAUACCUCUUUGCUAUAACUGAGUACAAUAUGACUUGAGACUUUUUAUUAGCCUCCUUAUAGUCAAGUAUAAUAAUACUAUGACUUGAGACUUUUGAUGGCCUCCCCUUUUUGUUACCUUUCAAUGAUCUUAGCAUAUGAAGCAAACAACAAAUUAGUAUGUGCAUCAAUUUACAGCAAAUAAAGGAAUUCUCCUCCAAGAAGAACGAUACUCAUGACUAUUAAAUAUACCUCCUGGUUCCAUUAUCACUAAUACCAAACAUCCAGCAAGCACAACUCUAAUACCAAACAUUCAGCAAGCACAACUCUUACAACUUGGUAAGAUGAGAGGAAGAGGCUGCUAGCUGGCAACUGGGCCAUGUCCUCCCACAUCACACACAGGGGCAACAAUCACCACUAUCAACCACUGUAAUUCAGCGAACCAUAACACUCGGUCCAUGAGAGGCCCCUCAUUGGGUGAUAUUUGGCACCGCUCGGUAUUGUGAGGAUGGCAGUCCAUGUAACCUUCACUUGUAGCUCAUAGGAACCGUGAGUGCAAACAUGCACUUCAUCAGGGUGUUGUAGAGUAACAUGAGUGCCUUCAUCCUCAUCAUUAUCAAAAAUACAAACAUGGACCAAAAACUUUUCAUCAUCGUCCCAUGUAGGUAUAGGGAUAACUACCAAAUUACGACUCAAGAGAAUAUGGAGCCAUCAUCUCCGACUAAUAUCCCGCUGCAAUUCAUUGCUCUACCAUUAUAUAGAAUAAUAUGGGUCUCGGCAUUUCUAGUCCCAGCUGAUACUUCGCCAACGAAAGGGGCAUAGGGCGGACCGUUCAGAAUGUUGAUUUGGAGGUUAGCCGCCACUGGAUGUUUAACAGGUGCAAAUACUAAUUCCACUGUACUGAGCCAACUAGGUAGCAUCAUAGUUAUGGGUCCAGUGUCAAAGGUGCGGGACUCGAUUACGCCUUUGCUAAAGUCUUCAUCGUCAGGAUCACCCUUCACCUUCAGGUUGAACUCAAAAUGUAUAUUAUCAAAUGCAACUAAUCCUCGACGUGGACCUGUCAAUGCUAACAUAUCCUCCUGCAAGUAAUUUAUAGAAAAGGUCACAACAGGCCUACGUAGUUGAACAAACUAUGUAGCUAGCUGGACAUGAAAAUCAAAGCACACUUGACAAGUCAGACAGAUUCAAACAGUUUGAAGAUAUGCUGUUUAAAUAGCUUGGCGAGCAUCGAUAACUUAUGUAAUUCUGUUGCCGCACUGCUUUAGUGCCUUUAAAUUGCUACCAGCAGCCAGAUAUUUGUGGCUUGCAUAUCUUAUAUUAUGGGACUGAGGGAGUAGUAUACAGAUGGACAAACUAUGUACUCCUACAUAGUUUCUUUUAUUUCCAGUAUAGAAGCCAUAUUUUACAGCAUGACGCCAUGACAAAAUUUAAACAAGCGUAGGUUUGGCAAUAACACCCAUUAUUACAGCACUUACAUCGACAGAUCAAUCCACAACUAUUUAUUUCUACAAGAAAUUGAAGUGUACCAAUGUGAAAUCAAUCAUGGUAUUUGCAACUAGAAACCAAAAGAACUACUAUGAAGCUUAAUUAGGCUUAAGUAAGCAGCUGUCAAUCUAAAUAGUUUGGCAGGAGAAAAAGGGGCGAACUACCUUGGAGCUGAUGAUCUGGGGAUCGUCUCGCUCGCGUCUGAACAAAUAGACGCAUCUGUAGUCGAUGCUAUCUCUCGCAACAACGGUACCGAACACACUGACCGGGUAACCCAGAUCGGAUUCGAUUAUCUUACGGAAACGACAUUGUACGACGUCUCCGCCCAGAACUCCCACAGCUGCGGCGUUACAUCCUCAAGCAGCGGCCCGAGGCCAACCUUGGCUGCAAGCAAAGCAAAAUCAGGGACAGGAGAUAUACACCCCAGAUCAGGAAAACCAUUUCAGGAGAAAUUUAAACUAAAAUGGUUGUAAAUUGGUAAGUAGUGGAGAUACUGACACUCUCUGUCGAGGUCGAAGCCGGCGAGGUUGACGCCGCUGAAGCGGGUGAGGACGCGGGCUCUCUUCUUGGGGUCGUACUCGGUGAUGCGGUCGCGGCACGCCGUGUGGAGGGCUACGAUCUCCGACGGCAACUUCAGAUCGAUCUCCUCGUCGUCGUCGCUGUAACAGAUUGUCAUGGGAACCUGGCAGCUUCGAUCUCAUCGGCGCGGGGAAUCCGGCGGUGGUGCCUGACGUCGCCGUCGCCAUCGCCGCGCCGCAUCGAUCGACCGAUCCAACCCUUUUUUUCUAGAAGAAGAAGAGGAUGGCCAGCCCUACAAGAGCCUGCACUGAGCCACUGACGCACCGCGAGUUAGUGGGCCUUAAAACCUACUCCCUCCAUACGAAAAUACUUGUCUGGAAAUUGAAUAAAAAUGAACGGAUACAUAUAAAUACAUCUAUUUCUUCGAUAAGUAUACCUAGACGAGAAAGUAUUUAUUCCAGUCAUGCCAGAAUGCCUUAUUUCCUUGAAAAAAAGCCAGAACGCCUUUACUACUCUCCUGUAUAGACUGUAGUAGAAGGAAGAUGCACUAGGGUUUGGUUCCUCUCGCCACCAUCGACGGCGGUGAGGUUCUUCCGUGCAAGUUCGACGGCGGUGAGGUUCUUCCGUGCAAGUCACCGGCUGCCAUCACUGGUCUUUUUCUUGGGAUGAUUAAGGGGCUGGACAGUCCUGCUAAUCUCUACUUACGUAAAAAGAACAUAAGAUAUCCAUUUCACCUUUCUUUCGUCCAACCUUAUAUAUACAAUUUUAUGUACUAAUAUGUACGUAUUUCACAAAUAUAACAAAAAUUAUGGACUCAUAUACAAUUUUUUCAUGUAACUUGUUUUGAAAUAUCAUAGAUAUAGUGUAUGAACAUAUUUAAAAUAAUAAAAUAGUAUAUAUAAUACCGCAUGGUAGUAUAUAUAUGUCUCAUUCUUUUUUUAUCCUCUUUGAUUUUUUCCUACCAAUAGUAAGCAUGCACGUGCAACGCAUGUCUCAAACGUAAAACAGGUGAAUUCACAUAAUAUAAAAAAAAUAAACGUUUUUAAAAAUAUAAAUCAAAUGGAUACACAAUGUUUGAUGUCGAUCAAAUUGUAUUUUCAAAAGCGAGACACAAUAGUGGUUACGUUGCUGCAUAGAGUAAUAGCAGGAAAAUAUUGUCAUUUAAAUAAAAUCAGCAAUUAUUUAUUAACGCGGUAAUAUAGGCAUGUAGUAUAGUCUUCUCUUCGAGUGUAGCCAGGAAAAAAAAGUAUAAACUGCCUUACGGUGCAAUUAUAUUGUCCAAGAUGCUUAAUUCUCGAAUCUUAUUUUAUUCUACUAAUCUGCAUAGCAAAAUAUAUAUUUGUACUAAUUUGGAUCAAAUUAUAUAUAUUUUUUGGUUGUGUGGACUGCCAAAAUUAUAUAGCUACCUACUAUGGAUAAUAGGAAAUAGAAGAUGAUAUGUGACUACAACGACUUUUAUAUCAAAUUAAGAUGAUUUACAAGAACUAAUUGAAAUGUAAAAGGGCUAAAAGAAAUCCAAUAAUUAUCAUGAUAAAAAAUAUUUAUCCGGUUUUGUAUGUGUUUAUGCGUUGGCAACCAUACUAACUUACAAUGAUGUAAGACGCUUAUAGAAACUGAAAUGAGUUAUGAAGAAAAAUAAAAAUGGAAGGAAAAGUAUUCUAGAGUACUCCCUCCGUUCAAAAUUACUUGUCUCGAAUAUGGAUGUAUCUAGAACUAAAAUAUGUCUAAAUACAUCCAUUUCCGCGACAAGUAAUUCCGAACGGAGGGAGUAUUUGUCAAGUUUAACCUUAUCAAGCUUUCAUGUCAGCUUCUAAAUUACAAAAAAAUGAUGAAUCCUCAAAUAAGAAAAAGCCAACAAUUUGGAACAUGCUACAAAACUGGUGAAGAUAGAAAGCAUUCAUCCUAUUUUCCAUGUCGUAAGGAGUAGCUUCAGCAUACAUUUGUAAUAGUGUAAUACCUGAUCCGGAAAAAGUUGUUCAUUAUUAUUAUUGGAGGAAAGAGGCACGUAGACAAAAAAGAGAAGCGGUGCAAAUAAGGCCUUAAACAGCAUGUCUUCAAGUUUGAUGACUGCAGAUAUGUUGGAUCAUUCGAAACUGCACAAGUAUAUAAGAAUAAAUAUAUGUGCCAAAAUAACGAAAGGUAUUUGGUUUCUCUGUCAUGAAAUAAAAUAAAUCCGACUGAGUACAGUUUAUAUGAUUUCUGUGUACCAAUGUACGGCAGUUGUAUUAGGACAGAUCCUUUGAAGGAUCUAUUUAUUAGAACUUAGCCGGAUUAGUUUCUUCAUUGGAUCCUUCUGUAUGGUAAAAUUCUCUUUACUGGAACGCAGUAGAGAUUGCAUACCUUUACAGAACAGCGAGAGAUAUUCUCUAACAACAGUUACGAAGUCAUGUGACCCGUUUUAGAUGUAUAGAGUCAUGUAACUGAAAUAGUAAUACAUCUUCAAUAUCUUGCCUCCUACUAAAUAUUACAUAAUUUACUGAAUUGCUGUGCAAUUAUGUUAAAGUGACGCGUGUAAAGUUUUCUCUAAGAAUGAAUCAUAUAUUCUGAUUUCCAACAUAUCCCUAGAGAUAGUGCCUAGGCAGGUGCAACCCACCUUAAUUCCAGGUAAAGCAACGUCAUACGUAAAAUACACACUAAUCAAAUAGCACAAAUAAGGCAAUUCUAAUCAAGGGGAUGGUGUUACCUCUUGAUACGGUCUAGUUUAAUGCAUAUGGUGGUACGAAGUAAAGCCCAAGGAAGCCGACAUGAACAUGAGAAGUAAUCAUGGUAAAUAGACUCUGCAUCUUGAGUUCUUCAGCAUCCCUCUAAAUCCUACUUUGUAAGACAAGAUUGUUGCAUUCUUAUGUACGUGCCAUAUAUAAGUACACAUUUUCAGUAUAGCAAUUGACAACCUUAGAUAAUCCCAAAUCUAUAAUUCUAGAUUGCUUGAAGCCCCAUGAUUCUUAUUUAAUAUGUAAUGCACGUGCACCCACUGAAUAGACACUUUGUCGGCGUGGAUGCUGUGAACGGAGCUGAAGUCAACGCGGAUGCCGAUGGUUGCCGGAGAGCAUGCCCUGGACGUGGAUGAAGUCGUCGCAGUAGCGGCAGAAGAGCGUCUGGCCUCCAGGCAGAAGACGAUGGCAGCGAUAGCACAUGUGUUCCCGGAGGAAGACGAAGCUCCUCGCGCUUCCCCCAUCGUGGCUAGCAUGCAUGAUGGCGGCAGGCGGCUCGCGAUUAGCUUCCUAAUAGGAUGGAUGCGUCCGAGAUAAGUUUUUUAAUAGGAUGGAUUUGUCUGAGAUUAGUUUCCUAAUAGGAUGGAUGCACUCUGAUUUAGUUUUUUAGAAUAGGAUGCAUCCGUGAUUAUUAGUUCCCUAAUUGCUCAGGCGUGGAGUUUCAUAUUUUCCUCCACGGUGGAGUACGGUCAGUCAAUGUAAAUUGCUAAGUGCACACAGAAAAUGGUUUAGGUUAAGGCUAACCGUUAGAUUGAUUUUAGUGGGCCUAAUCGUGCGGUGGUAUUGAAUCUGUGUAUGCUUUGUAGGGUGUGCUUAAAGAAGUUCUUGUUUGAUUGUUUAAUAGUAGUAUAGAUAUUUGAUUUUUCUCCCAUCCAUUCAAUUGUCCCAUGUUUAUUAACUUACCAAAAUAAACACAUAUUAUGUUGGCAAGUCAUUAAAUUCUUACCAAAUAAGUGCUUAACAAUAAAAUGGCAGAGAAAUCAUGGCGAUUGCAUACAAAGAUUUGGUAAGAUUUUAGUGUAUCAAUAUAAUAAUAUACGUGGAUUCUAAAGAAAAUACAAUAAUAGACGUGCAGUCAGGAAAGAAUGCUAUUAACACUCCUGAUCAUGUGAAGAAUGCUAUUAAGGCGACACUGAUUAUUCAAGUGGAGGCCUUCAGCGAGAAGUAUUUGGGCUUGCCCAUGGCUAUGGGGCGUAUCACAAGUGGGACUUUCGAUCAUAUGGGAGAAAGAGCUCGUGGGAAAAUCCAAGGGUUGUCGGAGAAGCUUUUAGCUUGUGCUGGACGGGACAGUCAUACAAGCUAUCCCUACUUACCCAAUGAGUACUUUUUUGUUGAACAAGAAGAUUUGCAAGAGUUUAACCUCUCCUAUGGCAAAAUAUUUUUGGACUAGUUCUCUUGACAAAAGGAGUAUGCAUUGGGUGUCUUGGAAAGAGUUAGCUACACCCAAGUGUAAUGGGGGUAUGGGCUUCAAAGAUCUGCAGCUAUUCAAUCUUGCAAUGUUGGGAAAACAUGGAUGGCAGUUCUUAACAAACCGAAAUUUCUUGUGUGCAAGAGUUCUCAACGGGCGAUACUUCCCACAUGCCGAUUUUAUGCAAUCAACGGCACCCAAGUCGGCCUCGACUACUUGGAAGGCCAUCAUUGUGGGAAGAGAUGCCCUUAAAGUUGGGUUGAUUUCACGCGUAGGAGAUGGCUCUACCAUCUCAGUGUGGACUGAUAAAUGGAUCCCAGCUACCAUCUCUAUGACUCUUACCUCCAGACCAUCAAACACAGGAGUCGAGAAGGUUUCGGAUUUGAUAAAUACAAUAACCUGGAGUUGGAGACAGGAUCUGGUCCAGGAUACUUUUGUUCCCUCCGAUGCGGCUGCCAUUUUGAAUAUACCUAUUCGACAAUGAGGGGGACAUGAUUUCCCUGCGUAGGCUUUUGAUAGAUCCGGCAACUACACUGUAAAAAGUGCAUACCGUGCUCUAGUGACUCAGAAAGAGCGAUUCGCUCUAGAAGAAGGGACGGCCACCGAGACCUCGGAGACUGGAAAACAGAUGUGGAAAGCCUUAUGAAAACUUAAUGUGAUUCCAAAAGUUAGAGUGUUCUGGUGGAGAGUUCUUAGGGGAAUUUUGCCUGAUGAAAGUACACUCAAAAAUCGUCAUAUUGCGGACAUCAAUAGCUACAGAGUGUGUUCGGCUGGUGAAGAAGACCUGCAUCAUGCUCUUAUCUCUUGCUUACAUGCUCGUCCAUUUUGGGAAGAGGCAUGUGCAUGGUUCAAUCUUCGACUACCAAACCUCUCUCAAGAUUCAUGGGCACGUGAUAUCACAUGUGACCCAAGCUUCUCUGCGGAUGACCGGGCAAAUAUCACAACUAUUAUGUGGUUGAUAUGGCAUUCCAGAAAUCAGAUUAACAUGGAGAGGUUGUUGGGGAACGUAGUAUUUCAAAAAAAACCUACGCAUGCGCAACAUCCAUCUAGGUGAUGCAUAGCAACAAGCGGGGAGAGUGUGCCCAAGUACCCUCGUAGACCGAAAGCGGAAGCGUUUAGUAACGCGGUUGAUGUAGUCAAACGUCUUCGUGAUCCAACCGAUCCAAGUACCGAAUGCAUGACACCUCCGCGAUCUGCACAUGUUCAGCUCGGUGACAUCCCUCGUACUCUUGAUCCACCUGAAGCCGAGGGAGAGUUUCGUCGGCACAACGGCGUGAUGAUGGUGAUGAUGUAGUUACCGAUGCAGGGCUUCACCUAAGCACUACAACGAUAUGACCGAGGUGAAAAUCUAUGGAGGGGGGCUGCUACCUCUUGAGCACUGCGUUUUUUGACAGUUUUCCCUUGAAGAGGAAAGGGUGAUGCAACAAAGUAGCAUAAGUAUUUCCCUCAGUUUUUGAGAACCAAGGUAUCAAUCCAGUAGGAGGCCACGCUCAAGUCCCACGCACCUACACAAACAAAUAAGAACCUUGCAACCAAUGCGAUAAAGGGGUUGUCAAUCCCUUCACAGUCACUUACGCGAGUGAGAUCUGAUAGAUAUGAUAAGAUAAUAUUUUUGGUAUUUUUAUAAUAAAGAUAAAAGUAAAGAUUGCAAAUAAACGGUAAUGGAAAUACGGUAGAUUAAUAUGAUAGAGAAUAGACCCGGGGGGCAUCGGUUUCACUAGUGGCUUCUCUCAAGAGCAUAAGUAUUACAGUUGGUGAACAAAUAACUGUCGAGCAAUUGAUAGAAAAGCGAAUAAUUAUGAGAAUAUCUAGGCAUGAUCAUGUAUAUAGGCAUCACGUCCGUGACAAGUAGACCGACUCCUGCCUGCAUCUACUACUAUUACUCCACACAUCGACCGCUAUCCAGCAUGCAUCUAGAGUAUUAAGUUCAUAAAAACAGAGUAACGCUUUAAGCAAGAUGACAUGAUGUAGAGGGAUAAACUCAUGCAAUAUGAUAUAAACCCCAUCUUUUUAUCCUCGAUGGAAACAAUACAAUAUGUGUCGUUUCCCUUUCUGUCACUGGGAUCGAGCACCGCAAGAUUGAACCCAAAGCCAAGCACUUCUCCCAUUGCAAGAAAGAUCAAUCUAGUAGGCCAAACCAAACUGAUAAUUCGAAGAGACUUGCAAAGAUAAUCAAUCAUACAUAAAAGAAUUCAGAGAAGAUUCAAAUAUUGUUCAUAGAUAAACUUGAUCAUAAACCCACAAUUCAUCGGAUCUCGACAAACACACCGCAAAAGAAGAUUACAUCGAAUAGAUCUCCAAGAGAAUCAAGGAGAACUUUGUAUUGAGAUCCAAAGAGAGAGAAGAAGCCAUCUACAUAAUAACUAUGGACCCGAAGGUCUGAAGUAACUACUCACACAUCACCGGAGAGGCCAUGGAGUUGAUGUAGAGGCCCUCCGUGAUCGAUGCCCCCUCCGGCGGAGCUCCGGAAAAGACCCCAAGAUGAGAUCUCUUGGGUACAGAAGGUUGCGGCGGUGGAAUUAGAUCGUGGUGCUCCUGGAUGGUUUCGGGGUACGCAGGUAUAUAUAGGAGGUAGAAGUAGGUCGGUGGAGCAACGAGGGGUCCACGAGGAUGGAGGGCGCACCCAGGGGGUAGGCGCGCCCCCUGCCUCAUUGCCUCCUCGUUGAUUGCUUGACGUCCAUUCCAAGUCCUCUGGAUCACGUUUGCUCAGAAAAUCACGUUCCCGAAGGUUUUAUUCCGUUUGGACUCCGUUUGAUAUUCCUUUUCUGCGAAACAUUGAAAUAGGCAAAAAAACAGCAAUUUGGGCUGGGCCUCCGGUUAAUAGGUUAGUCCCAAAAAUAAUAUAAAAGUGUAUAAAUAAGCCCAUUAAACAUCCAAAACAGAAUAUAUAAUAGCAUGGGACAAUCAAAAACUAUAGAUAUAUUGGAGACAUAUCAAGCAUCCCCAAGCUUAAUUCCUGCUCGUCCUCGAGUAGGUAAAUGAUAAAAACAGAAUUUUUGAUGUGGAAUGCUACCUAGCAUAUUCUUCAAUGUAAAUUUAUUUAUUGUGGCAUGAAUGUUCAGAUCCAAAAGAUUCAAGAUAAAAGUUUAAUAUUGACAUAAAAAUAGUAAUACUUCAAGCAUACUAACUAAGCAAUCAUGUCUUCUCAAAAUAACACGGCUAAAGGAAGUUAUCCCUACAAAAUCAUAUAGUCUGGCUAUGCUCUAUCUACACCACACAAAAUAUUUAAAUCAUGCACAACCCCGAUGACAAGCCAAGCAAUUGUUUCAUACUUUUGAUGUUCUCAAACUUUUCAAUCUUCACGCAAUAUAUGAGCGUGAGCCAUGGAUAUAGCACUAUAUGUGGAAUAGAAUGGUGGUUGUGGAGAAGACAAAAAAGGAGAAGAUAGUCUCACAUCAACUAGGCGUAUCAACGGGCUAUGGAGAUGCCCAUUAGUAGAUAUCGAUGUGAGUGAGUAGGGAUUGCCAUGCAACAGAUACACUAGAGCUAUAAGUGUAUGAAAUCUCAACAAAGGAAACUAAGUGGGUGUGCAUCCAACUUGCUUGCUCAUGAAUACCUAGGGCAUUUUGAGGAAGCCCAUCACUGGAAUAUACAAGUCAAGUUCUAUAAUGUAAAAUUCCCAUUGUAUAUGAAAGUGACAACAUAAGAGACUCUCUAUCAUGAAGAUCUUGGUGCUACUUCGAAGCACAAGUGUGGUAAAAGGAUAGUAACAUUGUCCCUUCUCUCUUUUUCUCUCUUUUUUUGUUGGCCCUUUUCUCUUUUUUUUUCUUUGGUCUCUUUUUUUUUAUUUAGUCCGGAAUCUCAUCCCGACUUGUGGGGGAAUCAUAAUCUCCAUCAUCCUUUCCUCACAUGGGACAAUGCUCUAAUAAUGAUGAUCAUCACACUUUUAUUUACUUACAACUCAAGAAUUACAACUCAAUACUUAGAACAAAAUAUGACUCUAUAUGAAUGCCUCCGGCGGUGUACCGGGAUGUGCAAUGAUUCAUGAGUGACAUGUAUGAAAGAAUUAUGAACGGUGGCUUUGCCACAAAUACGAUUUCAACUACAUGAUCAUGCAAAGCAAUAUGACAAUGAUGAAGCGUGUCAUAAUAACGGAACGGUGAAAAGUUGCAUGGCAAUAUAUCUCGGAAUGGCUAUGGAAAUGCCAUAAUAGGUAGGUAUGGUGGCUGUUUUGAGGAAGGUAUAUGGUGGUUUAUGAUACCGGGGAAAGUUGUGCGGUAUUAGAGAGGCUAGCAAUGGUGGAAGGGUGCGAGUGCUUAUAAUCCAUGGACUCAACAUUAGUCAUAAAGAACUCACAUACUUAUUGCAAAAAUCUAUUAGUUAUCGAAACAAAGUACUACGCGCAUGCUCCUAGGGGGAUAGAUUGGUAGGAAAAGACCAUCGCUCGUCCCCGACCGCCACUCAUAAGGAAGGCAAUCAAUAAAUAAAUCAUGGACCGACUUCAUCGCAUAACGGUUCACCAUACGUGCAUGCUACGGGAAUCACAAACUUUAACACAAGUAUUUCUCAAAUCCACAACUACUCAACUAGUAUUCAAUGCACUUUUUGUAUGAUAGUUUUUAUUAUACCGAUCUUGGAUGCCUAUUAUAUUAGGACUAAAUUUACAAUUAAAGCAAAUUGCCAUGCUGUUUAAGACUCUCAACAUAAUAUAAGUGAAGCAUGAGAGAUCAAUAAUUUCUACAAAAUAGAACCACCGCCAUGCUCUAAAAAGCUAUAAGUGAAGCAUUAGAGAAAAAACUAUAUAGCUCAAAAGAUAUAAGUGAAGCACACAGAGUAUUCUAACAAAUUCCGAAUAAUGUGUGUCUCUCUCAAAAGGUGUGUACAGAAAGUAUGAUUGUGGUAAACUAAGAAGCAAAGACUCAAAUCAUACAAGACGCUCCAAGCAAAACACAUAUCAUGUGGUGAAUAAAAAUACAGCUUCAAGUAAAGUUACCGGUAGACGAAGACGAAAUAGGGGAUGCCUUCCGGGGCAUCCCCGACCUUAGGCUUUUGGUUGUCCUUGGAUUUUACCUUGGGGUGCCCCAAGCUUAGGCUCUUGCCAAACCUUGUUCCAUAAUCCUUCAAAUCUUUACCCAAAACUUGAAAACUUCACAACACAAAACUCAAAUAGAAAAUCUCAUGAGCUCCGCUAGUAAAAUAAAACAAACUACCGCUUCAAGGUACUGUAAUGAACUCAUUCUUUAUUUAUAUUGGUGUUAAGGGCUUGUUUGGUAGUUGCCCAGCUUCGCAAAAUCUUCAGCUCCGGCUCCGCAUGCCAGCUUCCCACUUCUAUCGGCUGAAUCAUCGCUCAGAAAAUCGUUCGGUGCCCAUCGUCCAGCUUCUAUUUUCUUAUACGGGGCGCCAACCCAGGAAGGAGCGAAGUUGGCCCAUUAAUGAGGUAAGGUGGCCCGUUCAUGAGAGAUAACAUAUCGGGAGAGGGGAGAGAGCAUGUAGCGAACCGGUACGCGCCCCUGGAGUCACUUGGCAGUGGCAUUCGUUCAUAAAUAAGGCUAACUCCAGAUCUUGUUUUUCCUGGGAUCACCCAAUACGCCGCUCCAGUUUUUUACACGUAGAACCUUAUUAGAUCCAGGAAGCCAGCUUCCGGGAGCCGGACUGUUCGGCGCAGAUCCACUGCGGAUUUUUUGGAUCGAGAAGCUAGGUAGCUACCGAACAGGCCCUAAACCUACUGUAUUCCAACUUCUCUAUGGUUUAUAAACUCUUUUACUAGCCAUAGAUUCAUCAAAAUAAGCAAACAACACACGAAAAACAGAAUCUGUCAAAAACAGAAUAGUCUGUAGUAAUAUGUAGGUUUUGACUACUUCUGGAACCUCAAAAAUUAUAAAAUAAAUUGCUGUACGUAAGGAAUUUAUAUAUUAAUCAACUUUAAAAAGAAUUAACUAAAUAUCACUCUCCAAUAAAAAUGGUAGCAAUUCUCGUGAGCACUAAAGUUUCUGUUUUUACAGCAAGAUCGCAAAGACUUUCCCCAUGUCUUCCCAAAGGUUCUACUUGGCACAAACACUAAUUAAAAGAAUAAAACCACGUCUAAAUAGAGACUAGAUGAAUUAUAUAUUACUAAACAGAAUCAAAAAGCAAGAAACAAAAAUAAAAUUGGGUUGCCUCCCAACAAGCACUAUCGUUUAACGCCCCUAGCUAGGCAUAAAAGCAAGGAUAGAUCUAGGUAUUGCCAUGAUAAUGAUAAGAUAAAUCACAAAAACUCAUCUCAUACUCCCUACGUUCAGCAGCAAGUUUUAUUUGUGGCAAGCAAAAGUAAUCAAAAGGGCUAAAUUUAAUGGGACAAAAGUCCCCAAGAUCAAGCUCGGUAGGUAUUGGUUCCUCCUUUGGCCCCUCAUAUUGCACAACCAAUUCAUCAUUAUAAGCAUUCUUUUGGAAAAAAAAGUCAUGAGCUUAUGUUCAAGAGAAAAACCUAACCCAUUAUUCUGGAUAGCAAAAUUAUUAUUAAGUUCAGAAAUCCUAUCAAUUAGAACAUCGGUAGGAACCUUUUUUCUAAGGUUUUCAUAAAAAGCAACAUGAUCUAAAGAUCGCAAGCGCAUUAUGGCUUCAUGAUAAAAAAGGAUUGCUUCUAUGGGAGGACGGCCAGCGUCUACCCUAUAAUGCGCAAAAAUUUCAUUGGCUUCUCAUAUUAUAAAUCUGAACUCAUGAGCCAAAAAGAGAGUAGCUGCUCGCUUAACAGAAGAAUGCUCAAUAUUAGAAAAUUCUAGAAAAAUCCUUUGGAUGCAAGGGUGCAUAUGAAGAAAUUGUCUUUCAAGUUCGACUAUGAGCAAAGAUAUAGCAUCCGCAAAACUACUAGUUCUAUGAAGAAUAUGAAGGAAAUAUGCCCUAGAGGCAAUAAUAAAGUUAUUAUUUAUUUCCUUAUUUCAUGAUAAAUGUUUAUUAUUCAUGCUAGAAUUGUAUUAACCGGAAACAUAAUACAUGUGUGAAUAGAUAGACAAACAGAAUGUCACUAGUAUGCCUCUACUUGACUAGCUCAUUGAUCAAAGAUGGUUAAGUUUCCUAACCAUAGACAUGAGUUGUCAUUUGAUUAACGGGAUCACAUCAUUAGGAGAAUGAUGUGAUUGACUUGACCCAUUCCGUUAGCUUAGCACUUGAUCAUUUAGUUUGUUGCUAUUGCUUUCUUCAUGACUUAUACAUGUUCCUAUGACUAUGAGAUUAUGCAACUCCCGUUUACCGGAGGAACACUUUGUGUGCCACCAAACAUCACAACGUAACUGGGUGAUUAUAAAGGUGCUCUACAGGUGUCUCCAAAGGUACUUGUUGGGUUGGCGUAUUUCGAGAUUAGGAUUUGUCACUCCGAUUGUCGGAGAGGUAUCUCUGGGCCCACUCGGUAAUGCACAUCACUAUAAGCCUUGCAAGCAUUGAUUGCGGGAUAAUGUAUUACGGAACGAGUAAAGAGACUUGCCGGUAACGAGAUUGAACUACGUAUUGAGAUACCGAUGAUCGAAUCUCGGACAAGUAACAUACCAAUGACAAAGGGAACAACGUAUGUUGUUAUGCGGUCUGACCGAUAAAGAUCUUCGUAGAAUAUGUAGGAGCCAAUAUGGGCAUCCAGGUCUCACUAUUGGUUAUUGACCAGAGAGGUGUCUCGGUCAUGUCUACAUAGUUCUCGAACCCGUAGGGUCCGCACGCUUAACGUUCAUUGACGAUAUAGUACUAUAUGAGUUAUGUAUGUUGAUGACCGAAUGUUGUUCGGAGUCCGAGAUGAGAUCACGGACAUGAUGAGGAACUCCGGAAUGGUCCGGAGAUAAAGUUUGAUAUAUGGGAUAAUAGUUUUUGGUGACCGGAAGGGUUCCGGAAAUCAGCGGAAGGGGUUCUGGAUGUUCCCGAAAUGUUUGGGUAUGAGAACACUUUAUUUGGGCCAAAGGGGAAAGCCCACAAGGUUUUUGGAAAGCGCAAAAGGAAGUUUUGCGGAGUCCAGGGGCCAGACGCCAGGGUCCCUGGCGUCUGGGUCUAGACGCCGGGAACCCUGGCGUCUGGCCCCGGAGUCCGAGAAGGACUCUUGCCUUUCAGGUGAAACCGACUUUGUGGAGGCUUUUACUCCAAGUUUUGACCCCAAGGCUCAACAAAUAAAUAGAGGGGUAGGGCUAGCACCCAAGACACAUCAAGAAACACCAAGCCGUGUCCCGGCAACCCCGUCCCCUCUAGUUUAUCCCCCGUCCUAGUUUUCGUAGUGCUUAGGCGAAGCCCUGCGGAGAUUGUUCUUCACCAACACCGUCACCACGCCGUCAUGCUGCCGGAAUUCAUCUACUACUUCGGCCUUCUUGCUGGAUCGAGAAGGUGAGGACGUCGCCGAGCCGAACGUGUGCAGAACUCGGAGGUGCCGUGCUUUCGGUACUUGGAUCGGUCGGAUCGUGAAGACGUACGACUACAUCAACUGUGUUGAUAUAACGCUUCCGCGAACGGUCUAUGAGGGUACGUAGAUAACACUCUCCCCUCUCGUUGCUAUGCAUCACCAUGAUCUUGCGUGUGCGUAGGAAAAUUUUGAAAUUACUAUGUUCCCCAACAGUGAUAUCAGAGCCAGGUUUUAUGCGUAGAUGUCAUAUGCAUGAGUAGAACACAAGUGAGUUAUGUGCGAUAUAAGUCAUACUGCUUACCAGCAUGUCAUACUUUGGUUCGGCGGUGUUGUUGGAUGAAGCGGCCCGGACCGACAUUACACGUACGCUUAUGCGAGACUGGUUCUACCGACGUGCUUUGCACACAGGUGGCUGGCGGGUGUCAGUUUCUCCAACUUUAGUUGAACCGAGUGUGGCUACGCCCGGUCCUUGCGAAGGUUAAAACAACACCAACUUGACAAACUAUCGUUGUGGUUUUGAUGCGUAGGUAAGAUCGGUUCUUGCUAAGCCCGUAGCAGCCACGUAAAAUUUGCAACAACAAAGUAGAGGACGUCUAACUUUUUUUUGCAGGGCAUGUUGUGAUGUGAUAUGGUCAAGGCAUGAUGCCAAAUUUUAUUGUAUGAGAUGAUCAUGUUUUGUAACCAAGUUAUCGGCAACUGGAAGGAGCCAUAUGGUUGUCCCUUUAUUGUAUGCAAUGCAAUCGCCCUGUAAUGCUUUACUUUAUCACUAAGCGGUAGCGAUAGUCGUGGAAGCAUAAGAUUUGCGAGAUGACAACGAUGCUACGAUGGAGAUCAAGGUGUCGCGCCGGUGAUGAUGGUGAUCAAUGAUACGUCUCCAACGUAUGUAUAAUUUUUGAUUGCUCCAUGCUAUAUUAUCUACUGUUUUGAAUGUUUAUGGGCUUUAUUAUACACUUUUAUAUCAUUUUUGGGACUAACCUAUUAACCCAGAGCCCAGUGCCAGUUUCAGUCGAAGAAAAGGAAAAUCAAACGGAGUCCAAUUGACCUGAAACUUCACGGAACUCAUUUUUGGAAGGAAAGAAGCCCAAAAGACUUGGAGUGCAUGUCGGGGGAUCUGCGAGGAGGUCACGAGGCAGGGGGGCGCGCCCACCCCCCUGGGCGCGCCCUCCACCCUCGUGAGCCCCUUGUGGCCCCCCUGACGUACUUCUUCCACCUAUAUAUCUCUAUAUACCCUAAAAACAUCGGAGGGCACAAUAGAUCGGGAGUUCCGCCGCCAGAAGCCUCUGUAGCCACCAAAAACCAAUCUAGACCCGUUCGGGCACCCUGCCGGAGGGGGCAAUCCCUCUUCGGUGGCCAUCUUCAUCAUCUCGGUGCUCUCCAUGACAAGGAGGGAGUAGGUCUCCCUCGGGGCUGAGGGUAUGUACCAAUAGCUAUGUGUUUGAUAUCUCUCUCUCGUGUUCUUGAGGUGAUACAAUCUUGAUGUAUCGCGAGCUUUGCUAUUAUAGUUGGAUCUUAUGUUUCUCCUCCCCCUCUACUCUCUUGUAAUGAAUUGAGUUUCCCCUUUGGAGUUAUCUUAUCGGAUUGAGUCUUUAAAGAUUUUAGAACACUUGAUGUAUGUCUUGCCGUGGAUAUCUGUGGUGACAAUGGGAUAUCACGUGAUUCACUUGAUGUAUGUUUUGGUGAUCAACUUGCGGGUUCCGCCCAUGAACCUAUGCAUAGGGGUUGGCACAUUUUUUCGUCGUGAUUCUCGGGUAGGAACUUUGGGGCACUCUUUGAGGUUCUAUGUGUUGGUUGAAUAGAUGAAUCUAAGAUUGUGUGACGCAUAUCGUAUAAUCAUACCCACGGAUACUUGAGGUGACAUUGGAGUAUCUAGGUGACAUUAGGGUUUUGGUUGAUUUGUGUCUUAAGGUGUUAUUCUAGUACGAACUCUAGGGUUGUUUGUGACACUUAUAGGAAUAGCCCAACGGAUUGAUUGGAAAGAAUAACUUUGAGGUGGUUUCAUACCCUACCAUAAUCUCUUCGUUCGUUCUCCGCUAUUAGUGACUUUGGAGUGACUCUUUGUUGCAUGUUGAGGGAUAGUUAUGUGAUCCAAUUAUGUUAUUAUUGUUGAGAGGACUUGCACUAGUGAAAGUAUGAACCCUAGGCCUUGUUUCAACACAUUGCAAUGCCGUUUACGCUUACUUUUACCAUUAGUUACCUUGCUGUUUUUAUAUUUUUAGAUUACAAAAACUAUUAUCUACCAUCCAUAUACCACUUGUAUCACCAUCUCUUCGCCGAACUAGUGCACCUAUACAAUUUACCAUUGUAUUGGGUGUGUUGGGGACACAAGAGACUCUUUGUUAUUUGGUUGCAGGGUUGCUUGAGAGAGACCAUCUUCAUCCUAAGCCUCCCACGGAUUGAUAAACCUUAGGUCAUCCACUUGAGGGAAAUUUGCUACUGUCCUACAAACCUCUACACUUGGGGGCCCAACAACGUCUACAAGAAGAAGGUUGUGUAGUAGACAUCAAGCUCUUUUCUGGUGCCGUUGCCAGGGAGGUGAGUGCUUGAAGGUAUAUCUUUAGAUCUUGCAAUCGAGUCUUUUAGUUUCUUGUUUUAUCACUAGUUUAGUUUAUAAAAGAAAAUUAUAAAAAAUGGAAUUAAGUUUGUCUCAUACGCUUCAUCUUUUUAAUAUCUUUUGUGAGUAUGAUGGAAAGGAUAAUUGUGCUCAAGAGCUAGAAGAAGAAAUCUAUAAAAUGUUUGGCACUAAAUUUUUGAAUGAUGAGCAUGAUUGCAAUGUUGUUAGUACGAAUUCUUUGAAUAUCCAUAAUACUAAUGAUGAUUGCACUAGUUAUGAUGAAAAUGUCUCCUAUAAACAUGUCAAUUUUUGUGGAGUGCAUUGGGUUUGUAAGUACACACCAAAUAGGGAAGAUAGAUAUUGCAAGAGGCAUAAGUACUUAGAAACUAAAUUGUUGCAAGAAAGUCUUGAUGAUUGUGCUGAAAAAUUCAAUAUUUUUCGCGCCCCUUGUGAACUUUGCAAUGAACAUGGUCAUUUAAAUCUCCAAUGCAAAUUAUGUCAUGACCGAAUCAUAUCCAAAAAUUGUGAUAAUUUGAUUACCCUUGAGCAUCAUAAAGAGCUUAGUCUUCUUUUAGGGUAUGAGGAAAUGAAACGUAUAACUGAGGGUAUUCCAAAGUUUAAUCUUGUUAAACAUCUUGGAUUUGAUCUAGAGGAAAUUUAUAUGUAUUUUGCGGUGAAUUGUAUUGAAAAUCCUUAUAUUGCCAACUACAUAAAGAAAAGAAAACAAAUAGAAGAUGAAGAGAAUACUAAUGAAAGGGAAGAAACUUCCCAAUAUCCUCCUAUUAUUUCUUAUGAUGAAUCAGGUAACGAGGAGGAGCCUCCUAUUCAACCAAUCUCAUUAAUAAGGAUCUCCAAAAAGAGGAUUGAACCCACACAUGAUGUGGUGAAGAAGAAGAAAAGAAAAAGGAAGAGAGGUAAAAAGGUACCCCUCCCAAAUAAUGGUGCUCCCAUUACUAUUGUGCCUCAUGAAAAUAUAAUUGUGGAAGAUAAUGAUACUUCUUAUGAUCUUGAAAAUCUUUUUGGCACUUGCUUGGAAGAAUAUGAUAAUUGCUAUACUAUUGGUGCUAUCCAUACUAUUGAUGAUGAAAGUGAUUAUGCUUAUGAUAUAAAAAGGCCCAAGAUUGGGGAUGCUAUGUUUGAUGAAGAUGAUGUUUUUGAGAAUAUAUUUGCUGCAAUUAAUGUUUUCCCAAGCUUGGGGAAGCUAUGAUUAAUGAAGAUAAUAUUUUUAGUCUCCCAAGUUUUGAUAUGCAACUUUAUAAUGAUAAUAACAUGCCUCCUACUUAUGAUAAUUAUUGUGAUGAUACAUAUGCUAUAAAAAGUAGUGAGGAUUAUAUUUAUAAAACUUUUCAUGAUUAUGGUCACCCCUUUUCUGAACAUUACUCCUUUAAUAUGGAAAAAAUAUAUAAUAUUCAAGUCUCUUAUGAUACUCCCACUAUCCCUAAUGAGAAGAAUUUUGCUUAUGUGGAGAGUAGUAAAUUUUCUAUGCUUGUAGAUCAUGAAAAUAAUGCUUUAGGUGCUGGUUAUAUUGUUGAAUUCAUUCAUGAUGCUACUGAAAAUUAUUAUGAGGGAGGAAUAUAUGCUUGUAGGAAUUGCAAUAAUAUCAAGUUUCCUCUCUAUGUACUUAAAGUUUUGAAGUUAUGCUUGUUUUUCCUUCCUAUACUAGUUGAUUAUUGUUCCCAUAAGUUGUUUGAUCACAAAAUCCCUAUGCAUAGGAAGUGGGUUAGACUUAAAUGUGCUAGUCAUAUUGAUGCUCUCUUUAUGUUUCAAUUCUUAUCCUUUAUGUGAGCAUCAUUGAAAUCAUCGUGCCUAGCUAGCGGCGUUAAACAAUAGCGCUUGUUGGGAGGCAACCCAAUUUUAUUUUAGCUCCUUGCUUUUUGUUCCUGUUUAAUAAUAAAUAAUACAUCUAGCCUCUGUUUAUAUGUGGUUUUAUGUGUUUAAUUAGUGUUUGUGCCAAGUAGAACCGUUGGGAAGACUUGGGGAAAGUCUUUGCGAUCAUGCUGUAAAAAACAGAAACUCUAGCGCUCAUGAGAAUUGCUGCCAUUUUUAUUUGGAGAGUGAUAUUUAGUUAAUUAUUUUUGCAUAUGAUUAAUAGAUAAAUUACUCAGGUACAGCAAUUUAUUUUAUAAUUUUAUGAGUUCCAGAAGUAUACGUUUGAUUCAGAUUACUACAGACUGUUCUGUUUUUGACAGAUUCUGUUUUUCAUGUGUUGUUUACUUAUUUUGAUGAAUCUAUGGCUAGUAAAAUAGUUUAUAAACCAUAGAGAAGUUGGAAUACAGUAGGUUUAACAUCAAUAUAAAUGAAUAAUGAGUUCAUUACAGUACCUUGAAGUGGUGAUUUAUUUUCUUAUACUAACGGAGCUUACGAGUUUUCUGUUAAGUUUUGUGUUGUGAAGUUUUCAAGUUUUGGGUAAGGAUUCGAUGGACUAUGGAAUAAGGAGUGGCAAGAGCCUAAGCUUGGGGAUGCCCCGGAAGGCAUUCCCUCUUUCGUCCACUUCCAUCGGUAACUUUACUUGGAGCUAUAUUUUUAUUCACCACAUGAUAUGUGUUUUGCUUGGAGCGUCAAUUUAUUUUGUUUGCAUUUGCUUUAUGUUAUUUAUAACAAUGUUUUGCAUCUUUUAUUUCAAUAAAAGUGGCAUUGAUAGCCUUUACUAUGCCUAUGUUACAAGUAUACAUGUUGCUGUUUGAAAACAGAAAGUUUACCGCUGUUGCAAUAAUUCCCUAGAAAAGUAAGAAUGUGAUAAAAUGUUGAAACCUUUUGCAUAUUAAGCUCUUAUAAAUUUACUACAGUGGGAAUUUUCUUUCAUAAUUUUUGGAUCUAGGGAAGUAUGGAUGUUGCAGCAUUCUUUACAGACUAUCCUGUUUAGGCAGAUUGCUGUUAUGUUUGCAUUGUUUGCAUAUGUUUGCUUCUUUAAUGAUUCUAUUUAAGCAUAGGACUAUUAAAUAUGCAGAGGAAUUUAGUAUGCAAUGUUGAAUAAUAACUUUAGUGAUUUGCUAUAGUAGAGUAUGAUAAGGUUUUUGCAGUGGUUUAUACUAACUUAUCUCACGAGUCCUUGUUGAGUUUUGUGUGGAUGAAGCUUUUGAGAUUUAGGGAGACCAUGAUAUGAGAGGAAUUAAGGAGACACAAAAUCUCAAGCUUUGGUAUGCCCAAGGCACCCCAAGAUAAUAUUUCAAGAAGUCUCAAGCGUCUAAGCUUGGGGAUACCCCGGUUGGCAUCCCACCUUUCUUCUUCAACAAACUAUCGGUUAGUAUCAGUUGAUCCUAAGUUUUUGCUUCUUCACAUGAUGUUUGCCAUUCUUAGAAUGUCAUUUUAUUUUGCUUUGUUUGAUGUUUGAAUAAAAUACGAAGAUCUGAAAUUAUUAGAUGUUAGAGAGUCUUCACAUAGUUGCAUAAUUAUUCAACUACUCAUUGAUCUUCACUUAUAUCCUUCGGAGUAGUUUGUCAUUUGCUCUAGUGCUUCACUUAUAUCUUUAAGAGCAUGGUGGUAGUUUUAUUUUGAAUAAAUAGAUGAACUCUCAUGCUUCACUUAGAUUAUUUUGAGAGUCUUAAUAGCAUGGUAAUUUGCUUAAAAUCCUAAUAUGCUAGGUAUUCAAGAAUAAUAAAAUUCUCUUCUGAGUGUGUUGAAUACUAAGAGAAGUUUGAUACUUGAUGAUUGUUUUGAGAUAUGACGAUGGUAAUACUAGAGUCAUGCUAGUUGAGUAGUUGUGAAUUUGAGAAAUACUUGUGUUGAAGUUUGUGAUUCCCGUAGCAUGCACGUAUGGUGAACCGUUAUGUGAUGAAGUCGGAGCAUGAUUUAUUUAUUGAUUGCCUUCCUUAUGAGUGGCGGUCGGGGACGAGCGAUGGUCUUUUCCUACCAAUCUAUCCCCCUAGGAGCAUGCGCGUAGUACUUUGUUUCGAUAACUAAUAGAUUUUUGCAAUAAGUAUGCGAGUUCUUUAUGACUAAUGUUGAGUCCAUGGAUUAUACGCACUCUCACCCUUCCACCAUUGCUAGCCUCUCUAGUACCGCGCAACUUUCGCCGGUACCAUAAACCCACCAUACACCUUCCUCAAAACAGCCACCAUACCUACCUAUUAUAGCAUUUCCAUAGCCAUUCCGAGAUAUAUUGCCAUGCAACUUUCCACCAUUCCAUUAUUAUGACACGCUUCAUCAUUGUCAUAUUGCUUUGCAUGAUCAUGUAGUUGACAUCGUAUUUGUGGCAAGGCCACCGUUCAUAAUUCUUUCAUACAUGUCACUCAUGCAUCAUUGCACAUCCCGGUACACCACCGGAGGCAUUCAUCUAGAGUCAUAUCUUGUUCUAAGUAUCGAUUUGUAAUUCUUGAGUUGUAAGAAAAAUAAAAGUGUGAUGAUCAUCAUUAUUAGAGCAUUGUCCCAGUGAGGAAAGGAUGAUGGAGACUAUGAUUCCCCCACAAGUCGGGAUGAGACUCUGGACGAAAAUAAAUAAAUAAAAGAGGCCAAAGAAGCCCAAAUAAAAAAGAGAGAAAAGAGGCCAUAAAAAAGAGAAGGCCCAAAUAAAAAAUAAAAAAUGAGAGAAAAAGAGAGAAGGGGCAAUGCUACUAUCCUUUUACCACACUUGUGCUUCAAAGUAGCACCAUGAUCUUCAUGAUAGAGAGUCUCCUAUGUUGUCACUUUUAUAUACUAGUGGGAAUCUUUCAUUAUAGAACUCGGCUUGUAUAUUCCAAUGAUGGGCUUCCUCAAAAUGCCCUAGGUCUUCGUGAGCAAGCGAGUUGGAUGCACACCCACUUAGUUUCUUUUUGAGCUUUCAUAUACUUAUAGCUCUAGUGCAUCCGUUGCAUGGCAAUCCCUACUCACUCACAUUGAUAUCUAUUGAUGGGCAUCUCCAUAGCCCGUUGAUACGCCUAGUUGAUGUGAGACUAUCUUCUCCCUUUUUGUCUUCUCCACAACCACCAUUCUAUUCCACCAUAGUGCUAUGUCCAUGGCUCACGCUCAUGUAUUUGCGUGAAGAUUGAAAAAGUUUGAGAACAUUAAAAGUAUGAAACAAUUGCUUGGCUUGUCAUCGGGGUUGUGCAUGAUUUAAAUAUUUUGUGUGGUGAAGAUAGAGCAUAGUCGGACUAUAUGAUUUUGUAGGGAUAACUUUCUUUGGCCAUGUUAUUUUGAGAAGACAUGAUUCCUUAGUUAGUAUGCUUGAAGUAUUAUUAUUUUUAUGUCAAUAUGAACUUUUGUCUUGAAUCUUUCAGAUCUGAAUAUUCAUACCACAAUUAAGAAGAAUUACAUUUAAAUUAUGCCAAGUAGCACUCCACAUCAAAAAUUCUGUUUUUAUCAUUUACCUACUCGAGGACGAGCAGGAAUUAAGCUUGGGGAUGCUUGAUACGUCUCCAACGUAUCUAUAAUUUUUGAUUGAUCCAUGCUAUAUUAUCUAUUGUUUUGAAUGUUUAUGGGCUUAUUAUACACUUUUAUAUCAUUUUUGGUACUAACCUAUUAACCCAGAGCCCAGUGCCAGUUUCUGUUUUUACCCUGUUUUAGGGUUUCAAAGAAAAGGAAAAUCAAACAGAGUCCAAUUGACCUGAAACUUCACAGAACUCAUUUUUGGAAGGAAAGAAGCCCAGAAGACUUGGAGUGCAUGUCGGGGGAUCUGCGAGGAGGUCACGAGGCAGGGGGGCGCGCCCACCCCCCUGGGCACGCCCUCCACCCUCGUCAGCCCCUUGUGGCCCCCUGACGUACUUCUUCCACCUAUAUAUCUCUAUAUACCCUAAAAACAUCGGAGGGCACAAUAGAUCGGGAGUUCCGCCGCCAGAAGCCUCUGUAGCCACCAAAAACCAAUCUAGACCCGUUCUGGCACCCUGCCGGAGGGGGCAAUCCCUCUCCGGUGGCCAUCUUCAUCAUCCCGGUGCUCUCCAUGACAAGGAGGGAGUAGUUCUCCCUCGGGGCUGAGGGUAUGUACCAGUAGCUAUGUGUUUGAUAUCUCUCUCUCGUGUUCUUGAGAUGAUACAAUCUUGAUGUAUCGCGAGCUUUGCUAUUAUAGUUGGAUCUUAUGUUUCUCCUCCCCCUCUACUCUCUUGUAAUGAAUUGAGUUUCCCCUUUGGAGUUAUCUUAUCAGAUUGAGUCUUUAAAGAUUUGAGAACACUUGAUGUAUGUCUAGCCGUGGAUAUCUGUGGUGACAAUGGGAUAUCACGUGAUUCACUUGAUGUAUGUUUUGGUGAUCAACUUGCGGGUUCCUCCCAUGAACCUAUGCAUAGAGGUUGGCACAUGUUUUCGUCGUGAUUCUCCGGUAGGAACUUUUGGGCACUCUUUGAGGUUCUAUGUGUUGGUUGAAUAGAUGAAUAUGAGAUUGUGUGACGCAUAUCGUAUAAUCAUACCCACGGAUACUUGAGGUGACAUUGGAGUAUCUAGGUGACAUUAAGUUUUUGGUUGAUUUGUGUCUUAAGGUGUUAUUCUAGUACGAACUCUAGGGCUGUUUGUGACACUUAUAGGAAUAGCCCAACAGAUUGAUUGGAAAGAAUAACUUUGAGGUGGUUUCAUACCCUACCAUAAUCUCUUCAUUCGUUCUCCGCUAUUAGUAACUUUGGAGUGACUCUUUGUUGCAUGUUGAGGGAUAGUUAUGUGAUCCAAUUAUGUUAUUAUUGUUGAGAGGACUUGCACUAGUGAAAGUAUGAACCCUAGGCCUUGUUUCAACACAUUUCAAUACCGUUUACGCUUACUUUUAUUAUUAGUUACCUUGCCGUUUUUAUAUUUUCAGAUUACAAAAACUAUUAUCUACCAUCUGUAUACCACUUGUAUCACCAUCUCUUCGCCGAACUAGUGCACCUAUACAAUUUACCAUUGUAUUGGGUGUGUUGGGGACACAAGAGACUCUUUGUUAUUUGGUUGCAGGGUUGCUUGAGAGAGACCAUCUUCAUCCUACGCCUCCCACGGAUUGAUAAACCUUAGGCCAUCCACUUGAGGGAAAUUUGCUACUGUCCUACAAACCUCUGCACUUGGAGGCCCAACAACGUCUGCAAGAAGAAGGUUGUGUACUAGACAUCAAUCAUGAAGGUGCUUCGGAGAUGGAGAUCACAAGCACAAGAUGAUGACGACCAUAUCAAAUCACUUAUGUUGAUUGCAUGUGAUGUUUAUCUUUUAUGCAUCUUAUCUUGCUUUGAUUGAUGGUAGCAUUAUAAGAUGAUCUCUCACUAAAUUAUCAAAGUAUAAGUGUUCUCCCUGAGUAUGCACCGUUGCGAAAGUUCUUCGUGCUGAGACACCACGUGAUGAUCGGGUGUGAUAGGCUCUACGUUCAAAUACAACAGGUGCAAAACAGUUGCACACGCGGAAUACUCAGGUUAAACUUGACGAGCCUAGCAUAUACUCCCUCCAUUCUGAAUUACUUGUAUUAGAUUUGUCUAGAUACGAAGGUAUCUAGCACUAAAAUGAGUCUAGAUACAUCCGUAUCUAGAAAAAUUCAAGACAAGUAAUUUGGAACGGAGGGAGUAACAGAUAUGGCCUCGGAACACGGAGACCGAAAGGUCGAGCGUGAAUCAUAUAGUAGAUAUGGUGAACAUAAGUGAUGUUCACUGUUGAUACUACUCCAUCUCACGUGAUGAUCGGACAUGGUUUAGUUGAUAUGGAUCACGUGAUCAUGUGAUCACUUAGGGUAUUAGAGGGAUGUCUAUCUAAGUGGGAGUUCUUAAAUAAUAUGAUUAAAUUGAACUUAAAUUUAUCAUGAACUUAGUACCUGAUAGUAUCUUGCUUGUCUAUGUUGGUUGUAGAUAGAUGGCCCAUGUUGUUGUUCCGUUGAAUUUUAAUGUGUUCCUUGAGAAAGCAAAGUUGAAAGAUGAUGGUAGCAAUUACACGGACUGGGUCCGUAACUUGAGGAUUAUCCUCAUUGCUGCACAGAAGAAUUACGUCAUGGAAGCACCGCUAAGUGCCAAGCCUGCUGCAGGAGCAACACCAGAUGUUAUGAACGUCUGGCAGAGCAAAGCUGAUGACUACUCGAUAGUUCAGUGUCCCAUGCUUUACGGCUUAGAACCGGGUCUUCAACGACGUUUUGAACGCCAUGGAGCAUAUGAGAUGUUCCAGGAGUUGAAGUUAAUAUUUCAAGCAAAUGCUCGGAUUAAGAGAUAUGAAGUCUCCAAUAAGUUCUAUAGCUGCAAGAUGGAGGAGAAUAGUUCUGUCAGUGACCAUAUACUCAAAAUGUCUGGGUAUCAUAAUCACUUGACUCAACUGGGAGUUAAUCUUCCUGUUGAUAGUGUCAUUGACAGAGUUCUUCAAUCACUGCCACCAAGCUACAAAAGCUUCAUGAUGAACUAUAAUAUGCAAGGGAUGAAUAAGACUAUUCCCGAGCUCUUCGCAAUGCUAAAAGCCGCGGAGGUAGAAAUCAAGACGGAGCAUCAAGUGUUGAUGGUCAAUAAGACCACCACUUUCAAGAAAAAGGGCAAAGGGAAGAAGAAGGGGAACUUCAAGAAGAACAACAAACAAGUUGCUGCUCAGGAGAAGAAACCCAAGUCUGGACCUAAGCCGGAGACUGAGUGCUUCUACUGCAAGCAGACUGGUCACUGGAAGUGGAACUGCCCCAAGUAUUUGGCGGAUAAGAAGGAUGUCAAAGUGAACAAAGGUAUAUGUGAUAUACAUGUUAUUGAUGUGUACCUUACUAAUGCUCGCAGUAGCACCUGGGUAUUUGAUACUGGUUCUGUUGCUAACAUUUGCAACUCGAAACAGGGGCUACGGAUUAAGCGAAGAUUGGCUAAGGACGAGGUGACGAUGCGCGUGGGAAAUGGUUCCAAAGUCGAUGUGAUCGCGGUCGGCAUGCUACCUCUACAUCUACCUUCGGGAUUAGUAUUAGACCUAAAUAAUUGUUAUUUGGUGCCAGCAUUGAGCAUGAACAUUAUAUCUGGAUCUUGUUUGAUGCGAGAUGGUUAUUCAUUUAAAUCAGAGAAUAAUUGUUGUUCUAUUUAUAUGAGUAAUAUCUUUUAUGGUCAUGCACCCUUGAAGAGUGGUCUAUUUUUGCUAAAUCACGAUAGUGGUGAUACACAUAUUCAUAAUAUUGAAGCCAAAAGAUGCAGAGUUGAUAAUGAUAGUGCAACUUAUUUGUGGCACUGCCGUUUAGGUCAUAUCGGAGUAAAGCGCAUGAAGAAACUCCAUACUGAUGGACUUUUGGAACCACUUGAUUAUGAAUCACUUGGUACUUGCGAACCGUGCCUCAUGGGCAAGAUGACUAAAACGCCGUUCUCCGGAACUAUGGAGAGAGCAACAGAUUUGUUGGAGAUCAUACAUAUAGAUGUAUGUGGUCCAAUGAAUGUUGAGGCUCGUGGCGGAUAUCGUUAUUUUCUCACCUUCACAGAUGAUUUAAGUAGAUAUGGGUAUAUCUACUUAAUGAAACAUAAGUCUGAAACAUUUGAAAAGUUCGAAGAAUUUCAGAGUGAAGUUGAAAAUCAUCGUAAUAAGAAAAUAAAGUAUCUACGAUCUGAUCAUGGAGGAGAAUAUUUGAGUUAUGAGUUUGGUCUUCAUUUGAAACAAUGCGGAAUAGUUUCGCUACUCAUGCCACCCGGAACACGACAGCGUAAUGGUGUGUCUGAACGUCGUAAUCGUACUUUACUAGAUAUGGUGCGAUCUAUGAUGUCUCUUGCUGAUUUACCGCUAUCGUUUUGGGGAUAUGCUUUAGAGACGGCCACAUUCACCUUAAAUAGGGCACCAUCGAAAUCCGUUGAGACGAUGCCUUAUGAACUAUGGUUUGGUAAGAAACUAGAGUUGUCGUUUCUGAAAGUUUGGGGCUGUGAUGCUUAUGUGAAAAAGCUUCAACCUGAUAAGCUCGAACCCAAAUCUGAGAAAUGUGUCUUCAUAGGAUACCCAAAGGAAACUGUUGGGUACACCUUCUAUCAUAGAUCCGAAGGCAAGCUUUUUUGGCUAAAUUCAGAGUUUUUCUAGAGAAGGAGUUUCUCUCGAAAGAAGUGAGUGUGAGGAAAGUAGAACUUGAUGAGGUAAUUGUACCUGCUCCCUUAUUGGAAAGUGGUUCAUCACAGAAAACGGUUUCUGCAACACCUACACCAAUUAGUGAAUAAGUUAAUGAUGAUUAUCAUGAAACUUUAGAUCAAGUUGUUACUGAACCUCGUAGGUCAACCAGAGUAAGAUCCGCACCAGAGUGGUAUGGUAAUCCUGUUCUGGAAGUAGUGUUACUAGACCAUGACGAGCCUACGAACUAUGAAGAAACGAUGGUGAGCCCAGAUUCCGCAAAAUGGCUUGAGGCCAUGAAAUCUGAGAUGGGAUCCAUGUAUGAGAUCAAAGUGUGGACUUUGGUUGACUUGCCCGUUGAUCGGCAAGCAAUUGAGAAUAAAUGGAUCUUCAAGAAGAAGACUGACGCUGACAGUAAUGUUACUAUCUAUAAAGCUCGACUUGUUGCAAAAGGUUUUCGACAAGUUCAAGGGAUUGACUACGAUGAGACAUUCUCACCCGUAGCGAUGCUUAAGUCUGUCCGAAUCAUGUUAGCAAUUGCCACAUUUUAUGAUUAUGAAAUUUGGCAAAUGGAUGUCAAAACUACAUUCCUGAAUGGAUUUCUGGAAGAAGAGUUGUAUAUGAUGCAACCAGAAGGUUUUGUCGAUCCAAAGGGAGCUAACAAAGUGUGCAAGCUCCAGCGAUCCAUUUAUGGACUGGUGCAAGCCUCUUGGAGUUGGAAUAAACGCUUUGAUAGUGUGAUCAAAGCAUUUGGUUUUAUACAGACUUUUGGAGAAGCCUGUAUUUACAAGAAAGUGAGUGGGAGCUCUGUAGCAUUUCUGAUAUUAUAUGUGGAUGACAUAUUACUGAUUGGAAAUGAUAUAUAAUUUCUGGAUAGCAUAAAAGGAUACUUGAAUAAAACUUUUUCUAUGAAAGACCUCGGUGAAGCUGCUUACAUAUUGGGCAUCAAGAUCUAUAGAGAUAGAUCAAGACGCUUAAUUGGACUAUCACAAAGCACAUACCUUGACAAAGUUUCGAAAAAGUUCAAAAUGGAUCAAGAAAAGAAAGGGUUCUUGCCUGUGUUACAAGGUGUGAAGUUGAGUAAGACUCAAUGCCCGACCACUGUAGAAGAUAGAGAGAAGAUGAAAGAUGUUCCCUAUGCUUCAGCCAUAGGCUCUAUCAUGUAUGCAAUGUUGUGUACCAGACCUGAUGUGUGCCUUGCUAUAAGUCUAGCAGGGAGGUACCAAAGUAAUCCAGGAGUGGAUCACUAGACAGCGGUCAAGAACAUCCUGAAAUACCUAAAAAGGACUAAGGAUAUGUUUCUCGUUUAUGGAGGUGACAAAGAGCUCAUCAUAAAUGGUUACAUUGACGCAAGCUUUGACACUGAUCCAGACGAUUCUAAAUCACAAACUAGAUAUGUGUUUAUAUUAAACGGUGGAGCUGUCAGUUGGUGCAGUUCUAAACAAAGCGUUGUGGCGGGAUCUACGUGUGAAGCGGAGUACAUAGCUGCUUCAGAAGCAGCAAAUGAAGGAGUCUGGAUGAAGGAGUUCAUAUCCGAUCUAGGUGUCAUACCUAGUGCAUCGGGUCCAAUGAAAAUCUUUUGUGAUAAUAUUGGUGCAAUUGCCUUGGCAAAGGAAUCCAGAUUUCUCAAGAGAACCAAGCACAUCACGAGACGCUUCAAUUCCAUCCGGGAUUUAGUCCAGGUGGGAGACAUAGAAAUUUGCAAGAUACCUAUGGAUCUGAAUGUUGCAUACCCAUUGACUAAGCCUCUUCCACGAGCAAAACAUGAUCAGCACCAAGGCUCCAUGGGUGUUAGAAUCAUUACUGUGUAAUCUAGAUUAUUGACUCUAGUGCAAGUGGGAGACUGAAGGAAAUAUGCCCUAGAGGCAAUAAUAAAGUUAUUAUUUAUUUCCUUAUUUCAUGAUAAAUGUUUAUCAUUCAUGCUAGAAUUGUAUUAACCGGAAACAUAAUACAUGUGUGAAUACAUAGACAAACAGAAUGUCACUAGUAUGCCUCUACUUGACUAGCUCAUUGAUCAAAGAUGGUUAAGUUUCCUAACCAUAGACAUGAGUUGUCAUUUGAUUAACAGGAUCACAUCAUUAGGAGAAUGAUGUGAUUGACUUGACCCAUUCCGUUAGCUUAGCACUUGAUCAUUUAGUUUGUUGCUAUUGCUUUCUUCAUGACUUAUACAUGUUCCUAUGACUAUGAGAUUAUGCAACUCCCGUUUAGCGGAGGAACACUUUGUGUGCCACCAAACGUCACAAGUAACUGGGUAAUAAUAAAGGUGCUCUACAGGUGUCUCCAAAGGUACUUGUUGGGUUGGCGUAUUUCGAGAUUAGGAUUUGUCACUCCGAUUGUCGGAGAGGUAUCUCUGGGCCCACUCGGUAAUGCACAUCACUAUAAGCCUUGCAAGCAUUGCAACUAAUGAGUUAGUUGCGGGAUAAUGUAUUACGGAACGAGUAAAGAGACUUGUCGGUAACGAGAUUGAACUAGGUAUUGAGAUACCGACGAUCGAAUGUCGGGCAAGUAACAUACCGAUGACAAAGGUAACAACAUAUGUUUUUAUGCGGUCUGACCGAUAAAGAUCUUCGUAGAAUAUGUAGGAGCCAAUAUGGGCAUCUAGGUCCCGCUAUUGGUUAUUGACCAGAGAGGUGUCUCGGUCAUGUCUACAUAGUUCUCGAACCCGUAGGGUCCGCACGCUUAACGUUCGUUGACGAUAUAGUACUAUAUGAGUUAUGUAUGUUGAUGACCGAAUGUUGUUCGAAGUUCGAGAUGAGAUCACUGACAUGACGAGGAACUCUGGAAUGGUCUGGAGAUAAAGUUUGGUAUAUGGGAUAAUAGUGUUUGGUCACUGGAAGGGUUCCGGAAAUCAGUGGAAGGGGUUCCGGAUGUUUCCCGAAAUGUUUGGGUACGAGAACACUUUAUUUGGGCCAAAGGGGAAAGCCCACAAGGUUUUUGGAAAGCGCAAAAGGAAGUUUUGCGGAGUCCAGGGGCCAGACGCCAGGGUCCCUGGCGUCUGGGUCCAGAUGCCGGGAACCCUGGCAUCUGGCCCUGGAGUCCGAGAAGGACUCUUGCCUUUCGGGUGAAACCGACUUUGCGGAGGCUUUUACUCCAAGUUUUGACCCCAAGGCUCAACAUAUAAAUAGAGGGGUAGGGCUAGUACCCAAGACACAUCAAGAAACACCAAGCCAUGUGCCUGCAACCCCGUCCCCUCUAGUUUAUCCUCCGUCCUAGUUUUCGUAGUGCUUAGGCGAAGCCUUGCGGAGAUUGUUCUUCACCAACACCGUCACCGCGCCGUCGUGCUACCAGAACUCAUCUACUACUUCGCCCUUCUUGCUGGAUCGAGAAGGUGAGGACGUCACCGAGCCGAACGUGUGCAGAACUCGGAGGUGUCGUGCUUUCGGUACUUGGAUCGGUCGGAUCGUGAAGACGUACGACUACAUCAACCGCGUUGAUAUAACGCUUCCGCGAACGGUCUACGAGGGUACGUAGACAACACUCUCCCCUCUCAUUGCUAUGCAUCACCAUGUAAUUGCGUGUGCAUAGGAAAUUUUUGAAAUUACUACGUCCCCAACAGAAUAGACCCUCCCAAAGUGGGUAAAGCACCGACACAGGUAAAGAAAUCUUGAAUAACUCCUUUUCCAAUAAUAUUACCACUACCGAUUCGAAAGUUUUUAGUGUGUAAAAUAGUAGGUUCUUCAUGAGGAUAAUCAAAAGCAUCAAUGUUUUCCAUAUUAUUAUCCUUAUCAACAAUAACUUCCCCAAUUUUAGACAUGACGGCAACAAAUCGCACAAAGAAAGGGCACGCAAGAGGUAAGCGAAAAACGAACUAAGAAAAGAGAAGGGUACGGAAAAAGAGGGCGAAUAAAAUGGCAAGGGUGAAGUGGGGGAGAGGAAAACGAGAGGCAAAUGGCAAAUAAUGUAAUGCGAGGGAUAAGAGUUGUGAUGGGUACUUGGUAUGUCUUGACUUGUGCGUAGACUCCCCGGCAACGGCGCCAGAAAUCCUUCUUGCUACCUCUUGAGCACUGCGUUGGUUUUCCCUUGAAGAGUAAAGGGUGAUGCAGCAAAGUAGCGUAAGUAUUUCCCUCAGUUUUUGAGAACCAAGGUAUCAAUCCAGUGGGAGGCCAUGCUCAAGUCCCACGCACCUACACAAACAAAUAAGAACCUCGCAACCAACAUGAUAAAGGGGUUGUCAAUCCCUUCACGGACACUUACGGGAGUGAGAUCUGAUUGAUAUGAUAAGAUAAGAUUUUUUGGUAUUUUUAUAAUAAAGAUAAAAGUAAAGAUUUCAAAAAAAACGGUAAUAGAAAUACGAUAGAUUAAUAUGAUAGAGAAUAGACCUGGGGGCCGUAGGUUUCACUAGUGGCUUCUCUCGAGAGCAUAAGUAUUACGGUGGGUGAACAAAUUACUGUCGAGCAAUUGAUAGAAAAGCGAAUAAUUAUGAGAAUAUCUAGGCAUGAUCAUGUAUAUAGGCAUCACGUCCAUGACAAGUAGACCGACUCCUGCCUGCAUCUACUACUAUUACUCCACACAUCGACCGCUAUCCAGCAUGCAUCUAGAGUAUUAAGUUCAUAAGAACAGAGUAACGCUUUAAGCAAGAUGACAUGAUGUAGAGGGAUAAACUCAUGCAAUAUGAUAUAAACCCCAUCUUUUAUCCUCGAUGGCAACAAUACAAUACGUGUUGUUUCCCUUUCUAUCACUGGGAUCGAGCACUGCAAGAUUGAACCCAAAGCUAAGCACUUCUCCCAUUGCAAGAAAGAUCAAUCUAGUAGGCCAAAUCAAACUAAUAAUUCGAAGAGACUUUCAAAGAUAACCAAUCAUACAUAAAAGAAUUCAGAGAAGAGUCAAAUAUUGUUCUUAGAUAAACUUGAUCAUAAACCCACAAUUCAUCGGAUCUCGACAAACACACCGCAAAAGAAGAUUACAUCGAAUAGAUCUCUAAGAGAAUCGAGGAGAACUUUGUAUUGAGAUCCAAAGAGAGAGAAGAAGCCAUCUAGCUAAUAACUAUGGACCCGAAGGUCUGAAGUAAACUACUCACACAUCACCGGAGAGGCCAUGGGGUUGAUGUAGAGGCCCUCCAUGAUCGAUGCCCCCUUCGACGGAGCUCCGGAAAAGGCCCCAAGAUGGGAUCUCUUGUGUACAGAAGGUUGCGGUGGUGGAAUUAGGUUUUCCUAGUGCUCCUGGAUGGUUCCGGGGUACGUAGGUAUAUAUAGGAGGAAGAAGUAGGUCGGUGGAGCAACGAGGGGCCCACGGGGGUGGAGGGCGCGCCCCCUGCCUCAUGGCCUCCUCCUUGAUUGCUUGACGUCCACUCCAAGUCCUCUGGAUCACGUUUGUUCAGAAAAUCAUGUUCCCGAAGGUUUUAUUCCGUUUGGACUCCGUUUGAUAUUCCUUUUCUGCGAAACACUGAAAUAGAAAAAAAAAACAAUAAUUUGGGUUGGGCCUUCGGUUAAUAGGUUAGUCCCAAAAAUAAUAUAAAAGUGUAUAAAUAAGCCCAUUAAACAUCCAAAACAGAAUAUAUAAUAGCAUGGAACAACAAAAAAUUAUAGAUACGUUGGAGACGUAUCAGAGGCACCGCACAUGGCUAAGAGGUCAACUUGUGUGUUUACGGGGUGCCCCCCUCCCCCGUAUAUAAAGGAGGGGGAGGGGAGGGCUGGCUGUGACGCCCCAAGACUGGCACUCUAGAUGCCGUCCAUAGAUUACGAGAUUCGUCGUGUGAUUUGUUUUUGCUCGUUGCAUUCAUCUCUGCAUCAUGUGCAUUGCAUCAUGUCAUCAUGCACCCCUUUUAAAAACUCAACUAAAUAAACCGUAUGGAUCUUUGUUCCAUUUAAAUUGAGGGAACUCACAUGGUGGUUUCUCUUUAAAACAUAUCCUCCAAAUAUUUAGGGAGAUAUUAUAAAAUAUUCCAUUAUUGUGGAACUAACCAUAACACACUUGCAAAAUAUUCCAUGCCUUUGUUAUCUUAAUUCUUGGUCUCCAACUUUGCCCAUAAAUUCGUUCAUCACUUUCCAGAGCUCCACCAAAAAUCUCGACAUUUUGGCCACUCCUAAACCUUGUCCUAGUUCAAACCAUUUGAAUUAAAGUCAAAUGAGUUUGAAUUUAAAUCUUGCAUUCGUGCCAACUUCUAAUUUUCUCGGAUGAAGCAUAUUUUUGUGAGUCCAAGAAAAUAAUCCCCAUGCCCAAAUCCUUUCCCAAACCCUCUCUUUUCUUAUUCUCUCUAAUCCUUUUCUGUUAAAAAAAUGAGAGAGAGGGAGAAGAGAGAGCCAACCAGCCCACCACCAGGUGAAGGAGAUAUGCCCUAGAGGCAAUAAUAAAGUUGUUAUUUAUAUUUUCUUAUAUUAUGAUAAAUGUUUAUUAUUCAUGCUAGAAUUGUAUUAACCGGAAACUUAGUACAUGUGUGAAUACAUAGACAAACAGAGUGUCACUAGUAUGCCUCUACUUGACUAGCUCAUUAAUCAAAGAUGGUUAAAUUUCCUAGCCAUGGACAAAGAGUUGUCAUUUGAUAAGAGGGAUCACAUCAUUAGAGAAUGAUUUGAUUGACUUGACCCUUCUGUUAGCUUAGCACGAUGAUCGUUACAGUUUCAUUGCUACUGCUUUCUUCAUGAAUUAUACAUGUUCCUCGGACUAUGAGAUUAUGCAACUCCCGAAUACCGAAGGAACACCUUGUGUGCUAUCAAACUUCACAACGUAACUGGGUGAUUAUAAAGAUGCUCUACAGGUGCCUCCGAUGGUGUUUGUUGAGUUGGCAUAGAUCAAGAUUAGGAUUUGUCACUCCGUGUAUCGGAGAGAUAUCUUCGGGCCCUCUCGGUAAUGCACAUCACUGUAAGCCCUGUAAGCAUUGUGACUAAUGAGUUAGUUACGGAAUGAUGCAUUACGGAAUGAGUAAAGAGACUUGCUGGUAACGAGAUUGAACUAGGUAUUGAGAUACCGAUGAUCGAAUCUCGGGCAAGUAACAUACCGAUGACAAAGGGAACAACGUAUGUUGUUAUGCGGUUUGACCGAUAAAGAUCUUCGUAGAAUAUGUAGGAACCAAUAUGAGCAUCCAGGUUCCGCUAUUGGUUAUUGACUGGAGAUUAGUCUCCGUCAUGUCUACAUAGUUCUCGAACCCGUAGGGUCCGCACGCUUAACGUUCGGUGACGAUCAGUAUUAUGAGUUUAUGUGUUUGGAUGUACCGAAGGUAUUUCAGAGUCCCAGAUGUGAUCACGGACAUGACUAGGAGUCUCGAAAUGGUCGAGACAUAAAGAUUGAUAUAUUGGACGGCUAUAUUUGGACACCUGAAGUGUUCCGGAUGAUUUCGAAGAAAACCGGAGUGCCGGAGGGGUUACCGGAACCCCCCGGGAAGUAUUGGGACUUAGUGGGCCUUAGGGGAGUAAGAGGGCAGCAGCCCAGGAGGUGGCGCGCCCCCUCCCAUGGGGAGUCCGAAUUGGACUAGGGGAGGGGGCACGGCCCCUCUUUCCCUCUCCCUCUCCCUCUCUUUCCUUCUCCAUUCCCUCUUCCUAGUUGAUCUAGGAAAGGAUGAAUCCUCUUACUAGUAGGAAGAGGAUUCCUCCUCUCCUUGGGGCGCACCAAGGCUGGUCGGCCUCCCCCUUGCUCCUUUAUAUACAGGGGCAGGGGGGCACCCUAGGACACACAAGUUGGUUGUUCCAAGCCGUGUGCGGUGCCCCCCUCCACCAUAUUCCACCUCGGUCAUAUCAUAGCAGUGCUUAGGCGAAGCCCUGCGUCGGUAGCAUCAUCAUCACCAUCAUCAAGCUGUCAUGCUGACAGAACUCUCCCUUGAAGCUCUGCUGUAGUUCGUGGGACGUCACCGAGCUGAACGUGUGCUGAACUCGGAGGUGUCGUAUGUUCGGUACUUGGAUCGGUCGGAUCGUGAAGACGUACGACUACAUCAAUCGCGUUCUCAUAAUGCUUCCGCUUAUGGUCUACGAGGGUACGUGGACGACACUCUCCCCUCUCAUUGCUAUGCAUCACCACGAUCUUGCAUGUGUGUAGGAAUUUUUUUUAUGAAAUUACUGCGUUCCCCAACAGUGGCAUCCGAGCCAGGUUUAUGCGUAGAUGUUAUAUGCACAAGUAGAACACAGAGGAGUUGUGGGCGUGGGUAUAUACAUAUUGCUUGCCAUCACUAGUUGUUUCUUGAUUUGGCGGUAUUGUUGGAUGAAGCAGCCCAGACCGACAUUACGCGUACGCUUACGCGAGACUGGUUCUACCGACGUGCUUUGCACACAGGUGGCUGGUGGGUGUCAGUUUCUCCAACUUUAGUUGAAUCGGAUUUAAGGAACAAGGUUAUUUCUGAAGAUCAAAAAGCAAUCACUAUACCGCGUUUUGGUUUUUUUAAUGCGUAGGUAAGAACGGUUCUUGCUCAGCCCAUAGCAGCCACGUAAAACUUGCAACAACAAAGUAGAGGACGUCUAACUUGUUUUUGCAGGCAUGUUGUGAUGUGAUAUGGUCAAGACGCGAUGAGAUAUAAAUUGUUGUAUGAGAUGAUCAUGUUUUGUUAAAGUUAUCGGCAACUGGCAGGAGCCUUAUGGUUGUCUCUUUAUUGCAUAAGAUGCAAGCACCAUAUAAUUGCUUUACUUUAUUGCUAUGCGAUAGCAAUACUUGCAAAAGCAAUAGUUGGUGAAACGACCAUGUGAUGACACGUUGAUAGAGAUCAAGAUGAUGGAGAUCAUGGUGUCAUGCCGGUGACGAUAGAGAUCAUGAUGGUGUUUUGGAGAUGGAUAUCAAAGGCACAAGAUGAUGAUGGCCAUAUCAUGUCACAUAUUUUGAUUGCAUGUGAUGUUUAUCCUUUAUGUAUCUUAUUUUGCUUAGUUCGGCGGCAGCAUUAUAAGAUGAUCUCUCACUAAAUUUCAAGGUAUAAGUGUUCUCCCUGAGUAUGCACCGUUGCGAUAGUUCGUCGUGCCGAGACACCACGUGAUGAUCGGGUGUGAUAAGCUCUACGUUCACAUACAAUGGGUGCAAGCCAGUUUUGCACACGCAGAAUACUCGGGUUAAACUUGAUGAGCCUAGCAUAUGCAGAUAUGGCCUCGGAACACUAGAGACCGAAAGGUCGAGCGUGAAUCAUAUAGUAGAUAUGAUCAACAUAAUGAUGUUCACCAUUGAAAACUACUCCAUCUCACGUGAUGAUCGGACAUGGUUUAGUUGAUUUGGAUCGUGUGAUCAUUUAGAUGACUAGAGGGAUGUAUAUCUAAGUGGGAGUUCUUAAGUAAUAUGAUUAAUUGAACUUUAAUUUAUCAUGAACUUAGUCCUGAUAGUAUUUGCAUAACUAUGUUGUAGAUCAAUAGCUCGCGAUGUAGCUCCCCCUUUAUUUAUUAUAUGUUCCUAGAGAAAAACUAUGUUGAAAGAUGAUAGUAGUAAUGAUGUGGACUAGGUUCGUGAUCUGAGGAUUAUCCUCAUUGCUGCACAUAAGAAUUAUGUCCUUGAUGCACCGCUAGGUGACGGACCUAUUGCAGGAGCAGAUACAGACGUUAUGAAUGUUUGACAAAGCUCGGUAUGAUGACUCCUUAAUAGUUUAGUGCACCAUGCUUUAUGGCUUAGAACCGGGACGUCAAAAACAUUUUGAAAGCCACAGAGCAUAUAAGAUGUUCCAAGAGCUGAAAUUUAUAUUUCAGACUCAUGCCCAAGUCGAGAGGUAUGAGACCUCUGACAAGUACUUUGCCUACAAGAUGGAGGAGAAUAGCUCAACCAGUGAGCAUGUGCUCAGAUUGUCUGAGUACUACAAUCGCUUGAAUCAAGUGGGAGUUAAUCUUCCAGAUAAAAAGGUGAUUGACAGAAUUCUCUAGUCACUAUCACCAAGUUACUGGAACUUUGUGAUGAACUAUAAUAUGCAGGGGAUGACGAAAACGAUUCCCGAGCUCUUCGUGAUGCUGAAAUUGAUGAAGGUAGAAAUCAAGAAAAGCAUCAAAUGUUGAUGGUUGACAAAACCACUAGUUUGAAGUAAAAGGGCUAGGGAAAGAAAUGGAACAGCAAGAAGAAUGGGAAGUGAUGACCCACAAGUGUAGGGGAUCUAUCGUAGCCUUUUCGAUAAGUAAGAGUGUCGAACCCAACGAGGAGCAGAAGGAAAUGAUAAGCAGUUUUCAGCAAGGUAUUCUCUGCAAGCACUGAAAUUGUCGGUAACAGAUAGUUUGUGAUAAGGUAAUUUGUAACGGGUAACAAGUAAUAAAAGUAAAUAAAGUGCAGCAAGAUGGCCCAAUCCUUUUUUUAGCAAAGGACAAGCCUGGACAAACUCUUAUAUGAAGGAAAGCGCUCCCGAGGACACAUGGGAAUUAUCAUCAAGCUAGUUUUCAUCACGAUCAUAUGAUUCACGUUCGGUACUUUGAUAAUUUGAUAUGUGGGUGGACCGGUGCUUGGGUGUUGUCCUUACUUGGACAAGCGUCCCACUUAUGAUUAACCCCUAUUGCAAGCAUCCGCAACUACAACAGAAGUAUUAAGGUAAACCUAACCAUAGCAUGAAACAUAUGGAUCCAAAUCAGCCCCUUACGAAGCAACGCAUAAACUAGGGUUUAAGAUUCUGUCACUCUAGCAACCCAUCAUCUACUUAUUACUUCCCAAUGCCCUCCUCUAAUCCCAAACAAUGGUGAAGUGUCACGUAGUCGACGUUCACAUGACACCACUAGAGGAAAGACAACAUACAUCUCAUCCAAAUAUCGAACGAAUACCAAAUUCACAUGACUAAUAAUAGCAAGACUUCUCCCAUGUCCUCAAGAACAAACGUAACUACUCACAAAGCAUAUUCAUGUUCAUAAUCAGAGGGGUAUUAAUAUGCAUAAUGGAUCUGAACAUAUGAUCUUCCACCAAGUAAACCAACUAGCAUCAACUACAAGGAGUAAUCAACACUACUAGCAACCCACAGGUACCAAUCUGAGGUUUGGAUACAAAGAUUGGAUAAAAGAGAUGAACUAGGGUUUGAGAUGAGAUGGUGCUGAUGAAGAUGUUGAUGGAGAUUGACCCCCUCCCGAUGAGAGGAUCGUUGGUGAUGACGAUGGUGAUAAUUUCCCCCUCCCGGAGGGAAGUUUCCCCGGCAGAACAGCUCCACCGGAGCCCUAGAUUGGUUCCGCCAAGGUUCCGCCUCGUGGCGGCGGAGUUUCGUCCCGUAAGCUUGCUUAUGAUUUUUUUUCUCGGACGAAAGAUCUCAUAUAGUAGAAGAUGGGCAUCAGAGGACCACCAGGGGGCCCACGAGGCAGGGGGCGCGCCUAGGGGGGUAGGGCGCGCCCCCACCCUCGUGGCCAGGGUGUGGUCCCCCUCUGGUAUUUUCAUCGCUCAGUAUUUUUUAUAUAUUCUGGAAAUAACUCCCAUGGAGUUUCAGGACUUUUGGAGAUGUGCAGAAUAGGUCUCUAAUAUUUGCUCCCUUUCCAGCCCAGAAUUCCAGCUGCCGGCAUUCCCCCUCUUCAUGUAAACCUUGUAAAAUGAGAGAGAAUGGGCAUAAGUAUUGUGACAUAAUGUGUAAUAACAGCCCAUAAUGCAAUAAAUAUCGAUAUAAAAGCAUGAUGCAAAAUGGACGUAUCAACUCCCCCAAGCUUAGACCUCGCUUGUCCUCAAGCGAAAGCCGAAAACGAUAAAUAUGUCCACAUGUAUAGAGAUAGAGGUGUCGAUAAACUAAAAUACGGACAUGAGGGCAUCAUGAUCAUUCUUAUAACAGCAACAUAUAUAUAUAUAUAUGUAUAUAUAUAUAUAUAUAUAGUCAUACGAUCUCUUAUGCUAAAGUAACAAUUCAAUCACAAUUUCAAGUAUGAAUCAUAAACUUCAUUGAAAACUAACAAACUACAAUCUCAGUCACUGAAGCAAUUGCAAUUUAUCAUAACAUCAGAAAGAGUCAAUAAGAGCUUUUCAGCAAGUCCACAUACUCAACUAUCAUUUAGUCUUCCACAAUUGCCAACACUCACGCGAUAUUUGUGGUUAUGAAGUUCGCCGGACACAGAGAAAGAUAGGGGGUUAUGGUUUUGCCUCCCAACUUCUUACCUCAAGGGUAAUGUCAACAAUAAUAGUUCAUGCAAACUCACAUCCAAUUAGCCAUAUCUGGAUCUUUCCAACACAUUGUGCUUGCCAAAGGAUAAAAUGUAAAAAGGAAAGGUGAAGAUCACCAUGACUCUUAUAUGAGGUAGAAGAUAAAAGUAAAAGAUAGGCCCUUCGCAAAGGGAAGCAGAGGUUGUCAUGCACUUUUUUGUUUGACUGGGGACUGCAGGGCUUACACCCCACAGCAUUUUAUUAAAAUCAAGAACAGCAAGUACAUAGAAAUGUUCCUUAAGAAAAGGAACAAAACAGAAGAAGAUAAAAGAAAACUAUGUACAAUCUAACCUAAAAGAGAAGGAAAAUCUAACUAUACAUGUCACCUCUCAAGGAGGAAGGAAGUCAAUCCAUUUAAGCAGUGCCUCUCUAUGUUUUGACUUGAUUCUGUGAGCCAAAAGGGAAAUGUCAUGGACAAAACCAUUUCUCCACUGUCUGAAGGUAGGUCUGAUAUACCUGAAAGCUUUAUCAUUUCUGAAUUUCCAGAUAUUCCACCAAGUAAGAAACACCACUUUAGAAAAGAAAGGCUUGUUGAACUCCUUCCUAGCAUGCCAUACAAUCUGAACCAUAUCCUGAUUGUUGGGCCAUGAAAUCUGCAGGUAAUUCCAGACUCUCAUGCUGAAGUUACACUAAAAAAACAGAUGAUUCCUGUCUUCAAGAGCUCCUAUAGGACAAAGCACACAUUCAGGCCCAUCAUUGAUCUUCCACUUCCUGCGCUGAAUCAUAUCCUUGGUGUUUACUCUAUCCAUAAUGACAAGCCAGGCAAACAUUUUGAUUGUCAUAGUACAGCAUGACUUCCAUAUCCAACAUAGCAAGGGGUUAGUUGGAAUUGGCUCAUGGACCAGAUCAUAAUAUUUCUUGGCUGUGUAUCCAGAUUUCUUUCCAUGUUUCCAAUACCAGCAAUCCUUAGCAUUAGCAUCCAAGGAGAUAUCAGACAAUAUUCCAGAAAGUUGAUUUAGCUCCCUGUAGGCCAUUUCAGAUAAUGGCAGAGAGAACAUGCUAUGAAACUCACCAGUGGCCAUUACUUCCAGAACAGAAGAAUUUUUUUGUAUGCAAAAUGAGAACAGCCUGGGGAAUCUAUCCUGUAGUGGAAUGCAAGAAUUAUCCACUUCCCAGGAAUCUGACCAGAAUAGCAAGGAGUCACCUUUUCCAACGCAUACUAAAGACACAGCCCUGAAUGUAUCCAUUAGCUUACAUAUGUCCCUCCACCAAAAAGAGCCACACAUAGCAGUGUCAUGUGGGACUCUCUGAUAAUAAUAACUGUCCCAGAUCAAAUGAACCCAUGGAACAUCAACUUUGUUAUAGAAUUUAUUGAGGAACUUCAUUAACAAAGCUUCAUUUUGCAGCCCCAGGUUCAGGAUGCCAAGCCCACCCUUUAAUUUAGGUCUACAUACCAGAGGCCAGGCCGCCAAAGAGUUCCCCUUUUCCUGGCCAUAUUUUCUCCAAAGACACGGUCUUUGUAUUCUUUCCAGUUGCUUCAAAAUCCCUUGUGGAAUAGAUAAGCUACAGAGGAAGAAUAUUGGCAAUGAGGAAAUAACGGAAUUUACCAACUGCAGUCUGCUACCUUGUGGUAGAAACCAAGAGCUAGCAGUCAACCUUCUUUCCAUGCAGUCCACAAGUGGCAAAAGGUCCACAAUUUUGGGCCUAGUGGUUCCCACUGGCAACCCCAGGUAUGUGAAAGGCAUCACCCCCAGUUGACAUCCAAAUUGAGCAGCAAGAACAUUGGCAUAAUUGGUAUCCACAUUAAUUGGGUACAUUGAAGAUUUGUGGUAAUUAAUCUGCAAACCAGUUGCCAGAGAAAAGGAGUCUAGAAUAGCUUUUAGCACCUCUAACUGAGCAGACUCAGCAGCCACAAACAAUAAUGUGUCAUCAGCAUAUUGAACCACUGGAUAGUCAGGAUCAUGAGUUACUAGGGGUAAGGAAAGGAGUCCUUUGCUGAGUUGAUCAUUAAUCAUAGUCUGCAGAAGGUCAGCAGCAAGCACAAAGAGCAAAGGUGAGAUAGGAUCACCCUGCUUUACCCCACAUUUACACUUGAAAUGGCUACCUGGAACCCCAUUAAGCAGGAUUGAUGAGGUUGCAGAGGACAACAAUUGUUGUAUCCAAGAAAUCCAUCUAUUAUCAAAUCCCUUUGCCACCAUUAUUUUUAUAAUUGCCUCAUGCUGUAUGGAAUCAAAUGCUUUUUCAAAAUCCAACUUAAGCAACAUGAUUGGCCUUUUUGAUUGAUUGCACUGAUGAAUAUACUCAAAAGUCCAUGCAAUACAAUCCUGAAUGGAUCUAGAUUUGAUAAAACCAUACUGAUUGUUGUGAACACAUUUAGUUAUUUCAUCUUGAAAUCUGUUUGCAGUAAGUUUAGUAAGGAACUUCAACCCCACACUUGUCAAUGUUAUUGGCCUAAAAUCACUGGCAGUCUCAGGUGACAGCUUUUUGGGGAUCAGAGUGAUAUAUGCCUCACUGAGAUUCUCUAGUUUAACAGUUCCUGCAUGAAACUCAUUAACUAGGGAGAUAAAGUCACCAAAAAUGAUUGGCCAACAUUUUUUCAUAAAAAGUCCAUUAAAACCAUCAGGCCCUGGGGCCUUGUCAAUUGGCAACUCCUUGAUAACCUGUUCAAUCUCCUUGACCUCAAAAGGCUUGGUGAGAACAUCCAGUCCCUGUACCCUAGGGAUUAGAGAAAGAAUGUCAUUUCCCAUGAAAAUUGGUUUCACAGUACCCAUUCUUCCUUUGAAAAUCUCCAGAAAUUCCUUGGCAAUAGUGUUAUGAUCAGAAGACACUGAUCCAUCUGACAACUGCAGAGUGACAAUUGAAUUUUUCCUAUAUCUUUCAGUUGCCAUUGCCUGGAAGAAUUUUGAGUUUUCCUCACCCACCUUAAUAUAUCUAAUAGUGCAUCUCUUCUUCCAAUAUAAGAACUGUAGGUGUAGCAGAUGAUCAUGAUGUGAUUUCACCAAUUUUCUGAAAUUGGAUUCAGGCAAAAAUAAAGGCCUGGAGUCUUCCAAAUCAUCCAGCCACAAAAUCACCCAGUUACAUUUCUCAAUAAGACCUUUAAUAUGAGAUAAACCCUUCUGCCAUUUCUUGAGAGCAAAUCUCAAAGAUUUCAGUUUAUCCAUAAUAACUGCUGAUAUGUGAGACUUCUGAGACUGCCUUUGCCAGACUUGCUGAACACACUCCAUAAAACCAGGUUGAUGGAUCCAAUAAUUUUCAAAUCUGAAAAUAUGAGCUUUUGGGAUUCUGGUGCUUAUGGAAACCACACAAGGGACAUGAUCCGAUGCAGUUUUGGCUAGAGGAUUGACCUGCGUGUUUGGAUAUUGAUCAAUCCAACUGGCAGAGGUGAAAAACCAGUCCAACUGUUCAAGAAGUGGGAAAUCCUGCAUAUUAGACCAGGUGAAUCUUCUUCCUUUUAAAGGUAGCUCCAGCAGUCCCAAAUGCCCAAUGAUCUCAUUAAAAAGAAAAAUAUCAUUGAUAUCACCCCCAGGAAGAUUUCUAUUAUCCAGAGAUCUUAUGAAAUUGAAAUCUCCAAGCAGAAGCCAGUUUUUCUCAGGUUCCACAUUUAAAUUAUAAAGCCAGCUGACAAAUUCAUCUCUUAAGGUACCUUGACAGGGUCCAUAAACAUUAACCAGGUACCAAAAAUCACCAUUAUGCAUGGACUUAAAACUAAUGACAAUCCCAUAAGGUUUUGCUUCCACUAAAUCCCCUGAGAAAACAUCAGAGCGCCACACGACUAGAAUGCCACCGGAAGCUCCCCUAGAAGGGGAUUCAAUAAACUGGUCAAAACCCGCAGGACAAAUGCUCUUAAUUAAAGCACGUGGGCACUCCGAUAAUUUUGUUUCUUGCAGACAAACAACUGCACAAUGGCUCUCAAGAACUUUCUGCCGGACCGCACAUUGUCUUACAUCAGAAUUAAGUCCACGUACAUUCCAACAAUGUACCUUCCAGCUACGCAUGGGCAUUUGAUUCAUAUGAUAACACAGGAUAGCACAUUAAAAACAGUGGGACACCUAGUGCCGCACAACCCAUAACACAUAAUAGCAAAAGAGCCAAAUCAUAACCAGAGUGCCAAGUUUCAGAGAUAACAUAACAGUCAGCAAAUUUGACAGGCUCGCUACACCUAGGAAACACAUUAAACUUUAACAUUUAAAUGUUGCUGGAGGGGGUAUCAUCCUUAGGAUCAGCCAUAAGCUUCUCCCUAGAAAGCAAGUUGGGGUCCAUCUCCAGCUCAGCUCCAAUUGCCUGCAGCACAGCGAUCGGCGUCUGCGUGUGGACCUCCUCAGGCUUGUCAUGACAAACAUCGUCAGUAUUUUCCACUCCAGCAGCAUCAAGUAUCUAUAUGGGCUGGGCCUUCUCUUCCAUGGGCUUGGACCUUGGGCGUCGUUUAGCAGGCUGUAAAGAAAGCUGCUCAAAGACCAUCGAUUUGAAACCAUCAAGUUUUGCCGCGCUCCUCGUACAUCUUCUGACUGAGGUAUCAACCAAAGGAGCAGAAAUCUUGCGCCUACCGCACUGGGCUUUCUGUCGUGGCGUCGCUUCAGACGCAAAAACCACAGGCAAGGGCCCCUCUUCCUGACCAACAGGACCCACGGGCUCCAAAGAUAGCUGAUUAUUACUGAAUCCCACAGGCUCAGCAAUAUCAGUAGGUUCAUCGCUUGCAACUGAGCAACUAGGGGCUGCUAGAGAAGCAAACAAAGAGCGAGCAACAGGGCGCCGAUUGACGGACGCAGAGCUUGACAAACAAGAGACCAGCGAAGACACUCUGUUGGUAUCAUCAAAAGCAAUCGACCACUUGCUCUUGGAGAAAGUUACUGUCCCAAACUGCUUGAAGAAUAGUGACCUUGGCACUUCUUUCACAGAAAAUUCAGACAUCAAAUUCUCAAAAGACCGCUUCCAAAGCAGUUCAGGUGGAAGAGGGGGUCCAGCCACCACCCUAGCCAUCCCAAUGAUGAUCUGGUGGUGUUGAAUCACUGGAGGUUGAUAGGGGACAAUAGCCAAAGGAUUAUCUUCCACAAAAGCAGGUUGUUCCUGAACUUCAGCAACCAAAUCAACUAUCUGCUGGUGUUGAGGCCCUUCAUCAUGCAGAAGCUGUUCCACAGACUCUGAUAGUUCUGGUUGAUCAAUGACAAUUGAGACUUGAUCUUGUUCUGGCAUUUCUGGCGGAUGUGGGUGAUUGAUAUUGUCAUCAUCGCCCCACAGAGCAUUACCCCAAUCAGCAUCCACUAGAUUCUCUGGGGGAGGAGCAGGUGCAAGAGGCGCUUCAUUCCAGCCAAUCAUCGGGUAAGGCGGCAGAACAAACGGGAUGUUGUCAGGAACGAGAUGACCAGGCAUUGGAUGAGGGUUACCAUCCAGAGGCAUCGGGUCUUCAUCAUUAGGCAUCUGAUCAGCAAAAUCUGCCCCAAGAACAUAACAUGCAGCAGUCCAGGAAACUUGGGCACCACCCCACUCAGCAUAGUCCCCAAAAACCACAUCUCGUGGUACUAACGGUGUAUCAGGAAAGCUGGCUCAACAACAGCUCGUACCAGGUACAGGUCUUCACUAUCCCAGGAAUGAAAUUUUCCAAAAGUACCAACUGCCUGAGAAAUAUAUUCAGUCGUACGAUAAUCCAGGGGAAUCCCAACAAACAUUAACCAGCCCCUACGAAAACCAGUAUUCCCUUUGAAGUUGUCACCCUCAUCAUGCUUCAUAAAUCUAACAAAUCGAUCAUUACCCAGAGCAAACGGCGGGUGCUGAAUCAGGGUAUAUCUGACAGUGGGAUCUCGAACUUGGAGCAAACCAACCCCAUGAAACCAAGGCUGAGCAGAACGAACAAGAAUACCUCUGUUCUGAAGAAACUGCACCACUUCCUCUCUGACCGGCCCUAGAGGUCCAUCCGGCGCUGGCAUGACUUCAGCAACCAUAUAAUCUUCAUGGCGACGGGGAGGGCGGGCCGCCGGUGUGAAGAAAGUGCGAGGUAAACGCCGAUCACCACCAUCAAUGAUGUGAUGUCCCGGAGGCACUAGGCGAUGUGGAUCAAGCUCGAAGUUCGCCAUGUGUGGCAACGGCGACGAACUUAGGGUUUCUUUGGAAAGACAGGAGGUAUCCUUGGCAGGUGGAAGAGGAGAAUGGAGCAAUGCGGGCGGAGACGAUAUGACAGGACUAGAUAUCCCAAUAACUCCGGCUCCCUUCCCCUGAACAGCUGAUGUUCCCGAAAUACUCGUGUUUCGUUGCAGAGUGCUCUACCUCCAAACCAAUCCGUGCGAGCGUGCAAAAUCAUUACAGUCACGUCUAAAGUGACCCACCCUGGAGCAAGCCGAACAGACCACUCGCAUUCCACAAGAGACUUCCAUGUGGCCCUUCUGACCGCAAUCAGUACAUGUUAGAACUUGGUCCACCAUGUCAUCGACCAUAGCUUCAAAAAGUCGCGCUGCCUCUUGUGAAGAAGGAAUUUCCAUAGGUUCACUAGACGGGCUGAGUUGCACAGGCGAAUCCAAACCAACAUCAGAAGGUCCAGUAUAGGGGGUAUCCUCUAUUGGCCGAGUAAGUGGAUCAUCAUGGGCCACCAAGCCCACACCCUGCGGGUUCCCAAACUGAGCGGGCCCAGGGGCCAAAGCCUUAUUUUGAAUUAACGAAGUUCCCGCUUCCUGAAAUUGUGCUGCGAGAUUACCGGACCUCACGAUUUGCGGAUCCACUGAAACCGGUUCGUCCACCACCAGAAGCGCAUCCGGCCGCCGGAGUAACUCCAGUGAACUAUUAACCGUACCAAAAACUAUGGGUGGCUGCGUCACCAUCCAAUGCAAACCAGGAGCAGGAGGUUGCCGAAUGACAACUCGCUCAUGAGCAGAAAGAUCAUAACCCCCAUCAACUAUAGUAUCAAUGCAAGUCUGAGAUGCAGGGUAUCUAUAGCCCUUGCAAGCCGAAUACUUUUCAAAAGUGGCAAACGACAGUUUCUUAUUUGCAGAAGAUCUAGAUUUGAAAGCAGACUUAACAGGGGGUUUAUGCAUAGCCAAUAAACCAAGCGAAGAUCUAAGCUUAGUGGGGCUAAUCAAAAUCCAUUCAGCAUCACAUUCUUUACGCCAGAUCUUAAGUUCUCUGACCCAAUUUGGUCCUCCAUUCCCCCAUAGAUGAAAAUAGCACUUGAACAGAUCGCAAGCAAAAGAGCGAAGAUCCAGAAUAAUAAAGCCAACUUGCAUGCAUGAAACUUGGAAAGAAAAAACUUUGUCCUUGACAUGACUAACCUGAAGAUCAAUUGCAGAACCACCAAGCGCAGCUUCCAGCGCCGCUGCCACUGAAUCCUCAGAUAAACGGAAGGCAUGCCUACUGAAGGACACAAUCAAUAUGAAAGAUCUCCCUCUUCCCAGUGGAUGAAUUGUGCGACCAGUAGAUCUGAAUACUUCAUCCGAGAAAACCCUACCCUUGGAGAAAUCCAAGCCAAGGGUAGAUCCACCAGUAGAACCCAUUGGAGAUGGGUAUUGCCUUGAUCCAGAGAAGACGCCGAAGAGGAUGAUCGGAACCGAUCAGCAGACCAGUGGAGAGAAAGGGAGAUCGCCGGAGAAGAGACUAGCGCCGAGGUGGGAGGUGGGAGCGCCAUUAUUGUCAUGCACUUUUAUGGUUGGAUGCACAAAAUCUUAAUGCAAAAGAAGGUCACUUUAUAUUGCCACUUGUGAUAUGGACUUUCAUUAUGCAGUCUGUCGCUUUUAUUUCUUCCACAUCACAAGAUCAUAUAAAGCUUAUUUUCUGCACAUUAAUAAAUUAUACAUAUUUAGAAGGUAAUUUUUAUUGCAUGCACCGAUGACAACUUACUUGAAGGAUCUUGCUCAAUCCAUGGUAGGUAUGGUGGACUCUCAUGGCAAAACUGGGUUUAAGGAUAUUUGGAAGCACAAGUAGUAUUUCUACUUGUUGCAAAGAACUUGGCUAGAAUGAGAGGGAAAGGCAAGCUCAACAUGUUGGAUGAUCCAUGACAAUAUAAUUUAUCUCACACGUAAGAAAACAUAACCCAUUAUGUUGUCUUCCUUGUCCAACGUCAACUCUUUAGCAUGUCAUAUUUUAAUGAGUGCUCACAAUCGUAGAAGAUGUCCAAGAUAGUAUAUUUAUAUGUGAAAACCUCUCUUUCUUUAUUACUUCCUAUUAAUUGCAACGAUGACCAAAACUAUGUUUGUCAACUUUCAACAACUUUUAUUCAUCAUACUCUUAUAUGUGAAGCCAUUACUCUCCAUAAGAUCCAUAUGAUCUCUUUAUUUCUUUUUAUUAUUUUAUUCCCUCAAGAUCAUAGCAAGAUAAUCAAGCCCUUGACUCAACACUAAUCUUUAUUAUAUAGCUCACGAACUCGAUUACAUAAAAGGAUCAUAAAGCAAAACUCACAACUAGAUCAUACUAAAACUUUAUGCUACUAGAUCAAGAUAUUACCAAAAGGAUCGAACUAAGAAAAACGGUAAAGAUAAAAGUUGUGAUGGUGAUACGAUACCGGGGCACUCCCCCAAGCUUGGCAGUUGCCAAGGGGAGUGCCCAUACCCAUGUGUUUAUGUCUCCUUUGUUGGUGAAGAAGAUGAUGGUUUUGUUGAUGAUGUAGGCUUGUCGUCCAUCUUCCAAGGCAUAGGCUCACCAUCAUAGAAGGAUGAUCGAGUCUCCGGGAUCCUCAAAUCUGCAGCCAAACUCAUCCUCUUGAAUCUAUAUUCAUACUCACAGUUUUGGUUUUGCAGGUCAUAGAUCUGGGCUUGGAGGCACUCGAUUUUCUCGUGAAGCUUGAAGAUGGCCUCCCCAAUGUUCUUGGCUUCUAGCUUGGUGGUGUUGGUGUACUCUGUGAUCAUUAGGUGGUUGGUGUCGAGUCCACGUUCCACCAUCUCCCGGCACAUGAAAACUUGUUGCUCCAUUGCUUCGAGUCUUGCCUCCACGCUUUCGGUCUUCCUUGGUCCCUCAACACCGCGGAUGUGCAGCAACCCCUCACGCAUCUCAAUGGUUUGAGGGUGUUACAGCACCUCCGCGAGGUAAGGGUUGAUGACCUUCUCGAAGAACUUGUCCUUGGGGGCACUUGAAUACGCCAUGGUGAUCUGGAUCUGUCAGAAAAACAGCUCGAAACAAAGACAAGAUAUAUUUGCGUGAUACGGUGGUCAAAACCUCCGGGAGAUUAUAUAGUGAAUUUUUACUGACCAAAAGAAGUACCGUGCAACAAAACGGAGUCCGGAGAGUGCAUGAGGUGCCCACGAGGCAGGGGGGGCGCGCCUCCCACCCUCGUGGAAGCCUCGUGUCCUUCCCGGACUGCUUCUUAUUUUCCUUUUUUUAUAUAUUCCGAAAGGGAGAAAAAUUGCCAUUAGAACAGUUUUGGAGUCAGUUUACUUACCGUACCACGUACCUAUUCCUUUUUGGAGUCUGAAACGUUCCGGAAAGUGUCCCUUAUGUAUUACUCUGGGGUUACGGUUUCAAUAAUAUUAGUUUCAACAUUUAUGGGAUUACCUGAGAUCUAAUGUUUGAUUUUUUGAUCGUUUACUACCCUCGAAUUUGUGCCUUCGAAGUUGUUGAUUUUUAUGGCACCGGAACGAUAGACCUCCUCGAUGACAUAAGGACCUUCCCAUUUAGAGAGGAGUUUGCCUGCAAAAAAUCCUAAACGAGAGUUGUAUAGCAAUACAUAAUCACCUACGUUAAACUCAUGCUUUUGUAUCCUUUUAUCAUGCCAUCUUUUAACUUUUUCUUUAAACAACUUGGCAUUUUCAUAAGCCCGGGUUCUCCAUUCAUCAAGUGAGCUAAUGUCAAAUAACCUCUUCUCACCGACAAGUUUGAAAUCAUAAUUGAGCUCUUUAAUAGCCCAACAAGCCUUAUGUUCUAGUUCAGAGGUAAGUGACAUGCUUUACCAUAUACCAUUUUAUAUGGAGACAUACCCAUAGGAUUUUUAUAUGCAGUUCUAUAGGCCCAUAAUGCAUCAUCAAGUUUCUCGGACCAAUUCUUUCUAGAUCUAUUAACAGUCUUUUGCAAAAUUAAUUUAAGCUCUCUAUUACUCAAUUCUACUUGACCACUAGACUGUGGGUGAUAUGGAGAUGCAAUUCUAUGAUUAACAUCAUACUUAGCAAGCAUUUUACGAAAGGCACCAUGAAUAAAAUGUGAACCACCAUCAGUCAUUAAAUAUCUAGGGACUCCAAAUCUCAGAAAAAUAACUUCUUUAAGCAUCUUAAUAGAGGUGUUAUGAUCAGCACUACUAGUUGGAAUAGCUUCUACCCACUUAGUAACGUAAUCAACAGCGACUAAAAUAUGUGUAUACCCAUUAGAGGAAGGAAACGGUCCCAUAUAAUCAAAGCCCCAAACAUCAAAUGGUUCAAUAACAAGUGAAUAAUUCAUAGGCAUUUCUUGACGUCUACUAAUAUUACCAAUUCUUUGACAUUCAUCACAAGACAAGACAAACUUACGAGCAUCCUUGAAGAGAAUAGGCCAAUAAAAACCGGACUGCAAUACCUUGUGUGCAGUUCUAUCUCCAGCGUGGUGCCCUCCAUAACCCUCGGAGUGACACUUGCGUAGGAUCUAUUCCUGUUCAUGCUCAGGCACACAACGUCUAAUAACACCAUCUACUCCUUCUUUAUAAAGGUGUGGGUCAUCCCAGAAGUAAUGCCUUAAAUCAUAGAAGAACUUUUUCUUUUGUUGGUAUGUGAAACUAGGUGGUAUAAAUUUAGCAACAAUAUAAUUAGCAUAAUCAGCAUACCAUGGAGAAGUGCAGGAAGUAUUUAUGACAUUUAAUUGUUCAUCAGGAAUAUAUCAUCAAUAGGUAGUGGGUUAUCAAGAACAUUCUCUAACCUAGACAAGUUGUCUGCAAUGGGGUUCUCAGCUCCCUUUCUAUUAAUAAUAUGCAAAUCAAAUUCUUGUAGCAAUAGAACCAAUCUAAUAAGUCUAGGUUUAGCAUCUUUCUUUUCUAUAAGAUAUUUAAUAGCAGCAUGAUCAGUGUGAAUAGUUACUUUAGAAUUAAUAAUAUAAGGUCUGAACUUAUCACAAGCAAAAACAACUGCUAAGAAUUCUUUUUCAGUAGUAGCAUAAUUUCUCUGGGCACUGUCUAGAGUUUUACUAGCAUAUUGAAUAACAUUUAAUUUCUUAUCAACUCUUUGCCCUAGAACAACACCUAUAGCAUAAUCACUAGCAUCACACAUAAUUUCAAAAGGUAAAUUCCAAUCAGGUGGCUGAACUAUAGGUGCGGAGAUCAAAGCUUUCUUAAGUACUUCAAAUGCUUCUACACAAUCAUCAUCGAAGACAAAGGGAAUAUCUUUUUGUAAAAGAUUAGUCAGAGGCCAAGAAAUUUUUGAGAAGUCCUUAAUGAACCUCCUAUAAAAACCGGCAUGACCAAGGAAACUUCUUAUACCUUUGAUGUCCUUGGGACACGACAUCCUUUCAAUAGCAUCAACUUGGGCUUUAUCAACUUCAAUACCUCUUUCAGAAAUUUUACGUCCCAAGACAAUGCCUUCAUUAACCAUAAAGUGGCAUUUCUCCCAAUUCAAGACAAGAUUAGUUUCUUCACACCUCUGCAAAACUCGAUCAAGGUUGCUCAAGGAAUCAUCAAAAGAGGAUCCAUAAACUGAGAAAUCAUCCAUGAAAACCUCACAAAUCUUUUCACAGAAGUCAAAGAAUAUAGCCAUCAUGCAUCUUUGAAAGGUAGCAGGUGAAUUACAUAAACUAAAAGGCAUACGUCUAUAAGCAAAAGUACCGAAAGGGCAAGUAAAAGUGGUCUUUUCUUGAUCCUCAGCUGACACAGGUAUUUGAGAGAAACCAGAGUAGCCAUCUAGAAAUCAAAAAUGUGUAUGUUUGGAUAAUCUUUCUAGCAUUUGAUCAAUAAAAGGCAAAGGGUAAUGAUCUUUUUAGUAGCUUUAUUUAGUUUGCGGAAAUCAAUUACCAUCCUAUAACCUGCAAUAAUUCUCUGCGGGAUCAAUUCAUCUUUAUCAUUAAGAACGACAGUAAUACCUCCCUUCUUAGGGACACAAUGGACAUGACUUACCCACUGACUAUUAGCAACGGGAUAAAUUAUACCUGCCUCUAGGGGCUUUAAUAUUUCCUUUCUUACCACUUCUUUCAUCUUAGGAUUUAGCCAUCGUUGGUGAUCAAUAACUGGUUUGGCAUCUUUCUCCAAAUUUAUUUUGUGUUGACAAAGAGUGGGACUAAUGCCCUUAAGAUCAUCAAGCGUAUAUCCAAUAGCAGCACGGUGCUUCCUCAGAGUUUUCAAUAAUCUCUUUUCUUCAUGCUCUGAAAGGUUAGCACUAAUAAUAACAGGAUAUAUCUUCUUUUCAUCAAGAUAAGCAUAUUUAAGAGUAUCAGGUAAUGGUUUAAGCUCAAACACGGGAUCACCCUUGGGUGGAGGAGGAUCCCCUAGAAUUUCGACGGGCAAGUUGUGUUUUAGAAUAGGUCCCUAUUUAAAGAAUACUUCAUCUAUUUCCCUUCUUUCAUUCAUAAACAUUUCAUUUUCAUGGUCUAGAAAAUAUUGUUCUAAAGGAUCAGUAGGAGGCACGGCAAUAGAAGCAAGACCGAUAAUUUCAUCUUUACUAGGCAAUUCUUUAUCAUGGGGUUGUCUACGAAACUUAGAAAAAUUAAACUCAUGAGACAUAUCCCCUAAACCAACAGAAACAAUAUCCUUAUUGCAGUCUAUCUUAGCAUUAACAGUAUUCAAGAAGGGUCUACCGAAUAUAAUGGGACAAAAGUCAUCUUGUGGGGAACCAAGAACAAGAAAAUCAGCAAGAUAUUUAACUUUUCCACACAAGACUUCAACAUCUCUAACAAUCCCAAUCAGUGAAAUAGUAUCUCUAUUGGCAAGCUUAAUGGUAACCUCGAUAUCUUCUAUCGCAGCAGGUGCAAUAUCAUGCAUAAUUUCUUUGUAUAAGGAAUGAGGUAUUGCACUUGCACUAACACCCAUAUCACAUAAGCCAUGAUAACAAUGAUCUCCUAUCUUAACAGAUAUAACAUGCAUGCCUACAACAGGUCUAUGCUUAUUUUUAGUAUCAGGCCUAGCAAUUCUAGCAGAUUCUUUACAGAAGUAAAUAACAUGUCCGUCAAUACUAUCAGCCAAGAGAUCCUUAACCAUAGCAAUAUUAGGUUCAACUUUAAUUUGCUCAGGGGGUUUGUGUGUCCUAAUAUUACUUUUGUUGACUACAGUUGAAGCUUUAGCAUGAUCCUUAAUUCUAACAGGGAAAUGUGAUUUCUCAACAUAAGCAGUAGGAACAACAGGAUCAACAUAAGUGAUAGUCUUUUCUUCAACUGUAAUAGGUGCCACUACAAUGGUAGGAUUAUAUUUAAACCACUUCUCCUUAGGGAGAUCAACAUGAGUAGAAAAGGAUUCACAGAAAGAAGCUACUAUCUCAGAUUCAAGUCCAUAUUUAGUGCUAAAUUCACGAAAAGCAUCGGUAUCCAUUAAAGAUUUAACACAAUCAAACUUAGGUGUUAUACCUGACUCCUUACCUUCAUCGAGGUCCCAAUCUUCAGAGUUGUGUUUAAUUCUUUCCAAUAAAUCCCAUUUGAAUUCAAUAGUCUUCAUCAUAAAAGAACCAGUACAAGAAGUAUCGAGCAUGGAGAGAUUAUUGGGAGAAAGCCGAGCAUAAAAAUUUUGAAUAAUCAUUUCUCUUAAGAGCUCAUGAUUGGGGCAUGAAUAUAACAUUGACUUAAUCCUCCCUCAAGAUUGAGCGAUGCUUUAUCCUUCGCAAGGCCAAAAAUUAUAUAUAUAAUUAUGAUCACGAUGAACAAGAUGCAUAGGAUAAAACUUCUGAUGGAAUUCCAAUUUCAAUCGUUUGUAGUCCCGUGAUCCCAUAUCAUCACAUAGCCUAUACCAUGUCAACACAUCUCCCUUCACAGAUAAAUGGAAUACCUUCUUCUUGAUAACAUCCUCGGGCAUACCUGCAAGCUUAAAUAAUCCACAAACUUCAUCCACAUAGAUUAAUUGUAAAUCGGGAUGCAAUGUUCCAUCUCCUGCAAAAGGAUUAGCUAGCAAUUUCUCUAUUAUACCCGAAGUAAUUUCAGAGCAAACAUUUUCAGUAGGUUCGGUAGUUUGAGAGGUAACUUAUUGUGGUUCUGGAUGAGGUGAAGAUACCCUGAACAAACCCCUCAAAGGAUUAUGUUCCAUAGUAACAAGUGAUAGUAAAUUUCAGCACACUAUAUGUUGGGGAUAUCACUACUGGGCAUAAACCGGCCUAUCUGGGCCGGUUUAACUUCGUCAGUAGUUAAGUAUGUUAAAGCCCAAGAAGGCAAAUGAGGGCUCAAGGCCCAUGGUCGGUUCAAGGCCUGUAGCCGUAAACCGGCGUUGGUAUUUAACUUGUAUUGUAAGUUAGGAAUAAGUAGAGACCAAACCGGACACAUCUAUGAGCCAGUAUUGGGACUCUGUGAACCGACGGGUGUCACCCGUGUAUAUAAGGGGACGACCCGGCGGCGGUUCAAAGACAACAGACAACAGACAACAACUCGAGACAUAGGCGAAGCUUGUUUGCUCCCUAGUCAUUGAAACCCCAUCAAUUCCAUCACAACUAGACGUAGGCUUUUACCUUCAUCGAAGAGGCCGAACUAGUAUAAACUCUCUUGCAUCCCUGUGUCCGCUUUAACCCCUUCAAGCUAACCCAUCGCGAUGGCUCCACGACUAAGUCCUUUCUCUAGGACAUCUGCCGUGACAAAACCACGACAGUUGGCGCCCACCGUGGGGCUAUCGCACGAUGGUUUCAAGUUCUUGGAGGGCCGAUUUGAAGGACUCGAGGGCUACGCCAUAGGCCGGAUGACUAAGAGUCGUCGCGGCAAGCUUUACAUCGACGAUGCAGGCUGGGGCCCCGAGGCCGGCUUAGUUGAGUAUGGGUACCGGGUCCCCUUUGGUGGCAUACACGUUUUCAUCGGCAAGAUCAGAGAACCGGGCCCUGAGCCGGAUAUCUGCACCGACCUCGUCGAAACGGCUCAGCGUGCGCGAUCUGCCCGGGUUAAACCGGCCAUGAAGCGUGCCUUCGUGGGAGUCAUCCAUGGAGGAGGUCAUGAGGAUGGGUCGGGAUCUGGCGGCGAGACCGUCAUUUACUCCGGCGAUGAGUCAUCAACCGGAGAAACCGAAUCUCUUUAUCAGCUACAAGAUGGCCGAAUUGGGGGCUGUUCCGAUGGCGACAGUAUUCCGGACCCCUCUGAUCUGCCCAACCGAGUUGGAAUAUUCAUGGCCAGCACACAAGCAGCGCUUCAUUCUUCGACCGCUACGGCAACAACCUCCGGUUCAGCAGCGGCGACGGCUGCCGGGGCAGGAGGCCCUGUGCGCCCGCCGGCUCAAGUUCUAUCAGAGCUAUUUGAUGCAUUGGCUGUGCUUAUGGCGGAAGCUAAUCCGGCGGAUCAGGACGUCCACAACGCGGAGAUUGCAAAGGUAAGGGAACAGAUCACCCAGGACAAGGCGGACCUGGCAGCUGAGGAUACCAGGAUGGCCGCAGAGCGGGCCGCUCAAGACGCACAAGCCUACAGGCUCAUGUUGGACCAGAACGCGUCGCAUGAAGUCAUGAGGAGGAAGUACCGAUCCAGUUUGCCUUCGGUUUUCGAGGCUAGAGACCUUUUCAACACCCCAGGAGCAGGAACCAGUAAUCCGCUGGAGGGAAACCGGGCGGAAGCUCCUGGGACCGGUGCGCCGGUUCAGCCUCGUCGGAUGGACCCGCCUUGUCAAAACACCGUUAUACCUCAGGCUAUUCCGACACCUCCGGGUCACUACUCCAACCAAAUGGACAAUCUCGUUGUCGCUGCUGCACGGCUGGAGGCCAUUCCAAUUGAAGGUGACUCACCACAGGCGAUAGAGACGCGACGGGUCAAGGAGCUUCUUAGGACAGCUUUGGACCAAUAGGAAGCAUACUCGUACAGCCGCGACCGGAUCCACUCGACCCCUCGCCCAAGCCGGAGCUAUAGCAGGCGUAUGGAGGAACCGACAGUGUCAAGUAAUGAACGACGUGGAGCACCUCGCGGCAACAACCCGGCGGGUGGUGCUGAUAACGCUCAGGAAGUGGUGGACCGGGCUCAGCACGCAGGGAGGCCGAGUUAGCCGCACAAUAUCAGGCUCGGCAGCUUACGCCGGUUCGUCCAACUAUUUCGGUCGAACCCGGUGUUACUUCUAGCUCUUUGGGGGUGCCUUGCCUUGUCCCUGCUUUACGCAAUGUGCGCCUGCCCAAGGAUUUCAAGGGCCCGCGCAAGGUACCAAAUUACACGGCGGAUCAACCCCCAGAGACAUGGGUGGAGAGCUAUGAGAUGGCCAUGGAGAUGCUGGAUGUGGAUGAUGCGACAUGUGCAAAGUACUUCACCAUGAUGCUUGAAGGAACGACCCGCACUUGGUUAAAAAGCUUACCGGCCAAUUCUAUCAGUUCAUGGGCCCAAUUACGAGCCCGGUUUAUCAAUAAUUUCAAGGAUACAUGUAAGCAGCCCAUGUCGAUAGUAGACUUAGCUUCCUGUGUCCAGGAGGAAGGAGAAUCGACAACUCAUUGGGUGCGCCGGGUCUCACAAGUGUUGCAUUCAUCAGACCGCAUCAACGCUGACACCGCAGUCUUAACCCUAGAAGGCAACUGCCGGUUUGGGCCCCUAAAGCUGAAGUUGGGACGGAUGAAGCGCCAUUGCACUGACAUGGGGACCCUCAUGGCUGCUUUGGUAAAGUAUGUUGAUUCUGAUAGUACCAAGGAUCCUGAAUCUGAUGAUGACAAGGCAGGGAAGGGAAAGAGGAACAGCAACUCCAAAGGUCAGGAGCAUCACUGGGCAGGCAAUGGUGGUGGAGGAAAGCGUAAAGCGGAUGGUAACAUGGACUUUGUGGCUAAUACCAACGCGCAGGACAAUGGCCAGCGACGCAAGGGUAAACCGAAAAAUCGCAGUGGGGCACCCAACCCUAACCCAGACCGCCUAAAUUAUCUGCUAAGCCAGCCCUGUCCAAGACAUGGGACGAAGGAGGUGCCAGCAAACCACCUUUGGAAGGAUUGCUUCAUUAUGUAGGAGUUCAAGAAUUCUAAUGCUUUCCGGUAUGAUCACGGCUCCGGCGGUGGCUCAGGAUCCGGGCCGGGUUACGGCGGAGCAAAUUCCGGUUCAGGAUUUAAUGGUAAUCCAGGCGGACAUAACAGUCAAAAUAAUCAGAACAACCAAAGUGGUUACAACCAGCAGCAGCAACAGUUAGGUUACCAGAGCAACCCAAAGCAGUUGAAUAGUGGGUAGUACCAUGUCUUUACCACUAGCUUGGACAAGUGAGACCGGAAGGUUCAGAGGCGGGCAGUCAACUCUGUUGAACCGGCCGUGCCCUGUUAUCUACGCUGGUCUGAAUAGCCAAUCAUAUGGAGCAGGGAGGAUCAGCCUCCCCAGGUUGAUAAUCCAGGUCAGUUGGCUCUGGUGGUGGCGCCUCAGGUGGGAGGUUACAGUUUCACCAAAGUGCUCAUGGAUGGAGGGAGCAGCAUUAAUAUCUUGUACUAUGAGACCUUCCAUCGUAUGGGACUAACAGAUAAAAAUCUCAAACCAUCUAAUACGGUGUUCCGCGGUGUGGUACCUGGCAAGUCAGCAUACCCUAUUGGUAAGAUAGCUCUGGAAGUGGCCUUUGGAGAUGAUCAUGAUUCCAGGUCGGAAACAUUGACGUUUGAAGUAGUGAAAAUCCAAAGUCCAUAUCACGCCCUAUUUGGCGACCGGCCUACGCCAAGUUUAUGGCACAGUGUCACGCCCUCGAUGCGGCUAUAUCUCCCACGUGUCGAAGCACGACUUAGAGGCAUAACCGCAUUGAAAGCAAUGUCGCAAGUGAGGUAAUCUUCACAUAACCCAUGUAGUACAUAAGGGAAAGAGAUACAUAGUUGGCUUACAAUCGCCACUUCACAUAAUUACAUGAAUAAAGCAUUACAUCAUCCAAAUACACUCAAGGUCCGACUACGGAACCAAAAUAAAAGAAGAACCCCAAAUGCGACAAGGUCCCCGAUCGACCCCAACUGGGCUCCACUACUGAUCAACUAGAACAAAACAACACAAAGGACAAGAUCUUCAUCGAGCUCCUCCUGAGCUUGGUUGUGUCAUCUGCAUGGUUUCAUCGACACCUGCAAGCUGGUUUUGGAAGUAUCUGGGAGUCACGGGGACUCAGCAAUCUCGCACCCUUGCGAUCAAGACUAUUUAAGCUUAUGGGUAAGGUACAAGGAUGAGGUGGAGCUGCAGCAAGCGACUAGCAUAUAUGGUGGCUAACUUAUACGCAAAAGAGAGCGAGAAGAGAAGGCAAAAGCACGGUCGAACAACUAUGAUCAAGAAGUGAUCCUAGGACAACCUACGUCAAACAUAACUCCAACACCGUGUUCACUUCCCGGACUCCGCCGGAAAGAGACCAUCACGGUUACACACGCGGUUGAUGCAUUUUAGUUAAGGUCAACUUCAGGUUUUCUACAACCGGACAUUAACAAAUUCCCAUCUGCCCAUAACCGCGGGCGCAGCUUUCGAAAGUUCAAAACCCUGCAGGGGUGUCCCAACUUAGCCCAUCACAAGCUCUCACGGUCAACAAAGGAUAUUCCUUCUAGCGGGAAGACAUGAUCAGACUCGGAAUCCCGGUUACAAGACAUCCUCGACAAUGGUAAAACAAGUCCAGCAAGACCACCCGCUGUGCCGACAAAUCCCGAUAGGAGCUGCACAUAUCUCAUUCUCAGGGCACACCGGAUAAGCUAAGCUUACAGGAGCCUACGUAACCCAAGUUGCCAAGGGAUGGCCCUACACGAUGCUCUGGGUUGGACCAACACUCAGAGGAGCACUGGCCCGGGGGUUUAAAAUAAAGAUGACCCUUGGGCUGGCCUAACCCAAGGGAAAAAGAGGCUAGGUGGCGAAUGGUAAAACCAAUGUUGGGCCUUGCUGGAGGAGUUUUAUUCAAAGCGAACUGUCAAGGGGUUCCCAUAAUAACCCAACCGCGUAAGGAACGCAAAAUCCGGGAACAUAACACCGAUAUGACAGAAACUAGGGCGGCAAGAGUGGAACAAAACACCAGGCAUAAGGCCGAGCCUUCCACCCUUUACCAAGUAUAUAGGUGCAUUAAUUAAAUAAGAUAUAUUAUGAUAUCCCAACAAAAUAUCCAUGUUCCAAACAUGGAACAAGCUCCAAUCUUCACCUGCAACUAACAACGCUAUAAGAGGGGCUGAGCAAAGUGGUAACAUAGCCAAACAACGGUUUUCUAGGACAAGGUGGGUUAGAGGCUUGGUUCAACAAUAUGGGAGGCAUGAUAAGCAAGUGGUAGGUAUCGCAGCAUAGGCAUAGCAAAAGAGCGAGCAACUAUCAAGCAAAGAUAGAAGUGAUUUCGAGGGUAUGAUCAUCUUGCCUGAAAUCCCGCAAGGAAGAAGAACGAGUUCAUGAAGAAGAUAAACGGACGUAGUCGAACGGAUCCUCACAAAGCAACGUUACCAGAAACAACCCGAAGAAGCAACACCGGAAAGAAGCAAACAACAUAGUAAAAAACCACCACAUAACAUGGCAUGAUGCACAAUCAAGUAUGAUGCAUGUCCGGUUUAAUGAAGCAUGGCAUGGCAAAGUGCACAAGCAACCCUACAAAUUAAGUGGAGCACAAUAUGCAACGGAGUUGCAUAUUGCCAGAACACCACAUAGCGUAUUUAGUUCGAUCUUGUUUAUGUACCCAACAAUAUUAAAUGUUGUUAGCAUGGCAAGAGGUGAAGCAUGAUGAAACUAUCUAAUCUAGGCAAGUUUAAAUGAGGCCAGAACAACAAAACAACAAGUCCGGAAACUCCUCAUAUGCAUAUAUUAGGUUUGGUACUGUUCUGCCCUAAACAUAAUUUUAGAGUUAUUAAACAUGCAAAACAAGCACACCAUGUUAAACUAGGCAUUUUUCCACCCCAUUUACAUAUAAAGUUUAUUAAAAUCCGAGUUACGGUUAUUUAGUUAUGAAAUAAAGCAUUUUAACAUGGCAUAGGAGCAAAUUUACGCAAACAGCAUUUUAAGCAUUUGAAACAUGGAUGAAAAUGACAUAUUAUGAAACUAGACAGAAUUCUAAGCAACUUCCAUAUUAAGUUUGUUUUAAUCCGAUGCACGGUUUGUGAGUUAUUAUAUGCAUGUUGUCUAGGGACUUUUCUGUAAAACAACGGUUUUCUGGAAAAAAAACAGACAAAUUCGUAGAAUAGGAAAAACUAUACUAGGCUGAAUCUAAGGAGAGGCCCAGUAAGGCAAUAGGCGCAACAUAACUAUCAGACGCACAGGCACAGAAUAGCGGAGGGGCUGGGCUAUGCUCACAUUGGGCCAUGGGCCGAAAGUGGAGAAGCGGCCGGGCCGGAUCUGGUGACAAGAAGACGUUGCUGGGCCUUGGGCACCGCUGGGCCUCGCGCAGCGGUCAACGCAUGCAGGCGACGCGCGGGGUGUCGAGGCAGAGGCGCCAUCCUCGUCUGCCCGAACUGCUGCCGCAUCGAUGCAGCGAAAGAGACCCGCGGCUGGAGGGGCUUGGCGCGGCAGAACGUCGCAGGGACGACCGGAUCCAGGGCAGGGAGGCUCGACGGGAAGCAGGGGCAGCUGAAACUGGGCGAGGACGGCGUUCUCCGGUGAGGCGCCAGAUCCGGCGGCUGCGAGGGAGCUCCCGGGGCUGUCCAUGGUGACCUGCGAAUUUUAUGGAGAAGAGAGACCACAUGUGAGAGAGGAAACUAGAGGGAACGAGAGAAGAAGGGAAGGAGAAGCAGCGAGUGGGUGCGGGGUCCGGCCUGAUGGAGGUGGUCGCCGGCGGGGACGCGGGUGCAGCUCCGGCAAGGUUGCUGCAGGGCCGGACGAGCUGAGGUGGUCGGGGCCUCGCGAGCUGCUCGGGGUGAGGAGGUGGGCGCUGGGAGAUACGGUUGGAUGGAUGGAUCGAUGGAAUGCACUGGUUGCGCGAGGGGAUCGAGGAGGAUCGGGCGAGGCGAUCCCGAGGUGGGAUGCGACCCGAUGGCGGCAGUGGAGGGACAAAGUUCCUAAUUUUUAGGGUUGGACUAAUACAUAUAUAGCAUGUGGAUAUUUGGGUAGGGGCUAAUCCGUCCCUCCAAUAAAAUCGAGCGGCCGAGAGAAAAAAUAUGUUGGGAAGUCCAAUUAACAAAAUGGAGACGUUUUGUAUAUGUUUGGGGAUGAUCCGGACACCACGAUAACGACUGUCCGGGUCGGGUCCAGGACAGAUUUCGGAUGCGCACGUGAGGGGUUCGGUGCACUGUGCAGAGAGGGUUUCGGACCGUGUGGUCGCAUCGGACAACUCCGGAAGCGAAGAGGGGAAGGAGGAUGGACUAGGUGGGCUGUGGCGAGACUGCGAGGGGGAGAAGAGAGAGAGAGGGCCCGGCAUCUGUUUCCGGAGACCGAAAACGCCCGACGUUAGACCGGCUCCUAUUGCUGCUAUAUUUUAACGGUUGGGAUAUCAAACGAGCUCCGAAUGCGAUGAAACUUGACAGGCGGUCUAUCUACACUAAAAUAAGACCGCACGCCAACUUUCAACCCAUUCCGAGAACAUUUUCCGGCCACUUAUAAAAUAAUAUUUCGGACGUGCCGCGGGCGCGUGCAAGUGUGGUUGGGCUCAGAACGGACAACGGAGAGAACGGGGAGGCCGGGACAGAUGCAAGUUUUGAAAACAUGAUGAUGCAAUGCACAUGAUGACAUGAUGAAAUGGAACCACGCAAGCAAAUGACAUGGCAACGCCGGCGAACAACUGGAAGACACCUGGCGCAACGGUCUCGGGGCGUUACAACACUCCACCACUACGAGAGGAUCUCGUCCCGAGAUCUAGAAUGGCACCGGAGGGAAAAUGGAAGAGAAAGAGAAGAGGUAAAAACUAAGUUGCUUCUUUGACGAAUGAGUGAAACCAAAGAACCUUGAAAAGGUUAAGCCAUUUCGAGAAAAGAAUACAACGGAGAUGACAAAUUGAAAACACUCCGUUAUAAAAGAGGGACAAGGAAGAACAAAGUUGAAAGCACUCCGGUAGGGAAGAUUAAUAAGGAAGAACAAAUUUGGGCAGCACUCUGGUUGAAAAGGGCGGAUAAAGAAGAACUUUGAUCAUUUAUUAGCACCGUAAAUAGCAACAAUCCUUAGGGAAGGCUUUAUGUGAAACACGACACAAGAUAACUCCAACGAAGAGGUUGAUGGAUUUAAAAUACCUCAUUCUUAACAACAUGUGUAUCAUGAAACAUGAACUCAAGUUAUCAAGAAUGACAUAAUACCACCUCCAAUGAUACGGAAGAAAGAAUUGCACUCCGGAUAGCAAGAAGAAGAAUGCUAGAGCUCCUCUGAAAAGAAUCUUGAUGAACACUUCGAGAAGGAAUCAAAUCCUUGAUGAACCAUCAUGUAGAACCUUCGUGAGAACUCCGGUAAUAAAAGGAUGAUCAAAAGGAAGUGAAGGAUGAAAAGAAUAAGAUUGAAACCUUGCAAUGAUUAGAUGGAGCUUUGAAAUGAUAUAAUUGAAAUAACUUGGAGCUUCGUAAAAGAAAGAUUAACCAAAGCGAUCAAGAAACUAUUUGUCAUGAGCAAACUCCGGAAGAAAAGAUUAACAUACGGAUGGAAUAAGAAUAAGAAUUACAUUAUGCUUAACCUUCACCAAUUUAAUAGAUGACAAGCAAUGGAUUUGGCACACUACUUAUUCUCGUAGAAAGGAUUAAGAGAGAUAUGGCGCAAACUUGAGAAAGUCUUCAACGAUCCAUCGGUAGAAUUUGAAAAGCACGAAUGCAUAGAUAUGAUACACGAAGGAAGAAAACUCUUGAACGAACCACCGUAAGAAUUGAAAAGAACGAACAUGAAGACACACCGGGAAGAAUUAGCAAUUAAACGAAGAUGCUUGAGAGAAUUUAGAUACAAGAGGACGAAUAUGUCACGAGCUUAAUAGAGAAUAUUUGAAUGAUGUACCGGUAAGAUUUGGGGAACGAGAGCUGAAAGCUGAGAAUGAAUAACUCUGAGAUGAUGGACUCCGGAUAACAAACUAAGAAGACUCUUGAAUUGCUUCGGAUGGACGAAAAGAAUUCUCACGGUCAAAACAAUUACGAGAGGAUGGCAACAAGCUAGAAUCACGAAUCUUGAAGAGAAUGGAGCAAGAUUAAAGAGAAACUCUUCUUCGGUAUUCAAAAUCCGAGAAUGACAAUGAGAAGCACCGCCAUGAAUUAUUUAGACACUUCGAAAUGAAGAAAAGAGGAGAGGUUGAGCCAAAGAUGAAAAGAAUUUGAAAGAUCUUGGAGAAAAACACACCUGACUGAUGAAGAUUCAUUGUUAUGUCAAACUUUGAAAGAUUUGAGAAUAGCUCCGGUAAAAUAAGAAGAGUCAGGUAAGAUCCUGGGAAAAGACCUGUGGAUUAGGGCCCACUCAAAAGAAACACCGUUGAACAAUUUAAAAGAAAGAUUGCACCGGUUGAAUUAAAUGGCUUGAGUGAGAUAACAGACUCAAGAUAUCUUGAACACUUCGGAACAAAUGAAUAGUGAAGAGUGGAUGAUUAUGAGGUGCACCGGCAUGGGAAGGUAUUUGAAAUGAGGAAAAAGGAUAUGAUCAACACCAAAGCUUGAUUUGAAUACGCCAGAGAAGAAAACGAGUGAUGAGAGACGAACUUGAAUCUUCAUUAGCAUCUUCUGAGAAUCAACGGAUAAGAACAUUGACGGAAAAGAAUGGAGAGACUUCCCAUCAAUAAGAUGGAUACUCGAUUAAGAAAUCUGAGUCCUUGAAGAAAACAAGGGAGGGAGGGUGGGAAAAACAAAGACAAUUUGAAAUGGAUGAAACGAACACCGUUGAGAAAGCUGAGGUUGAAUCUUGCAAAUGUUGAAAAUGGACGGAUCCGCUUGAAGAGAAGCACACCGGUUGAAAAGGAUUGACAUGGCAAUCUCGAUUAUCAUGAAGGAUUAGUGUUUGCAUCGGAGUAUGAGAACACCAUUUGGGGAAGGUAUGGAAUCAAACACUUGACAUCGAAGCAACUCGAAUACCACAACUCAAAACAAAACAAAGGAUUGACUUGCAAAAUAAGCCGGCACAAACAUAUGAUAGAGAUUUCGUCCGAAGUUUUCAUGGUGGGGCCUACACGGGCUCGAUCGUACAGCACCAUCAUGUACAAGGCAGUGCACAUGACAUACGAAGCGUCCCCGAGUCGGCAUAGCCAAGGACUCUUUAAGACACAACGAGACCACUGUAAAACCGACCGUGGAUAGGCGGACCACUAGAUGUCGAACCCCAAUUUCAUAUCAUACAUCUAACGGAAAGAUAUCCUAAGAGCUACUUGAAUUCCCACUUAUAAACUCCCGAAAUUUUCCGGUUAUGCAAUCAGGUGUUGCGGAUACAGGGGAAGCAUAAUAUCUCACCCAAACUAGCAAAUCCUACAUCCAGCUGUAUCCAUCCUUCAACACAUAACUAAGAAACCUUCGGAAAUCGUCUACCUCAACCUUCGAAAAGCAUCUGUUAUACAAGUUAUGGCAAUACUCCCGAACUCCCGCCCCAGUACUGGGUGGCGUCGAGGUUAUCUCACCAACAACUGCAUAAAAGAGAUUUUUGAUGUCGGCGUACUAAACUCAGGUAUUCCAGAACUGCAACGAUAAAAUUGUGACGACAACACCUUGGAGCUCAACUCCCCGGGACACUGCCACAACCCCUAAAUGACAUGAGGCACCAAGAACAAUGUUCUCGUCACAAAUCCAUCGGAACGAUUCCAAGAUACCCGCGUGAUCCUAAAAAAAUUUAGUGAAAUUUGAGAAGAGAAGAGUCAAAACUCUAUGUCAGGAUGCCUUACCAGAGCGAUGAAGGGAUUGGGGAGUAAAAAGAAUUCCUAAACUCUCCGAUAUAUAAUUCCUAAAUGACUCAAAACAUUUUUCUAGACUCAACUCGUCCGCUAAUUCGAUCAAGCAGUGGGGGCUCCUAAGGUCGGGGAAGGCUCUGAUUACCAACUUGUCACGCCCUCGAUGCGGCUAUAUCUCCCACGUGUCGAAGCACGACUUAGAGGCAUAACCGCAUUGAAAGCAAUGUCGCAAGUGAGGUAAUCUUCACACAACCCAUGUAUUACAUAAGGGAAAGAGAUACAUAGUUGGCUUACAAUCGCCACUUCACAUAAUUACAUGAAUAAAGCAUUGCAUCAUCCAAAUACACUCAAGGUCCGACUAUGGAACCAAAAUAAAAGAAGAACCCCAAAUGCGACAAGGUCCCCGAUCGACCCCAACUGGGCUCCACUACUGAUCAACUAGAACGAAACAACACAAAGGACAAGAUCUUCAUCGAGCUCCUCCUGAGCUUGGUUGCGUCAUCUGCAUGGUCUCAUCGACACCUGCAAGCUGGUUUUGGAAGUAUCUGUGAGUCACGGGGACUCAGCAAUCUCGCACCCUCGCGAUCAAGACUAUUUAAGCUUAUGGGUAAGGUACAAGGAUGAGGUGGAGCUGCAGCAAGCGACUAGCAUAUAUGGUGGCUAACUUAUACGCAAAAGAGAGCGAGAAGAGAAGGCAAAAGCACGGUCGAACAACUAUGAUCAAGAAGUGAUCCUAGGACAACCUACGUCAAACAUAACUCCAACACCGUGUUCACUUCCCGGACUCCGCCGGAAAGAGACCAUCACGGUUACACACGCGGUUGAUGCAUUUUAGUUAAGGUCAACUUCAGGUUUUCUACAACCGGACAUUAACAAAUUCCCAUCUCCCCAUAACCGCGGGCACGGCUUUCGAAAGUUCAAAACCCUGCAGGGGUGUCCCAACUUAGCCCAUCACAAGCUCUCACGGUCAACGAAGGAUAUUCCUUCUAGCGGGAAGACAUGAUCAGACUCGGAAUCCCGGUUACAAGACAUCCUCGACAAUGGUAAAACAAGUUCAGCAAGACCACCCGCUGUGCCGACAAAUACCGAUAGGAGCUGCACAUAUCUUGUUCUCAGGGCACACCGGAUAAGCUAAGCGUACAGGAGCCGACGUAACCCAAGUUGCCAAGGGAUGGCCCUACACGGUGCUCUGGGUUGGACCAACACUCAGAGGAGCACUGGCCCGGGGGUUUAAAAUAAAGAUGACCCUUGGGCUGGCCUAACCCAAGGGAAAAAGAGGCUAGGUGGCGAAUGGUAAAACCAAUGUUGGGCCUUGCUGGAGGAGUUUUAUUCAAAGCGAACUGUCAAGGGGUUCCCAUUAUAACCCAAUCGCGUAAGGACCGCAAAAUCCGGGAACAUAACACCAAUAUGACAGAAACUAGGGCGGCAAGAGUGGAACAAAACACCAGGCAUAAGGCCGAGCCUUCCACCCUUUACCAAGUAUAUAGGUGCAUUAAUUAAAUAAGAUAUAUUGUGAUAUCCCAACAAAAUAUCCAUGUUCCAAACAUGGAACAAGCUCCAAUCUUCACCUGCAACUAACAACGCUAUAAGAGGGGCUGAGCAAAGCGGUAACAUAGCCAAACAACGGUUUGCUAGGACAAGGUGGGUUAGAGGCUUGGUUCAACAAUAUGGGAGGCAUGAUAAGAAAGUGGUAGGUAUCGCAGCAUAGGCAUAGCAAAAGAGCGAGCAACUAUCAAGCAAAGAUAGAAGUGAUUUCGAGGGUAUGAUCAUCUUGCCUGAAAUCCCGCAAGGAAGAAGAACGAGUCCAUGAAGAAGAUAAACGGACGUAGUCGAACGGAUCCUCACAAUGCAACGUUACCAGAAACAACCCGAAGAAGCAACACCGGAAAGAAGCAAACAACAUAGUAAACAACCACCACAUAACAUGGCAUGAUGCACAAUCAAGUAUGAUACAUGUCCGGUUUAAUGAAGCAUGGCAUGGCAAAGUGCACAAGCAACCAUACAAAUUAAGUGGAGCACAAUAUGCAACGGAGUUGCAUAUUGCCAAAACACCACAUAACGUAUUUAGUUCGAUCUUGUUUAUGUACCCAACAAUAUUAAAUGUUGUUAGCAUGGCAAGAGGUGAAGCAUGAUGAAACUAUCUAAUCUAGGCAAGUUUAAAUGAGGCCAGAACAACAAAACAACAAGUCCGGAAACUCCUCAUAUGCAUAUAUUAGGUUUGGUACUGUUCUGCCCUAAACAUAAUUUUAGAGUUAUUAAACAUUCAAAACAAGCACACCAUGUUAAACUAGGCAUUUUCCCACCCCAUUUACAUAUAAAGUUUAUUAAAAUCUGAGUUACGGUUAUUUAGUUAUGAAAUAAAGCAUUUUAACAUGGCAUAGGAGCAAAUUUACGCAAACAGCAUUUUAAGCAUUUUAAACAUGGAUGAAAAUGACAUAUUAUGAAACUAGACAGAAUUCUAAGCAACUUCCAUAUUAAGUUUGUUUUAAUCCGAUGCACGGUUUGUGAGUUAUUAUAUGCAUGUUGUCUAGGAACUUUUCUGUAAAACAGCAGUUUUCUGGAAAAAAAAAUAGACAAAUUCGUAGAACAGGAAAAAAAACUUCACUGGGCUGAAUCUAAGGAGAGGCCUAGUAAGGCAAUAGGCGCAACAUAACUAUCAGACGCACAGGCACAGAAUAGCGGAGGGGCUGGGCUAUGCUCACAUCGGGCCAUGGGCCGAAAGUGGAGAAGCGGCUGGGCUGGAUCUGGUGACAAGAAGACGUUGCUGGGCCUUGGGCACCGCUGGGCCUCGUGCAGCGGUCAACGCACGCAGGCGACGCGUGGGGUGUCGAGGCAGAGGCGCCAUCCUCCUCUGCCCGAACUGCUGCUGCAUCGAUGCAGCGAAAGAGACCCGCGGCUGGAGGGGCUUGGCGCUGCGGAACUUCGCAGGGAUGACCGAAUCCAGGGCGGGGAGGCUCGACGGGAAGCAGGGGCGGCUGAAACUGGGCAAGGACGGCGUUCUCUGGUGAGGCGCCAGAUCCGGCGGCUGCGAGGGAGCUCCUGGGGCUGUCCAUGGUGGCCUGCGAAUUUUAUGGAGAAGAGAGACCACAUGUGAGAGAGGAAACUAGAGGGAACGAGAGAAGAAGGGAAGGAGAAGCAGUGAGUGGGUGCGGGGUCCGGCCUGAUGGAGGUGGUCGCCGGCGGGGACGCGGGUGCAGCUCCGGCAAGGUUGCUGCAGGGCCGAACAAGUUGAGGUGGUCGGGGCCUCGCGAGCUGCUCGGGGUGAGGAGGUGGGCACUGGGAGAUACGGUUGGAUGGAUGGAUCGAUGGAAUGCACUAGUUGCGCGAGGGGAUCGAGGAGGAUCGGGCGAGGCGAUCCCAAGGUGGGAUGCGACCCGAUGGCGGCGGUGGAGGGACAAAGUUCCUAAUUUUUAGGGUUGGACUAAUACAUAUAUAGCAUGUGGAUACUUGGGUAGGGGCUAAUCCGUCCCUCCAAUAAAAUCGAGCGGUCGAGAAAAAAAAUAUGUUGGGAAGUCCAAUUAACAAAAUGGAGACGUUUUGUAGAUGUUUGGGGAUGAUCCGGACACCGCGGUAACGACUGUCCGGGUCGGGUCCGGGACAGAUUUCGGACGCGCACGUGAGGGGUUCGGUGCACUGUGCAGAGAGGGUUUCGGACCGUGUGGUCGCAUCGGACAACUCCAGAAGCGAAGAGGGGAAGGAGGAUGGACUAGGUGGGCUGUGGCGAGACUGCGAGGGGGAGAAGAGAGAGAGGGCCCGACAUCUGUUUCCGGAGACCGAAAACGUCCGACGUUAGACCGGCUACUAUUGCCGCUAUAUUUUAACGGUUGGGCUAUCAAACGAGCUCCGAAUGCGAUGAAACUUGACAGGCGGUCUAUCUACACUAAAAUAAGACCGCACGCCAACUUUCAACCCAUUCCGAGAACAUUUUCCGGCCACUUAUAAAAUAAUAUUUCGGACGUGCCGCGGGCGCGUGCAAGUGUGGUUGGGCUCAGAACGGACAACGGAGAGAACGGGGAGGCCGGGACAGAUGCAAGUUUUGAAAACAUGAUGAUGCAAUGCACAUGAUGACAUGAUGAAAUGCAAUCACGCAAGCAAAUGACAUGGCAACGCCGGCGAACAACUGGAAGACACCUGGCGCAACGGUCUCGGGGCGUUACACAUGGCCCUGUUAUGUGUAUUUGCAGCUCAAGAUGCCGGGUCACAAGGGGACAAUAACGUUUCACGGAAACCGUAAAAUUGCUUUGGAAUGCGUGGAAGGAGAUGCGGCUUACGCAGAGUCGGUUUGUGCCACCGAGGAGCUGAAGUAUUAUAAGGACAAUGUUGAUCCGGCGGACAUGACUCCAUUAAAGAAGCCAACAAUGGAGCAUGAUCCGGCCCUGAAGUUCAAAUCGGCAGCAGAAACUAAGCUUGUUGACUUCCUACCUGGCGAUUCAUCCAAGCAGUUCAGCAUCAGUGCCAACUUGGAUCCGAAAUAGGAAAGCGCGGUCAUCGAGUUCAUCCAUGAGAAUCGGGACAUUUUUGCAUGGAAGCCCUCUGACAUGCCAGGUGUACCGAGGCAACUCGCUGAGCACACCCUUAAUGUGGAUCCUAAAUACAAACCGGUGAAACGGUUCCUCCGCCGGUUUAAUGAAGAAAGACGCAAGGCGAUUGGAGAAGAGGUAGCCAGGCUCUUAGCAGCUGGCUUUAUUGUUGAAGUUUUUCACCCUGAAUGGCUUGCCAAUCCGGUGCUGGUCCUUAAGAAAUACGGCACCUGGCGCAUGUGUGUGGAUUACACAGAUCUUAAUAAGGCUUGUCCAGCAGAUCCUUUUGCCCUCCCCCGUAUUGAUCAAAUUAUUGAUGCUACGGCGGGUUGUGAGCGUUUAAGUUUUUUGGAUGCAUAUUCUGGCUAUCAUCAGAUCAAAAUGGCAGUUAAGGACCAGGAGAAGACGGCAUUCAUAACUCCCUUUGGAGCCUUCUGCUAUGUGUCUAUGCCCUUUGGGCUCAAGAGUGCCCAGGCAACUUAUCAACGGUGUGUACAAAAUUGUCUUCACAAGCAGAUUGGCAGUAAUGUACAUGCUUACGUGGAUGAUAUCGUGGUUAAGUCCAGGGAGAAGGAGACUCUGGUUGACGAUUUGAAGGAAACCUUUGUUAACCUGAGGACGUACAAGAUGAUUCUUAAUCCGGCCAAGUGUGUCUUUGGUGUACCGGUAGGCAAGUUAUUGGGUUUUCUGGUGUCCAACAGGGGAAUUGAGGCUAAUCCGGAGAAGAUCACAGCCAUCACCUCCCUGGCUAAACCGAAGUGUAUCAAUGAUGUUCAACACCUGGCAGGCCGGAUUGCUGCAUUAAGCCGGUUUAUCAGCCGCCUUGGUGAGAAGGCAAUCCCUUUGUAUCAGAUGUUGAAGAAGAUGGAUCAGUUCGUCUGGAGUUCCGCUGCUGAUGAAGCGUUUGAGGACUUAAAGCGGCAAUUGGUCAAUCCGCCUGUGCUCGCCGCUCCCGUUGACAUGGAGCCGUUAUUACUAUAUGUUGCUGAUAAUGCUCGUGCGGUCAGUGUGGCUAUUGUGGUGGAGCGAAAGGAGACAGGUAAGGAGCAUCCAGUUCAAUGUCCGGUCUAUUAUAUCAGCGAGGUACUCAUUGAGUCCAAGAAAAGGUAUCCGCAUUGGCAGAAGCUAGUAUACGGAGUUUUUAUGGCAAGCCGAAAGCUUAAGCAAUACUUUCAAGGGCACCCAAUUACGGUGGUCAGUUCUGCUCCUUUGGGGGAUAUCAUCCAGAACCGGGAAGCGACUGGCCGGAUUGCCAAGUGGGCUAUAGAGCUCAGGCCGCACGGAUUGAAGUAUGUGCCUCGGACGGUGGUUAAGUCUCAAGCACUUGUUGAUUUCAUCAAUGAUUGGACGGAACUGCAAGCACCUGAAGAAAAGCCGGAUCACACAUAUUGGACCAUCCAUUUUGACGGAUCCAGGCAAUUGGAAGGCUCGGGGGCUGGAGUCGUAUUAACUUCCCCACGAGGUGAUAAGUUUUGUUAUGUUCUCCGCUUAAUGUUCCCUUGUACUAACAAUGCAGCUGAGUAUGAAGCCUUGCUCCAUAGUCUCCGAAUGACUAAGGAGAUGAAUCUAAGUCGAGUUAAGUGCUUUGGUGACUCAGACCUCGUGGCUCAACAAGUAUCUGGCACUUGGGAUUCCAAGGACCCACUCAUGGCAGCGUAUCGUCGUGAGGUGGAUAUUAUUGCAGGUCACUUUAAAGGCUAUCAGGUGGACCACGUGGACCGGCGGAAGAAUGAAGCGGCAGACGCUCUAAGCCGGCUGGGCUCUCAGCGCAAACCGGUUCCGCCCAAUGUUUUUUUCCGAUGUGCUGCAUAACCCGUCGGUCAAGCUCCCUGGUGAAGCGGAUUUGGCUAUUCCUGAUCCGGAGGCUCAAUUGGUGGCAGCUCUUCAUGUCAUUCCGGAUUGGACGCUUCCUUAUCUGGCGUACAUGAACCGGGGCGAGCUACCAGAGGAUGAGACUCUAGCUCGACAGAUAAUCCGGCGGUCCAAGUCCAUGACUAUUGUCAAUGGUGAGUUGCAUCAUUGCAGUGUAUCAGGGGCGUUUCAACGUUGUGUGUCUCCUGAAGAAGGCUGUGAAAUUUUGCGUGAGAUCCACGAAGGAGAUUGUGGUCACCACGCUGGUUCAAAAUCUUUGGUAGCUAAAGCGUUUCGCCAUGGCUUCUAUUGGUUAACUACUCAUGCUGAUGCGGAGGAUCUGGUCAGAUGAUGUGACGGUUGCCAAAAAAUUUCAAGACGUGCUCAUGUGCCGGCUCAAGAAUUGAGAAUGAUUCCAAUUACUUGGUCGUUUGCAACUUGGGGGCUGGAUGUGGUUGGGCCUUUCAAAAGGUCCAAAGAUAAUAAGACUCACCUCUUGGUGGCGGUUGACAAGUUUACAAAGUGGGUGGAGGCAGAACCUGUUAGCAAGUGUGAUGCAGCCACGGCGGUUCAGUUCAUCAAAAAAGUGAUUUUCCGGUUUGGCUUUCCACACAGUAUCAUCACAGAUAAUGGUACCAAUUUGUCCAAGGGUGCCAUGAAGGAGUUCUGUGACCGGGAGCACAUCCGGCUUGACGUUUCAUCCGUAGCACACCCACAGUCCAAUGGUCAAGCAGAAAGGGCUAAUCAAGAGAUUUUGAGAGGCAUCAAGCCCCGGCUUAUGGUUCCUUUGUAGAGAACACCGGGUUGUUGGGUAGAAGAAUUACCAUCUGUGUUAUGGAGCAUCAAUACCACACCCAACAGAUCAACAGGAUACACACCAUUCUUCAUGGUCUAUGGAGCGGAGGCGGUUCUCCCCAGUGAUAUCCGUCAUGAUUCACCUCGUGUGACGGCUUAUGUUGAAGCAGACAACAAGACAGCACGGCAAGAUGCUUUGGACCGAUUGGAUGAAGAGCGUGACAUAGCAGUUGCUCGCUUAGCGAUUUACCAACAGGAUCUUCGUCGUUAUCACAGUCGCCGAGUUAAAACCAGAACCUUUCAAGAGGGAGAUUUGGUGCUUCGGCUCAUCCAAGACCAGACUAAUUUGCAUAAGCUAUCCCCACCUUGGGAGGGACCUUUUGUGGUCAGCAAGAAUCUGCACAAUGGGUCAUACUAUCUGAUCGAUAUUCGAGAGCAUAAAGACUCACGUACAUCAGAGGAAGAGACCAACAGGCCGUGGAAUAUAGCUCAUCUUCGGCCUUACUAUACCUGAGCCAUUGGCUCCACUUAUGUACAUAUUACGAUGAUGUAUAUAUUAUGAUUAAAUAUAAUAAACCGGAACCUCAGCUAAAGCGGGGUAUCUGUUCUUUUACAUCAUGUGUGGUUACACGGAGUUGUUCUAAAGCGGCCUCCGGUUUACCCCUUGAGUUAGCUUUUCAGAAGCAUCAUGUUAUAUCACCUGGGGGCUUGGUCGUGUCCGAACCAAUGCAAUACCUCUUGAUAGGCGAAAGCCACCAGAUUACUUGGGGACUUGGUCACGUCUGAACCAGUCAUGCCUCUUGAUCGGCCUAAGGCCACAGAAUCACUUGGGGGCUUGGUCGAACCCGAACCAUUGCCAUGCCACUUGAUCGGCAUAAAUGCCACGGUUUCAUUUGGGGACCUGGCUGACUUGAACCAUAGCUACACCUAUCGGGAGCUUGGUCGUGUCCGACCAUGGUAACGCCCUCUGAUCGGCUCAAAUAAGCCUCUUUUUGCAAACGGUUUUGUCAUUGCUUUUGCUUCACAUUUUUUCUUUGAAAGAUAUUUCUUUCUUUUAUUGCGUUUUUUAAACCGACAAAGUUUUAAGCCGGUUUAAACUGUCAAUUGACGGAACACGGUUCAUUUUUAAUCCGGAGACUAUUUGCCCGGUUUGAUUUUUUUUAUUGUUAACAUCCUAUUACGGAGUAACACGGUGUUUAUUAUAACCCGGCACGGUUUACAUGGUAAACCGGCAUCAUAUAUAUAUAGGAGCUGCUAUCUCCUCCAACAGUGUGGGUUUAUAAAACUCCGCUUCAAGAUUGGCCAAGCCAACUUCACGCCCAAUGAUGGCAGGUAUUAUGUAUCUCAAAAAUUUGGUCAUAUACUUAAAAAUUUCGGAUGUUUUGAUUUCAUGUAUGCAGACAUCAUACUCCGCCUGACGGUACAACCGCGGUGGCACUUUAAGAUUUUUUAUUGCAGAAAGUACUUUGGAAAGUUAAUGACCCAAAGGAAGAGCAAGUUGCAGUAAUUAUGCACGAAGGCAUAUCAACAUCAAAAGUAUCAGCUAGCCUAUUACAAGGCAACACGGUGCCCACAAUAAGAUCAUUGUUUUUCACAAGGGAGAAGCAGUUUUAAACCGGCUUCCGGUUCAAGCUUGGCCACCAGCCUGGCCUGAUGGUUGUGGAUCAUCCCGCACUGCUUCAGCUUCAGUUUCUCUACCAAGUGGAUGGAAAUCAACAUUUGUCUAGUCGAUUCCCAUUAAUGCUUGAAAGACAGCUUCAUCAUGGAUCAGCAACGACGGGUCAAUAUCGGGAGCGUAAGUAUGCUUACGGCUUGGAGGGAUAAGAUUUUCUGCUUCAUGAAUUGGUGCAGCUAUUCGCUUAUUUUGAUUGUCAUAUUGGGCUUGAUAAUGAGACAAGUCUGCUUCUUCAGCCAAUUGACAAGCUAGCGGACGCACCUCCCGGUUUAUUGCUCGCAGAUCCGCUUCACUAAAUUCUGACCCGUCUUCCUUCAAGCUGGGAUAGCCCUGAGCCGCUUCAAUAGGAUCAAAAUCCGGCACCCUAGCUUUUGCCCGGAUUAAGGCAUUGAUCGCACCGGUUCGAGCAGCAGAUUUCUUCAGCUCUUCAACCCGGGCAGGAAGCACCGACCGUUUCAUCAGAGUGUCCUGAAUCAAAGUGGGCGCCGACUUGUUGUGGGAUGCAGUAUAGAUGAUCUGUUGUGCACCAGUGUACAGUUGUUCGAUCAACAUGUAGGCGGCUUUCAAUUUUUUCCGCACAUCUGACCCCAAGUGACCAAUGCGUGUCCCUGAAAUAUCACCAAGGGUUAACAAACCAGUAGCUCUGUAAGACGGCAGAACCAAUUCAAAAAUCAAACCGGCUUACCAAAGAUAGCAGCGGUCAUGGCAUCCACGUGUCGCUUUAUGCUGGUCAGUUCAUCCACUACCGGUUUUAGUGCAGCCUCAGCGUCUUCUGCUCGUUUAGUUAAAGCGGAUUUUUCAGUAGCCCAAUCCGCCCGCUCCUUCUUGAAAUCCUUCUUAAGUUGUUCCAUGAUGCUUAAGGCGCUGGUCAAUUCCUCUUUUGCUUUUGAGGUUUCAGUCUAUUGGGACUUCAGAUUUUCUUAGAGAUCGGCGAUUUGGGUCUCUUUUGUCUUUAGCUCAGCCUGCAUACAGACAGUUAUAUGAUUUAGCAAGCAGUGCAAGAAUUGAAGCACCAACCACAUAACAAGUUAUGCACUUGGUGCUUGGGGGCUAAUGCCUAUUUGAUCGUCAUCUUUCAAUUGAUUACAAAGUCCCAAGCUCAAUACAAGUAUUCAACUUGGCACUUGGGGGCUAAUGGCUAUUUGUUCAAAAAAGUUCUGAUGCGGAGAUAUUAAUUACUUAAGUCCCGGUUUAACUACACUAAGUUAAACCGGCCCUUGGGGGCUAGGAGAGUCAGCAAGAAUUGAAGCAUACAAGCAGGAAAGAGCAUAUGGAAGUUACCUCAUAUUUAUCUUUCAUCAUGUUAACCAGACCGGCUUCAUAGUCAUGACUGGUAUACAAUCGGUUCAGAUAGCCGGAAUGGAUGUCUUGGGCAUUCAGAGCAGCGUAAGUCACCAGAUCAACAUUCCACUUGCCUUUGCCAAAGGCAGCAAAUUCUUCCUUGGCAGUAUGUUUAGACAAAGCGACAGGAUUGCCUGGCUCUGUGCGACCAAUGCCAGUAAUGACAACCUCAUCAUCCUUGGCAUCACCGGUUUGAACUGGGGCCGUGGGCUUAUCAGUAGGCUUUGUUGGAUUGGUGGAUUUCUCAAUCCGGAUGGGGCUUGUGGGAUGGUUGACAGGACUUGAGGUAUCAAUAGGCCUCUCUUCAGCAAUAAGAUCGUCAUCUCACUGCGGUGGAUCAUUGGGUAUGUCUUCAGGAAUAGCCGCUUCAAGAUCUGGUGUUUUGCCCGGUUCAGGGACGGCAUCCUCCUCGGCCGCUUUAUCCAAGUGAGCCUUCUUGCUCGGCCUAGGCUUGGCCCUGAAAGGAAUAACAAAGUCAAAUACAGCAUAUGUUCCAAGGUGAUGUACCGGAAAUAUUAAGAUAACUAUGGCUUACCCAAGCACCGUUUUGAGCGGUGGCAGCUAAGUGACCGAGGACUCACCAGAGGAUGAGUGGGAAGUAACCUGAUAAUCGGAGUCAGAUGGAUUAAGAGGUUGACGAAAACAGCCCGCUUUACGACAAGCACUAACAAGCAAAUUAGAGACCUCUGAACAGCGUUUCUGAACCGGACUGUUCGGUAAACCAGUGGAGGUAACUACCUGGCCGCUGUGCUGGGUUGUGCGGCGAGCUUCGUGCUGUUGGGUCUUCAUAAGAAAUUUGGGAUCCAAGUAAGCGAGAGGAUGAGAAAAUUUAACUUUCCGAUUUGCCUGACGGAUUUUUAGUGAAGGCAAAGGUUCUGAAUUGGAAGAGAGAAUAAUUACCUCUGCAGCAUCAGCAUGGCUGGCUUCAGCAUCAUCCUGACAAAUAUCACCAUCAAUAAGACGCAUGAAAAAUAAGCCAAGUGAGUCAAGCCCUACCUCAAGGUCCGGAUUAUCCACAUCAUCAUCAGGGGCCGGAUUAGAGGAUGCAGUGGUUCUUUUCCUGUGGGCAGUCUUAUUCACAGCUUUAGUCUUUUGCCGGGUUGAUCUUUCCGGUUUGUCUGGUUUUUCUGGUUUCACCUGCGGCAGUUUCUUGCUCCAAAACGGAUCAUUGCCCUGGUUACACAGGCACUGAUAUUAAACAAUGACCAGACAUAUCAAUAACAGGUUCAGCAAAAGGAAAAAUCAAACUCUUACAGCUGGCGGUUUGUUGGUGGCACAGAAGGGAAGCAGGCCGGUUUUAGCACAGAUGUGUUCCGAUUCAUUCAGCAUCUUAUUCACAGCUUUUGUGAUUUCUUCGUGGGUGAGCUGGGUGUUAGCAUGUCGCAGUGGGUCAUCAACACUGCCAGUAUACUCACACAUCAAACCGGAGCACUGACUAAGGGGUAGUAUGCUCCAUGAUAUCCAACAGCGAGCGAGAUCAACCCCUGUUAAACCGUUGGCCAUGAAGGCUCUGAGCUUGGACAGUUGAGGAGCGUAUUUGCUUCUCUCCUUGGUAGUCAACCUUUGCGGAAAGGGGUGUGUAUUGCUAAGCCAGGCAAAGGAUUUUCACCAGCAGGGGAGGUGUCUUUGCAAUAGAACCAUGUUUGAUUCCACUCUUUGGGGUGGCUAUGCAGCUUGGCAUGAGGGUAUGUGACCUCUUUCCUUUUCUGAAUCGCCACACCGCCCAAUUCCGUAUUGGAACCAUCAGAAAACUCAAUACGACAGUUUAGAUGGAAACAGUCUCUGAACAACUCCACUGUGGGCUCCUCUUGAAAGAAUCCCUCACAGAGCACUUGGAAGUGACACAUGUUUGUAACAGAGUUGGGACCAGUGUCUUGUGGGUGGAGUUGAAAAUCGGCUAAAACGUCCCGGUAAAAUUUAGAACCGGGCGGCUUAAAGCCCCGGGCUAAGUGAUCUACGAAAACAAUGACCUCUCCUUCUUGAGGUGUUCUUUGCCAGGAACCCUCCAAUGGAUGGUAUCUUUGCUGCCUAAGGCGUCGAUCAGGACUAAAUCGUCCAGUUGAGCCUUUGUGACGCGAGAAGGAACCCAGUUGCACUCAUAUACUUGCUUGGCCAUGAUGAAAUCUACAAGGUAGGUGAUCCCGAUUCAAAAAUGCAUUGAUUAAGGUACAUUGGUAUGUGCAAUGUUAAACCGGAGACAGAUCUAUCUAAACCGGAGUUUUAUGAAGCAACAACAUCUGGCGGUUCAACAAGGGGACUAAUGGUAUAUACCGGUUUGGCAAUUUUUUCUACAAAGUUAAACCGCCUGGUCUAAACAUUGAAGCAGAUGAGUAAGUUUACAGAAACAGAUUUCACAAGACUUCUCUACAGCGACGGAUCUGAAGCAAGUUCAGAAAAGAAGGAAAAUAUUCAAGGUUCAAAAAAGAACAGUACUGAAUCAAUGGGCAUAGAUACAUAUAGGUCUAUGGUCUUGAGGCAUGAAACUGAAGGCGGAUGCUAAAACCUACCGCUACACAGAGCAAGGAUUCAUAGAUGCAUCUAGGAGCUAUCGUAUGAACAUGAAACAGGCGAUGAACACUAGAAGAACAUGAAACCCUAGAGCAGAUCUGUGUUGAAAAGAACAGAAGACUUACUGGGGAUGAGAAAGACGCGGAAGGUUGCCGCAGUGCUCUGGUGCGCCCAGGUUGAUGCAGCGGCCAAGGUUGAUGCAGAGGUUGACUGUGGCGGCGGAGCUCCGAAGCUGGGCGACGCGAGGAAGACGAAGUAGAAGGGCACGGAGGGGGAAAAGAAAUGACCCUUCGGUCCUAUUUAUAAGGCAAGGGACAGGAGUCAGGCGCGAAAAUCAAGGGACCGUGGGUCUGGAAAUGAAGAUGUCGCCUUAAUUCUCGCAGACCUAUUAAGGUCCUUUAUAACAGGUGACGUCACGCCGGUUUACAACGACCAGAGAAGAUGACAUCAUGGCGGUUCAACAAACUACAAGAAGAUAUUGAAGAUGAAGAUUUUUUCUAAAGGAUUGACAUGAACAUGUUCAAAUCAAUCUGGGGCCUAAUGUUGGGGAUAUCACUACUGGGCGUGAACCGUCCUAUCUGGGCCGGUUUAACUUCGUCAGUAGUUAAGUAUGUUAAAGCCCAAGAAGGCAGAUGAGGGCUCAAGGCCCAUGGUCGGUGCAAGGCCUGUAGCCGUAAACCGGCGUUGGUAUUUAACUUGUAUUGUAAGUUAGGAAUAAGUAGAGACCAAACCGGACACAUCUAUGAGCCAGUAUUGGGACUCUGUGAACUGACGGGCGUCACCCGUGUAUAUAAGGGGACGACCCGGUGGCGGUUCAAAGACAACAGACAACAGACAACAACUCGAGACAUAGGCGAAGCUUGUUUGCUCCCUAGUCAUCAAAACCCCAUCAAUUCCAUCACAACUAGACGUAGGCUUUUACUUUCAUCGAAGGGGCCGAACUAGUAUAAACUCUCUUGCGUCCCUGUGUCCGCUUUAACCCCUUCAAGCUAACACAUCGCGAUGGCUCCACGACUAAGUCCUUUCUCUAGGACAUCUGCCGUGACAAAACCACGACACUAUAUAAAUUUUUCCUUACCAAAUUCCACCUACCAAAGGCGCUUCACUCCCCGGCAACGGCACCUGAAAGAGUCUUGAUGACCCACAAGUGUAGGGGAUCUAUCAUAGCCUUUUCAAUAAGUAAGAGUGUCGAACCCAACAAGGAGCAGAAGGAAAUGAUAAGCAGUUUUCAGCAAGGUAUUCUCUGCAAGCACUGAAAUUGUCGGUAACAGAUAGUUUUGUGAUAAGGUAAUUUGUAACGGGUAACAAGUAAUAAAAGUAAAUAAGGUGCAGCAAGAUGGCACAAUCCUUUUUGUAGCAAAGGACAAGCCUGGACAAACUCUUAUAUGAAGGAAAGCGCUCCCGAGGACACAUGGGAAUUAUCGUCAAGCUAGUUUUCAUCACCAUCAUAUGAUUCACAUUCGGUAAUUUGAUAAUUUGAUAUGUGGGUGGACCGGUGCUUGGGUGUUGUCCUUACUUGGACAAGCAUCCCACUUAUGAUUAACCCCUAUUGCAAGCAUCCGCGACUACAACAGAAGUAUUAAGGUAAAUCUAACCAUAGCAUGAAACAUAUGGAUCCAAAUCAGCCCCUUACGAAGCAACGCAUAAACUAGGGUUUAAGCUUCUGUCACUCUAGCAACCCAUCAUCUACUUAUUACUUACCAAUGCCUUCCUCUAGGCCCAAACAAUGGUGAAGUGUCAUGUAGUUGAUGUUCACAUGACACCACUAGAGGAAAGACAACAUACAUCUCAUCAAAAUAUCGAACGAAUACCAAAUUCACAUGACUACUAAUAGCAAGACUUCUCCCAUGUCCUCAGGAACAAACGUAACUACUCACAAAGCAUAUUCAUGUUCAUAAUCAGAGGGGUAUUAAUAUGCAUAAUGGAUCUGAACAUAUGAUCUUCCACCAAGUAAACCAACUAGCAUCAACUACAAGGAGUAAUCAACACUACUAGCAACCCACAGGUACCAAUCUGAGGUUUGGAUACAAAGAUUGGAUACAAGAGAUGAACUAGGGUAUGAGAUGAGAUGGUGCUGGUGAAUAUGUUGAUGGAGAUUGACCCCCUCCCGAUGAGAGGAUCGUUGGUGAUGACGAUGGUGAUGAUUUCCCCCUCCCGGAGGGAAGUUUCCCUGGCAGAACAGCUCCGCCAGAGCCCUAGAUUGGUUCCGCCUUGUGGCGGUGGAGUUUCGUCCCGUAAGCUUUCUUAUGAUUUUUUCUCGGACGAAAAACCUCAUAUAGCAGAAGAUGGGCGUCAGAGGACCACCAGGGGGCCCACGAGGCAGGGGGCGCGCCCCCCACCCUCGUGGCCAGGGUGUGGGCCCCCUCUAGUAUUUUCUUCGCUCAGUAUUUUUUAUAUAUUCUGGAAAUAACUCCCAUGGAGUUUCAGGACUUUUGGAGAUGUGCAGAAUAGGUCUCUAAUAUUUGCUCCCUUUCCAGCCCAGAAUUCCAGCUGUCGGCAUUCACCCUCUUCAUGCAAACCUUGUAAAAUGAGAGAGAAUAGGCAUAAGUAUUGUGACAUAAUGUGUAAUAAUAGCCCAUAAUGCAAUAAAUAUCGAUAUAAAAGCAUGAUGCAAAAUGGACGUAUCAGGAAGCAAAUUGCCACUCCCAUAAAGAAGCCCAAAGCUAGACCCAAGCCUGAAACUGAGUGCUUCUACUGCAAAGGAAAUGGUCACUGGAAGUGGAACUGCCCUAGAUUAUUGGCGGAUAAGAAGGAUGGCAUAGUGAACAAAUGUAUAUUUGAUAUACAUGUUAUUGAUCUGUACUUUACUAGUGUUUAUAGCAACCCCUCAGUAUUUGAUACUGAUUCAGUUUCUAAGAGUAGUAACUCGAAACAGGAGUUGCAAAAUAAACAGAGACUAGUUAAGGGCGAGGUGAUGAUGUGAGUUGGAAGUGAUUCCAAGGUUGAUAAGGUCACCAUCGCACACUCCCUUUACCUUCAGGAUUAGUGUUGAACCUCAAAUAAAUGUUAUUUGGUGUUUGCGUUGAGCAUAAUAUGAUUGGAUCAUGUUUAUUGCAAUACAAUUAUUCAUUUAAGACAAAGAAUAAUUGUUAUUCUGUUUACAUGAAUAAAACCUUUCGAGGUCAUACACCCAAGGUGAAUGGUUUAUUGAAUCCCGAUCGUAGUGAUACACAUAGUCAUAAUAUUGAAGCCAAAAGAUGCAAAGUUAAUAAUGAUAGUGCAACUUAUAUGUGGCACUGCCGUUUAGGUCAUAUUGGUGUAAAGCACAUGAAGAAACUCCAUGACGACGGGCUUUUGGAAUCACUUGAUUAUGAAUCGUUUGAUGCUUGCGAACCAUGCCUCAUGGGCAAGAUGACUAAAAAUCCGUUCUCUGGAACAAUGGAGCAAGCAACUGAAUUAUUGGAAAUAAUACAUGUUGGUGUAUGCAAUCCGAUGAGUAUUGAGGCUCGCGCUAGGUAUCAUUAUUUUCUCACCUUCACAGAUGAUUUGAGCAGAUAUGGGUAUAUCUUCUUGAUGAAAUAUUAGUCUGAAACAUUUGAAAAGUUCAAAGAAUUUCAGAGUGAAGUGGAAAAUCAUCGUAACAAGAAAAUAAAGUUUCUACGAUCUGAUCGCGGUGACAAAUAUUUGAGUUACGAGUUUGGUCUUCAACUAAAACAAUGUGGAAUAGUUUCACAAAUUCAUGCCACCUGGAACACCACAGCAUAAUGGUGUGCCCGAAUGUUGUAAUCGUACUUUAUUGGAUAUGGUGCGAUCUAUGAUGUCUCUUACCGAUUUACCACUAUCGUUUUGGGGUUAUGCAUUAGAGACAGCUGCAUUCACAUUAAAUAGGGCACCAUCUAAAUCCUUUGAGACGACAUCAUAUGAACUGUGGUUUGGCAAGAAACCAAAGUUAUCAUUUCUUAAAGUUUGGGGUUGUGAUGCUUAUGUGAAAAAGUUUAAUCUUGAUAAGCUCAAAUCCAAAUCGGAGAAAUGUGUCUUCAUAGGAUACCCAAAGGAGACAGUUGGGUACACCUUCUAUCACAGAUCCGAAGGCAAGACAUUCCUUGCUAAGAAUGGAUCCUUUCUUGAGAAGGAGUUUCUCUCGAAAGAAGUGAGUGGGAGGAAAGUAGAACUUGAUGAGGUAACUAUACCUGCUCCCUUAUUGGAAAGUAGUUCAUCACAGAAAUAUGUUCCUGUGACUCAUACACCAAUAAGUGAGGAAGCUAAUGAUGAUGAUCAUGUAACUUCAGAUCAAGUUACUACCGAACCUCGUAGGUCAACCAGAGUAUGGUCCACACCAGAGUGGUAUGGUAAUCCUGUUUUGGAAGUCAUGUUACUAGACCAUGACGAACCUACGAACUAUGAGGAAGCGAUGAUGAGCCUAGAUUCCGCGAAAUGGCUUGGAGCCAUGAAAUCUGAGAUGAGAUCCAUGUAUUAGAACAAAGUAUGGACUUUGAUUGACUUGCCCGUUGAUCGGUGAGCCAUUAAGAAUAAAUGGAUUUUCAAGAGGAAUACGGACACUGAUAGUAGUGUUACUAUCUACAAAGCUCGAAUUAUCGCAAAAAUGUUUCCGACAAGUUCAAGGUGUUGACUACGAUGAGAUUUUCUCACUCGUAUUGAUGCUUAAAAGUCUGUCCGAAUCAUGUUAGCAGUUGCCGCAUUUUAUGAAAUCUGGCAAAUGGAUGUCAAAACUACAUUCCUUAAUGGAUUCCUUAAAGAAGAGUUGUAUAUGAUGCAACCAGAAGGUUUUGUCGAUCCUAAAGGUGCUAACAAAGUGAGCAAGCUCCAACGAUCCAUCUAUGGACUGGUGCAAGCAUCUCGGAGUUGGAAUAUAUGCUUUGAUAAAGUGAUCAAAGCAUAUGGUUUUAUACAGACUUGUGAUGAAUCCUGUAUUUACAAGAAAGUGAGUGGGAGCAGUACAACAUUUCUAAUAAGUAUACGUAAAUGACAUAUUGUUGAUCGGAAAUAAUGUAGAAUUUUCUGGAAAGCAUAAAGGAGUAUUUGAAAGGAGUUUUUCAAAGAAAGACCAUGGUGAAGCUGCUUACAUAUUGAGCAUCAAGAUCUAUAGAGAUAGAUCAAGACGCUUGAUAAGUUUUUUUUCAAUGAGUACAUACCUUGACAAGAUUUUGAAGUAGUUCAAAAUGGAACAGUCAAAGAAAGAGUUCUUGCCUGUGUUACAAGGUGUGAAAUUGAGUAAGACUCAAAGCCCGACCACGGCAGAAAAUAGAAAGAGAAUGAAAAGUCAUUCCCUAUGCCACAGUCAUACGUUCUAUAAAAUAUGCUAUGUUGUGUACCAGACCUAUUGUGUACCUCACCAUAAGUUUGGCAAGAGGGUACAAUAGUGAUCCAGGAGUGGAUCACUGAACAGCGGUCAAAGAUAUCCUUAGUGGAAUAAGGAAAUGUUUCUCGGUUAUGGAGGUGACAAAGAGUUCAUCGUAAAGAGUUAUGUCGAUGCAAGCUUUUGACACCGAUCUAGAUGACUCUAAGUCUCGAUCUAGAUACAUAUUGAAAGUGAGAGCAAUUAGCUAGAGUAGCUCCGUGCAGAGUAUUGUAGACAUAGAAAAUUUGAAAAAUACAUACAGCUCUGAAUGUGGCAGAUCAGUUGACUAAAUUUCUCUCACAAGCAAAACAUGAUCACUCUUUGGGUGUUAAUCACAUAGCUAUGUGAACUAGAUUAUCGACUCUAGUAAACCCUUUGGGUGUUAGUCACAUGGAGAUGUGAACUAAUCACAUAAAGAUGUAAACUAUUGGUGUUAAAUCACAUGACAAUGUGAACUAGAUUAUUGACUCUAGUGCAAGUGGGAGACUGAAGGAAAUAUUCCCUAGAGGCAAUAAUAAAUUUGUUAUUUAUAUUUUCUUAUAUCAUGAUAAAUGUUUAUUAUUCAUGCUAGAAUUGUAUUAACCAGAAACUUAGUACAUGUGUGAAUACAUAGACAAACAGAGUGUCACUAGUAUGCCUCUACUUGACUAGCUCGUUAAUCAAAGAUGGUUAAGUUUCCUAGCCAUGGACAAAGAGUUGUCAUUUGAUAAGCGGGAUCACAUCAUUAGAGAAUGAUUUGAUUGACUUGACCCAUCCGUUAGCUUAGCACGAUGAUCGUUACAGUUUCAUUGCUACUACUUUCUUCAUGACUUAUACAUGUUCCUAAGACUAUGAGAUUAUGCAACUCCCGAAUACCGGAGGAACACCUUGCGUGCUAUCAAAAGUCACAACAUAACUGGGUGAUUAUAAAGAUGAUCUAAACGUGUCUCCGAUGGUGUUUGUUGAGUUGGCAUAGAUCAAGAUUAGGAUUUGUCACUCCGUGUAUCAGAGAGGUAUCUCUAGGCCCUCUCGGUAAUGCACAUCACUAUAAGCUUUGCAAGCAUUGUGACUAAUGAGUUAGUUACAGAAUGAUGCAUUACGGAAUGAGUAAAGAGACUUGCCGGUAAUGAGAUUGAACUAGGUAUUGAGAUACCGACGAUUGAAUCUCGGGCAAGUAACAUGCCGAUGACAAAGGGAACAACGUAUGUUGUUAUGCGGUUUGACUGAUAAAGAUCUUCAUAGAAUAUGUAGGAACAAAUAUGAGCAUCCAGGUACCGUUAUUGGUUAUUGACCGGAGAUGAGUCUCGGUCAUGUCUACAUAGUUCUCGAACCCAUAGCGUCCGCACGCUUAACAUUCGGUGACGAUCGGUAUUAUGAGUUUAUGUGUUUUGAUGUACCGAAGUUAGUUCGGAGUCUCGGAUGUGAUCACGGACAUGACAAGGAGUCUCAAAAUGGUCGAGACAUAAAUAUUGAUAUAUUGGACGGCUAUAUUCGGACACCGGAAGUGUUUCGGAUGAUUUCAGAGAAAAUCGGAGUGUCGGAGGGGUUACCGGACCCCCCCCCCGGGAAGUAUUGGGCCUUAGUGGGCCUUAGAGGAGUGAGAGGGCAGCAGCCCAGGAAGUGGCGCGCCCCCUCCAAUGGGGAGUCCAAAUUGGACUAGGGAAGGGGGGGGGCGGCCCCUCUUACCCUCUCCCUCUCCCUCUCUUUCAUUCCCCCUUCCCUCUUCCUAGUUGGACUAGGAAAGGAUGAAUCCUCUUCCUAGUAGGAAGAGGAUUCCUCCUCUCCUUGGGGCGCACCAAGGAUGGACGGCCUCCCCCCUUGCUCCUUUAUAUACGGGGGCAGGGGGCACACUAGGACACACAAGUUGAUUGUUCCAAGUCGUGUGCGGUGCCCCCCUCCACCAUAUUCCACCUCGGUCAUAUCGUAGCGGUGCUUAGGCGAAGCCCUGCGUCGGUAGCAUCAUCAUCACCGUCAUCACGCCGUCGUGCUGACGGAACUCUCCCUCGAAGCUCUGCUGGAUCGGAGUUCGUGGGACAUCACCAAGUUGAACGUGUGCUGAACUCGGAGAUGUCGUACGUUCGGUACUUGGAUCGGUCGGGUCGUGAAGACGUACGACUAAAUCAACCGCGUUCUCAUAACGCUUCCGCUUACAGUCUACGAGGGUACAUGGACGACACUCUUCCCUCUUAUUGCUAUGCAUCACCAUGAUCUUGCGUGUGCGUAGGAUUUUUUUUUGAAAUUACUGUGUUCCCAACACCAGGUGGCCACCUAGUCCCAGCUAUUGGCCUAGGCCCAGCCCAGCUACACGUCCCAGCAGCGCAGCUGACCUCUUGGGCCCAUUUGCACCCAGGCCAACCGCACCUAACCCUAACCUCCCCCGCUCGAAUCCCAGGCUCUCCCCUCGAUCCCUUCCUCCUCCGCCGCCUCUCCCCUUCGUCCCUCCUAGCGCUUGCGCAGCCACCCUCUGCUCGAUCCCCUCGUUCUCUCCCUCUCACUCGCUCACCUACACCACCAGAUCAGGCCGCCUCCGCCGCCCUUGGCCAGUCCCGGCCGGACCCCGUCGUCAGGGCCCCGUCCCCACCUCCGGCGCGCCAAGCUCGUCGCCUUGCAGCCGCCACGGGCCAGCGCCACCUCCGGCCUCCCCUUCGUCUGCGUCAUCUCCUGCUCCUCGCCUCGAGCACCGGUGCUCCAAGGCCGGCCUCCUGCAGCUCGUCAUUGCCGGAGCUCCCCAUCACCAGCAAGCAGCAGCGCCAUGGCCCACCCCGCGUGCCAUCUCCACCUUCUGGUCCAUCCGCGUCGCCCGACUGGACUUUCUCCGCCUUCGCCUCCUGCUACCGGCGCGCCGUCGUACCUCCGCCGCCCGCCGACCUCCUCUGCUCUGCCCCGAGCAAGCUGCCCCUGUUGCCCCUUGUUCAUGGCCGCGGAGACCCGUCGUCGACCCGCGUACCUUGUCGUGGCGCCGAUGGGCUACCUUGCUCCUUUGGUCGCCAAGAUCUCAAGGCGGCCACCAACCGAAGGAUCCCACGGCCACCACAUCAACCUGCCCCUCUUGUCGUUGCCAAGACCACCAGACCAUGAUAUGCCAAGACCAAACGUUUUGGUUUCGCCAAGUUCCAUCAAGCCGACCGUGCACGUCUGGUUUUUUUUCAUCAAGUUCGACUACAGCACAAAGCUAUGUACAACUACGCGGAUUCGCCGAGUACGACUACACACGAGACCCGUCAAGUUCAUCUACGUGCGUGUAUGACUACACAUCCGAGAUGCGUCUAGUACCAGACCCGAACGUCUACGAACCGUGUACGGCGACCGUUGCCAAAGACAAUCGAGUGAACAACUACCCUCAUCGUGGAUUCGACAAGACAAUGUGUACAACUACUUCCACGACGAACGUGUACCACUAUCGUUGAGGACCGAUAAUACCACUACUUCUACUACCGUCGCGGGAACGACUACUUCCACUAUGACACGAACCGCCCUAAAGAUGCACCCUUGGAAGGUAUAACCGCCGGAACAACGCCGUGGACCGUAUGCAUGUGAUGUGUUAUAUGAGAUGCCCGUGUUUGCACCAUGUCCGUACUGUCGCUUGCACACUCCUCCUCGUUUGCCAUGCCGUCUACCCGUGGGAACCCGGUUACCGGGAUCACUCCCCGUCACUCUUGCAUGUUUCGCACAUCCACACUUUCUUUUGCACCGACAUCUCGAUGAGUUGUCGGAUCAUCGGAAUGUUGUCGUGGCAUCAUUUCCGUUGACGCUGCAAUGGCACCCCUUUCUUUCCGCCAUGGUGAUAAAAUGCUCCACAUCUUAUAACAUGCCAACAUCUUCGUAAAAAUUGCAUAUAACUUGCAUAUGUCAUCCGCAUCAUGAUAACAACAUUUAAAAUGUUUAAAUUGCUGUUUGCUUAAAAAUUGCUAAAUAUGCAUAUGGGGAUUUUCCGGAAUGGUUGUUGUUAUUUCCGGCCUCAUUUAAACUUGCCUGAAUAGUUAGUUUACUUAUGCCUCACCUAUUGCCAUGUUAACCAACAUUUAAUAUUGUUGAGUACCUAACCGGGAGUGAACUAAAUAAUCGAAUGUGGUGUUUCGUCAACAUGCAUCUUAUUACAUGUUGAGCUCCACUUAACUUGUAGUUUUGUUUGUGCACUUUGCCAUGCCAUGCAUAUUUAAACUGGACAUGCAUCAUCCUUGGUUGUGCAUCAUGCCAUGUUUAUGAUUGUGUGUUUACCAUGUUGCUUGCCUCUUUCCAGUUUGCUUCUCUCGUUAGCUUUGGUUUCGUUCGACUACGUCCGUUUGUCUUCUUCAUGGACUCGUUCUUCUUCCUUGCGGGAUCUCAGGCAAGAUGAUCAUUACCCUCGAUAUCACUUCUAUCUUUGCUUGCUAGUUAUUCGUUCUAUCCCUAUGUCGCGCUACCUACCACUUGUUUAUCAUGCCUCCCAUAUUUCCAUGUCUAGCCUCUAACCCACCUUCUUAGCAAACUGUUGUUUGGCUAUGUUACCGCUUUUGCGCAGCCCCUCUUAUAGAGUUGUUAGUUGCAAGUGAAGUUGAAGAUUGCUCCAUUUUGGAACAUGAUUAUGUUGGGAUAUCACAAUAUCUCUUAUUUAAUUAAUGCAUCUAUAUACUUGGUAAUGGGUGGAAGGCUCGGCCUUACGCCUGGUGUUUUGUUCCACUCUUGCCGCCUUAGUUUCCGUCAUACCGGUGUUAUGAUCCUUGAUUUUGUGUUCCUUACGCGGUUGGGGUUAUGGGACCCCCUUGACAGUUCGCUUUGAAUAAAACUCCUCCAGCAAGGCCCAACCUUGGUUUUACCAUUUGCCUAACAACCUAAACCUUUCCCUUGGGAGUAAUUAACCCGAGGGUCAUCUUUAUUUUUAACCCCCCCCCGGGCCAGUGCUCCUCUGAGUUGUUGUCCAACCUAGGCGAUGUCUGGCGCCCCCUGGGCAACCAGGGUCUAUGCCAACUCGACGCCUUGCAAUCCGGUGUGCCCUGAGAACGAGAUAUGUGCAGCUUCUAUCAGGAUUUGUCAGGACAUUCGGGCGGUCUUGCCGGUCUUGUUUUACCAUUGUCGAAAUAUCUUGUAGCCGGGAUUCCGAGUCUGAUCGGGUUGUUCCGGGAGAAGGAAUAUCCUUCGUUGAUCGUGAGAGCUUGUGAUGGGCUAAGUUGGGACACCCCUGCAGGGUAUAAACUUUCGAGAGUCGUGCCCGCGGUUAUGUGGAAGAUGGGAAUUUGUUAAUAUCCGGUUGUAGAGAACUUGACACUUGACUUAAUUAAAAUGCAUCAACCACGUGUGUAGCCGUGAUGGUCUCUUUUCGGCGGAUUCUGGGAAGUGAACACGGUUUGGGUUAUGUAUGAACGUAAGUAGUUCAGGAUCACUUCUUGAUCACUUAUAGCUUCACGACCAUUGCAUAGCUUAUCAUCUUACUCUUAUUUCGUAUGUUAGCCACCAUAUUUGCUUAGUGCUUGCUGCAGCUCCACCUCAUUACCUUAUCCUACCCAUAAGCUUAAAUAGUCUUGAUCUCGCAGGUUUUGAGAUUGCUGAGUCCUCGUGACUCACAGAUACUAUCAAAACAGUUGCAGGUGCCGAUGAUACUAGUGCAGGCGAUGCUACCGAACUCAAGUGGGAGUUCGACGAGGACCUUGGCCGUUACUACGUGUCUUUUCCGUAUGAUUAGUAGUGGAGCCCAGUUGAGACGAUCGGGGAUCUAGCAUUUGGGGUUAUCUUCUUUUCUUUUGGUUUGUCCGUAGUCGGACUAUGUGUGUAUUUUGGAUGAUGUAUGAUUUAUUAAUUGUUAUUGUGUGAUGUGGCGAGUGUAAGCCAACUCUAUUUAUCCCUUUCUUGUUCAUUACAUGGGAUGUUGUGAAGAUGACCCUUCUUGCGACUAAAUCACAAUGCGGUUAUGCCUCUAAGUCGUGCCUAGACACGGAGAUAUAGCCGCAUCAUGGGCGUUACACCGGCCCUCUCUAUGGUGCGCCCAAGGGGGAGUCCUACUCCCAGUAGGAGUAGGUUUUCCCCCCUUCCCUAGUUGGAGUAGGAGAACAAAGAAGAGGGAGAGAGAGGGAAGGAAAGGGGGGCCAGCCCCCCACCCAAUUCGGAUUGGGCUUGGGGGCGCACCCUCCACCUGGACGCCUCCUCCUCUCUCCCACUAAGGCCUAAUAAGGCACAUUGACUCCCCGGGGGGUUCUGGUAACCCCCCGGUACUCCGGUAAAUGCCCGAACACAUUUGGAAACAUUCUGAUGUCCAAACAUAGCCUUCCAAUAUAUCGAUGUUUAUGUCUCAACCAUUUUGAGACUCCUCGUCAUGUCCGUGAUCACACCCGGGACUCCGAACUACCUUCGGUAUAUCAAAACACAUAAACUCAUAAUACCGAUCGUCAUCGAACGUUAAGCGUGCGGACCCUACGGGUUCGAGAACUAUGUAGACAUGACCGAGACACGUCUCCGGUCAAUAACCAAUAGCGGAACCUGGAUGUUCAUAUUGGCUCCUACAUAUUCUAUGAAGAUCUUUAUCGGUCAAACCGCAUAACAACAUACGUUGUUCCCUUUGUCAUCGUUAUGUUAUUGCCUAAGGUUCGAUCGUCGGUAUCUCAAUACCUAGUUCAAUCUCGUUACCGGCAAGUCUCUUUACUCGUUCCAUAAUGCAUCAUCCCACAACUAACUCAUUAGUCAUAGUGCUUGCAAGGCUUAUAGUGAUGUGCAUUACCGAGAGGGCUCAAAGAUUCCUCUCUGACAAUCGGAGUGACAAUCUAUGCCAACUCAACAAACACCAUCGGAGACACCUAUAGAGCAUCUUUAUAAUCACCUAGAUAUAUUGUGAUGUUUGAUAGCACACUAAGUGUUCCUCCGGUAUUUGGGAGUUGCAUAAUCUCAUAGUCAUAGGAACAUGUAUAAGUUAUGAAGAAAGCAAUAGCAAUAAACUAAACGAUCAUAGUGCUAAGCUAACGGAUGGGUCAAGUCAAUCACAUCAUUCUCUAAUGAUGUGAUCCUGUUCAUCAAAUGACAACUCUUGUCCAUGGCUAGGAAACUUAACCAUCUUUGAUUAACGAGCUAGUCAAGUAGAGGCAUACUGGUGACACCCUGUUUGUCUAUGUAUUCACACAUGUACUAAGUUUCCGGUUUAAUACAAUUCUAGCAUGAAUAAGAAACAUUUAUCAUGAUAUAAAUAACAACUUUAUUAUUGCCUCUAGGGCAUAUUUCCUUCAGUCUCCCACUUGCACUAGAGUCAAUAAUCUAGAUUAUAUUGUAAUGAUUCUAACACCCAUGGAGUCUUGGUGUUGAUCAUGUUUUGCUCGUGAGAGAGGCUUGGUUAACGGGUCUGCAACAUUCAGAUCUGUAUGUAUCUUGCAAAUUUCUAUGUCUCCCUCCUUGACUUGAUCGCGGAUGGAAUCGAAGCGUCUCUUGAUGUGCUUGGUUCUCUUGUGAAAUCUGGAUUCCUUUGCCAAGGCAAUUGCACCAGUAUUGUCAGAAAAGAUUUUCAUUGGACCCAAUGCACUAGGUAUGACACCUAGAUCGGAUAUGAACUCAUUCAUCCAGACUCCUUCAUUUGCUGCUUCCGAAGUAGCUAUGUACUCCGCUUCACACGUAGAUCCUGCUACAAUGCUCUGCUUGGGACUGCACCAACUGACAGCUCCACCAUUCAAUAAAAACACGUAUCCGGUUUGUGACUUAGAGUCAUCCGGAUUAGUGUCAAAGCUUGCAUUGAUGUAACCGUUUACGAAGAGCUCUUUGUCACAUCCAUAAACGAGAAACAUAUCCUUAGUCCUUUUCAGGUAUUUUAGGAUGUUCUUGACCGCUGUCCAAUGAUCCACUCCUGGAUUACUUUGGUACCUCCCUGCUAAACUAAUAGCAAGGCACACAUCAGGUCUGGUACACAGCAUUGCAUACAUGAUAGAACCUAUGGCUGAAGCAUAGGGAAUGACUUCCAUUUUCUCUCUAUCUUCUGCAAUGGUCGGGCAUUGAGUCUGACUCAACUUCACACCUUGUAAAACAGGCAAGAACCCUUUCUUUGCUUGAUCCAUUUUGAACUUCUUCAAAACUUUAUCAAGGUAUGUGCUUUGUGGAAGUACAAUUAAGCGUCUUGAUCUAUCUCUAUAGAUCUUGAUGCCUAAUAUAUAAGCAGCUUCACCGAGGUCUUUCAUUGAAAAAUUCUUAUUCAAGUAUCCUUUUAUGCUAUUCAGAAAUUCAGUAUCAUUUCCGAUCAACAAUAUGGCAUCCACAUAUAAUAUCAGAAAUGCAACAGAGCUCCCACUCACUUUCUUGUAAAUAUAGGCUUCUCCAAAAGUCUGUAUAAAACCAUAUGCUUUGAUCACACUAUCAAAGUGAAUAUUCCAACUCCGAGAGGCUUGCACCAGUCCAUAAAUGGAUCGCUAGAGUUUGCACACUUUGUUAACACCUUUUGGAUCGACAAAACCUUCCGGUUGCAUCAUAUACAACUCUUCUUUAAGAUAUCCAUGAAGGAAUGCAGUUUUAACAUCCAUUUGCCAAAUUUCAUAAUUAUAAAAUGUGGCAAUUGCUAACAUGAUUUGCACGGAAUUAAGCAUCGCUACGGGUAAGAAGGUCUCAUCGUAGUCAACUCCUUGAACUUGUCAAAAACAUUUUGCAACAAGUCGAGCUUUGUAGACAGUAAUAUUACCGUCAGCGUCGGUCUUCUUCUUGAAGAUCCAUUUAUUCUCUAUGGCUUGCCAAUCAUCGGGCAAGUCAACCAAAGUCCACACUUUUUUGUCAUACAUGGAUCUCAUCUCAGAUUUCAUGGCCUCAAGCCAUUUUGCGGAAUCUGGGCUCAUCAUCACUUCCUCAUAGUUCGUAGGUUCAUCAUGGUCAAGUAUCAUGACUUCUAGAACAGGAUUACCAUACCACUCUGGUGCGGAUCUUACUCUGGUUGACCUACGAGGUUCGGUGGUAACUUGAUCAGAAGUUUCGUGAUCAUCAUCAUUAGCUUCCUCACUUACUGGUGUAGGAAUCACUGGAACUGAUUUCCGUAAUAAACUACUUUCCACUAAGGGAGCAGGUACAGUUACCUCAUCAAGUUCUACUUUCUUCCCACUCACUUCUUUCGAGAGAAACUCCUUCUCUAGAAAGGAUCCAUUCUUAGCAACGAAUAUCUUGCCUUCGGAUCUGUGAUAGAAGGUGUACCCAACAGUCUCUCUUGGGCAUCCUAUGAAGACACAUUUCUCCGAUUUGGGUUCGAGCUUAUCAGGUUGAAGCUUUUUCACAUAAGCAUCGCAGCCCCAAACUUUAAGAAACAACAACUUGGGUUUCUUGCCAAACCACAGUUCAUAAAGUGUCGUCUCAACGGAUUUCGAUGGUGCCCUAUUUAACGUGAAUGCAGCCGUCUCUAAAGCAUAACCCCAAAAUGAUAGCGGUAAAUCAGUAAGAGAUAUCAUAGAUCGCACCAUAUCUAAUAAAGUGCGGUUACGACAUUCGGACACACCAUUAUACUGUGGUGUUCCAGGUGGCGUGAGUUGCGAAAUUAUUCCGCAUUGUUUCAAAUGAAGAUCAAACUCAUAACUCAAAUAUUCUCCUCCACGAUCAGAUCGUAGAAACUUUAUUUUCUUGUUACGAUGAUUUUCCACUUCACUCUGAAAUUCUUUGAACUUUUCAAAUAUUUCAGACUUAUGUUUCAUCAAGUAGAUAUACCCAUAUCUGCUCAAAUCAUCUGCGAAGGUUAGAAAAUAACGAUACCCGCCGCGAGCCUCAACACUUAUCGGACCGCAUACAUUGGUUUGUAUUAUUUCCAAUAAGUCAGUGGCUCGCUCCAUUGUUUCAGAGAACGGAGUCUUAGUCAUCUUGCCCAUGAGGCAUGGUUCGCAAGCAUCAAAUGAUUCAUAAUCAAGUGAUUCCAAAAGUCCAUCUGCAUGGAGUUUCUUCAUGCACUUUACACCAAUAUGACCUAAACGGCAGUGCCACAAGUAUGUUGCACUAUCAUUAUCAACUUUGCAUCUUUUGGCAUCAAUAUUAUGAAUAUGUGUAUCACUACGAUCGAGAUUCAAUAAACCAUUCAUAUUAAGUGUAUGACCAUAGAAGGUUUUAUUCUUGUAAACAGAAUAACCAUUAUUCUUUGACUUAAAUGAAUAACUGUAUUGCAAUAAACAUGAUCCAAUCAUAUUCAUGCUCAACGCAAACACCAAAUAACAUUUAUUUUAGGUUCAACACUAAUCCCGAAGGUAAAAGGAGUGUGCGAUGGUGAUCUUAUCAACCUUGGAAUCAUUUCCAACACACAUCGUCACCUUGCCCUUAACUAGUCUUUGUUCAUUUUGCAACUCCUGUUUCGAGUUACUAAUCAUAGCAACUGAACCGGUAUCAAAUACCCUGGGGUUACUAUGAACACUAGUAAAGUACACAUCAAUAACAUGUAUAUCAAAUAUACUUUUGUUCACUUUGCCAUCCUUCUUAUCCGCCAAGUAUUUGGGGUAGUUCUGCUUCCAGUGACCAUUCCCUUUGCAGUAGAAGCACUCAGUUUCAGGCUUAGGUCUAGCUUUGGGCUUUGAUACGUCUCCGUCGUAUCUACUUUUCCAAACACUUUUGCCCUUGUUUUGGACUCUAACUUGUAUGAUUUGAAUGGAACUAACCCAGACUAACGCUGUUUUCAGCAGAAUUGCCAUGGUGUUGUUUUAUGUCCAGAAAACAAAUAUUCUCGAAAUGACCUGAAACUCCACGGAACAUCUUAGAAAAAAUAAUAAAAAAUCCUCGCCAAAGAUGAAGACCAGGGGGCCCACACCCUUCUCACGAGGGUGGGGGGCGCCCCCCCUAGGGCGCGCCCCCUACCUCGUGGGCCCCCUAGAUGCCCUCCGAUGCCAACUCCAACUCUAUAUAUUUGCUUUCGGAGAGAAAAAAAUCAGAGAGAAGAAAUCAUCGCGUUUUACGAUACGGAGCCACCGCCAAGCCCUAAAGCCUCUUGGGAGGGCUGAUCUGGAGUCCGUUCGGGGCUCCAGAGAGGGGGAUUCGUCGCCGUCGUCAUCAUCAACCAUCCUCCAUCACCAAUUUCAUGAUGCUCACCGCCGUGCAUGAGUAAUUCCAUCGUAGGCUUGCUGGACGGUGAUGGGUUCGAUGAGAUUUAUCAUGUAAUCGAGUUAGUUUUGUUAGGGUUGGAUCCCUAGUAUCCAUUAUGUUCUGAGAUUGAUGUUGCUAUGACUUUGCUAUGCUUAAUGCUUGUCACUAGGGCCCGAGUGCCAUGAUUUUAGAUCUGAACCUAUUAUGUUUUCAUGAAUAUAUGUGAGUUCUUGAUCCUAUCUUGCAAGUCUAUAGUCACCUACUAUGUGUUAUGAUCCGGCAACCCCAAAGUGACAAUAAUCGGGACCACUCCUGGUGAUGACCAUAGUUUGAGGAGUUCAUGUAUUCACUAUGUGCUAAUGCUUUGUUCUGGUUCUCUAUUAAAAGGAGGCCUUAAUAUCCCUUAGUUUCCAAUAGGAUCCCGCUGCCACGGGAGGGUAGGACAAAAGAUGUCAUGCAAGUUCUUUUCCAUAAGCACGUAUGACUAUAUACAGAAUACAUGCCUACAUUACAUUGAUGAAUUGGAGCUAGUUCUGUGUCACCGUAUGUUAUGACUGUUACAUGAUGAACCGCAUCCGGCAUAAUUAUCCAUCACUGAUACGGUGCCUACGAGUUUUCCAUAUACUGGUUUACGCUUAUUUACUUUCCCGCUGCUACUGUUACAAUCACUACAAAAUACCAAAAACAUUACUUUUGUUGUCUUUACUUUUGUUGCCGCUACCGCCACUAUCAUAUUACUUUGCUACUAAACACUUUGUUGCAGAUACUAAGUUUCCAGGUGUGGUCGAAUUGACAACUCAGCUACUAAUACUUGAGAAUAUUCUUUGGCUCCCCUUGUGUCGAAUCAAUAAAUUUGGGUUGAAUACUCUACCCUCGAAAGCUGUUGUGAUCCCCUAUACUUGUGGGUUAUCAAGACUAAUUUCUGGCACCAUUGCCGAGGAGCAUAGCUCUAUUCUUUGAGUCACUUGGGAUUUAUAUCUGCUGGACACUAUGAAGAACUUGAGAGAUCCAAAAACCAAGAUCUAUCCCUCGACUACGAGGGAAGGUAAGGAACUGCCAUCUAGCUCUGCACUUGAUUCACCUUCUGUUAUGAGUAAGUUAGCGACACCUACACCUGCUUCUGCUAUUCGUUCUGAUAUGUCGCAUGUUAUUGAUGAUGCCACUUCUGUUAUGCAUGAUACUUAUGAUGAAACUGCUUCUAUACCUGAUACUACUGUGCCCCUUGGUGAAUUUCUUGAUGAACAAAUUGCUAGGGCUAGAGAAAAAGAAAUUAUUGAAUCUGAAUACGAUGAUGAUAGUGAUGAUGAAAAUAUGCUUGUUAUUCCUAAGGGCUAUCUUUUUGAUAUGGAAUCUUCUGCCGCUAUUUUAGCUUGCAAAGAUAUAUAUGAGCUUAAGAGGUUAUUAAUUAAAUGGAACAAAGAAUCACUUAGAGAUAAAAUGAAACCUGACCCUGCUUUUGCUACUUCACACCUAUGUGUUCCUGAUAAGGAUUAUGAAUUCUCUGUUGAUCCUGAUAUAAUUACUUUGGUUGAAUCUGAUCCGUUUUAUGGCUAUGAAUCUGAAAUUGUUGUGGCAGAUCUUACUAAGUUAAAUGGUAUAGCUGCCCUGUUCACUAAUGACGAGAGAUCGCGUUACCUUUAUAUACUCAAAAUAUUUCCGUUCUCAUUAAAGGGUGAUGCUAAGAUAUGGUUCAAUUCUCUUGAUCCUGGUUGUGUGCGUAGUCCCCAGGAUAUGAUUUAUUACUUCUCUGCUAAAUAUUUCCCUGCUCAUAAGAAACAAGCUGCUUUGAGGGAAAUAUACAACUUCGUGCAAAUUAAAGAAGAGAGUCUCCCACAAGCUUGGGGGAGGCUUCUCAAGUUACUUAAUGCUUUGCCUGAUCAUCCUCUUAAGAAACCUGAAAUACUUGAUAUCUUUUAUAAUGGACUAACUGAUGCUUCCAGAGAUUACCUGGAUAGUUGUGUUGGUUCUCUUUUCAGGGAAAGAACACUGGAUGAAGCUGAAAUUCUAUUGAAUAAUAUGUUGACAAAUGAAAAUAAUUGGGCACCUCCUGAGACAGCUCCUGAGCCAACUCCUGCUCCAAUUACUGAACCUAUUCCUAAACCAACUCCGAACAAGAGAGGUGUUCUAUUUCUCAGUCCCGAAGAUAUGCAAGAGGCAAAGAAAUCUAUGAAAGAAAAAGGUAUUAAAGCUGAAGACGUUAAGAAUUUACCUCCUAUUGAAGAAAUACAUGGUCUUAAUUCACCGCCUGUUGAAGAAACAUAUAAUCUUAAUUCUUUAUUUACUGAAGAACCUCCUGAUCCUGAUAUCCCGACAUAGGUAGUAAAGGUAAAUUCUCUCUAUAGAUAUGAUAAAGCUGAAGUCCCUCCUACUAAAAUUGCUAGUCAGUGCUUGCAUGAGUUUGAUAACUUUAUGUUUAAGCAAGACGACUUCAACGCUUAUUUUGGUAGACAAUUAAAAGAAAAUGCUUAUAUGAUUAGACGCUUGGGUGAUUAUAUGGCUAAUAUUAAAGGUGAACUUAAACUUGUUAGCAAACAUGCUUCUAUGGUUACCACUCAAGUAGAACAAGUACUUAAGGCUCAAAAAGAAGUGCUUGAUGAAAUGAAUAGUAAGAAAAACGAUUAUGCUGUUAGAAUGGCUACUAGAACUGGUAGAAUGACUCAGGAACCUUUGUAUCCUGAAGGCCACCCUAAGAGAAUCGAGCAAGAUUCUCAAAUAAAUAAUAUUGAUGUUCCUAGUUCUUCUAAAAAGAAGAAGAAGAAAAACGAUAGAACUGUGCAAACUUGUAGCGAACCUAUUGCUGAACCACCUGAUAAUCCAAAUGAUAUAUCUAUGUCUGAUGCUGAAACACAAUCUGGUAAUGAACAUGAACCUAGUAAAAAUAUUAAUGAUGAUGUUCAUGAUGAUGCUCAACCUAGUAAUGACAAUGAUGUAGAAAUUGAACCUGCUGUUGAUCUUGAUAACCCACAAUCACAGAAUCAACGUUAUGAUAAAAGAGACUUUGUUGCUAGGAAACAUGGUAAAGAAAGGGAACCUUGGGUUCAGAAACCCAUGCCUUUUCCUCCGAAACCAUCCAAGAAAAAGGAUGAUGAGGAUUUUGAGCGCUUUGCUCAAAUGAUUAGGCCUAUCUUUUUGCGUAUGCGAUUAACUGAUGUGCUCAAAACAAAUCCUUAUGCUAAAUAUAUGAAGGAUAUCAUUACUAAUAAAAGAAAGAUACCGGAAGCUGAAAUUUCCACCAUGCUUGCUAAUUAUACUUUUAAGGGUGGAAUACCAAAGAAACUUGGAGACUCCGGAGUACCUACUAUACCUUGCUCCAUUAAAAGAAAUUAUAUUAAAACUGCUUUAUGUGAUCUUGGAGCCAGUGUUAGUGUUAUGCCUCUCUCUUUAUAUCGUAGACUUGACUUGAAUAAGCUGACACCUACUGAAAUAUCUUUGCAAAUGGCUGAUAAAUCAACUGCUAUACCUGUCGGUAUUUGUGAGGAUGUGCCUGUUGUGGUUGCAAACGUUACUAUUUUAACGGACUUUGUUAUACUUGAUAUUCCCCAGGAUGAUAGUAUGUCUAUUAUUAUUGGAAGACCUUUUCUUAAUACUGCAGGGGUUGUUAUUGAUUGCAACAAAGGCAAUGUCACUUUUCAUGUUAAUGGUAAUGAGCAUACGGUACACUUUCCGAGGAAACAACCACAAGUUCACAGUAUCAACUCUAUUGGAAAAAUUCCAUCGAUUAUAUUUGGAGGUUUUGAAUUUCCUCUUCCUACUGCCAAGAAGAAAUAUGAUAUACUUAUUAUUGGGGAUGUGCAUAUCCCCGUUGAGGCAACUUAGUGUUAUUCGAAACUUCUUCGAUUUUAUGAUUAUCGGAAUGAGUUUGUUAACAAGACUUGAUCAACCUUGUUAGUGGAUUCUUUUUUAUGAGCAUGAGAUGGAUGAAACUAGAAGCACAACCUUCUGUACCCUCUCUAUAUUUUCUGUUAAUUAGUAGAAAUAAAGUAAAAAUAGUAUUUUCAGUGUGUUUCCUGGCUUAUCCGUGCAAUAUAAAAAUAUCUCGAAAAUAAAAGUCCUUAGAAUGACAUGCCAAUUUAAUAUGAUUUUUUCGAGAAUAUUUGAGGAUUUACUGUGCAAAAAUUACCGCGGGAGGAGCUGCCACCUGGCCACGAGGGUGGUGGGCGCGCCCCCCUCUAGGGCGCGCCCCCCUGCCUCAUGUGCCAACGGUGGCCCCCCUCCACUUAUCCCAGCACCCAUCUUCUUCCUCUAUCUCACACAAAUCUGAAAAACCAACUCAAGCACGAGUUCCAACCACUUUUGCUGUGAUUUUCGAUCUCCUUGCUCAAAGCACCUCUCACAAGACUGCUUGGGGAGAUUGUUCCUUGGUAUGUGACUCCUCCAUUGGUCCAAUUAGUUUUUGUUCUAGUGCUUUAUUCUUUGCAAAUUUGUGCUGCAUAGGUGACCAUGUUCUUGGGCUUGCAUGUCAAAUUUAUAUGGUUCCAAGUAGUUCUAAUGUUUGAUAUAGGCUCUAGGCAUUUGUAGGAGUAGUUGCUAUCAGUUUUAUUGAAGUUGGUUCACUUUUGUUUGAAGUUACUAAAAAUUUCAGAUUAUUUCAGAAAAAUAAUGAGGAGAUUUUUGAGGGGCUCAUCAAGCCAAAGCUCAAAGGAAAAGGCACUGAAGCCUAAGUAUAAUUUGUCGUGCACCGCGGAGAUUCAGGCGUGUGAAUGGCCUUCUGAUGAUUUCUUGAGAGCAGCCGGUAUCUAUGAAGAUUUUCAUGAAUUGGCUCACAAUGCAGGUCUCACCGCUUUCCUCCACGACCAAUGCGAUCAGUAUCUCUUACUCACAAAUACUUUUGUGCAUAACUUUCAUUUUCAUUCUAGGAACUCACCACCUACGGUGGAGUUUCAUUUAUAUGAUGAGCAUAAAGAGAUGCCACUUAAAGAUUUCUGUCGAAUUUGUUUAGUCCCUUUUGAGGGCAAGACAGAAGAACCACAUCAUGAUGAUGUGGCUGGUUUUAUUGAUACUAUCACUGUAGGAGAAACUAGGCAGGUUUCCGAUGCACGAAUCACUAGCAUACAUUUUCCCGUUUUACGUUACUUUGCAUUAUUUGCUAGUCAUUGUUUAAUUGGACGCGGAAACUGUGGAAACCUUAGCAUCCCUGAUAUAAUUAUUCUGCACCAUGGUUUAUACAGUGAUAACACUUUUAGUAUGGGCGGUAUUAUUGCUAGACGGUUAAGUAUGAAUCAUACUAAGGGUCCCAUCUUUGGAGGCGUCUAUGCCACACGCCUAGAUGCACAUUUUAACAUACCUAUUAGGCAUGCUGAGAAGGAAGAAAAGGUGCUGCCCCGUGUUUAUCUAGAUCAUAAAAGUAUGGUGGCACACGAUUUUAUUGUUAAGAAUAGGGCAGGAGAGCUUAAAUAUCAAUUAUUCUUUAACAAACAUCAUCCUGAGACUAUUAUCCUGCCUGCUCCUUCUUUUUUUAAUUUUGUAGGACCCUACCUCGUUACAUGGGCUGCCAUCCAAGCUUACAAGAAUCUUGCACCAGCCCCGGAACAGGAACCACAAGAUGAACCUCCACGACAAUCUGUUUAUUCUUGGGAUCCAGAGAUGACUGUCAGCCAGUGGCAGUCAGAGUCUUCUUCUUCAUCACAAUAUGAUCCCAACUAUUCCUCCUCAUCACAGUACGACCCCAACAACUAUUAUUAUGGAUAUCCGCCAAGCCAGCCAUGGCCAUAGACCAACUUAGGCCAAAAGCCUAAGCUUGGGGGAGUACGUAUUUCUCAUCGACAUUACAUUUAUGUUCACACACACUCAUUACUAGAUGUCGGUGCUCAUACUUUUUCACUGUAAUAUCCAUGCUAGUUUAUUUUCUUUUACCUGCUUUCUUCUUGUGUGUUUGCUAAACCUUAAGAAAACCCAAAAAAAUUAUUAGUAGUUUAUUUUUCUGCUGUAGUAGUAAUAAUUAAAAAGAAAACCCAAAAAUAUUUCUCGUUCUUCUUUUGCUUGUUGGGAGCUUUCCCGUGUAAAUAGUUUUAUUUCUUUUCUUUUAUUUGGGGGUCAGUAGGAGAAGACCAUAAUUAAAUUGUUGAAGUGGCUCUUAUAAGCAUUGUUGUUGAUUUAACCAAGAGCCCAUAUUGCCUUGUCUUCUCCUGUUUAUUGAAUGCUCGCAGAUUCCAGCUUAGUCCAAUGCAUGUACACUCUUAUUAUUAUUCACACUGUUCGGUCGUGCAAGUGAAAGGCAAUUAUGAUGAUAUAUGAUGGACUGACUGAGAUGAGAAAAGCUAGUAUGAACUCGGCCUCUUUUGUUUUUGUAAAUAUGAUGAGUCCCUCGUUCCUGAUUCAGCUUAUUAUGAAUAAACAUGUUUGCAAUGACAAUUAGAGAUCAUAGUUGCUUGUGUCAUGCUUGAUUAGCUAUGAGUUAUAAUGAUUUACCUCGUGUGCCAACAUGCUAUUGAGAUGGUUAUGAUGUGGUAUGAUGGGGUGGUAUCCUCCUUUGAAUGAUUUAAGUGACUUGACUUGGCACAUGUUCACGCAUGUAGUUGAAACAAAUCAACAUAGCCUUCACGAUAUUUAUGUUCAUGGUGGAUUAUAUCCUACUCAUGCUUGCAUCCAAUGUUUAUUAAUUUUAAUGCAUGUACAUGGCUGUUGUCGCUCUCUAGUUGGUCGCUUCCCAGUCUUUUGCUAGCCUUCACAUGUACUAAGCGGGAAUAUUGCUUGUGCAUCCAAUCCCUUAAACCCCAAAGUUAUUCCAGAUGAUUCCACCAUACCUUCCUAUAUGCGGUAUCUACCUGCCAUUCCAAGUAAAUUUGUAUGUGCCAAACUCUAAACCUUCAAAUAAUCAUUCUGUUUUGUAUGCUCGAAUAGCUCAUGUAUCAACCAAGGUUGUCCUUAUCUUCCGUGUUAGGCGGGUUAUUCUCAAGAGGAGUGGACUCCGCUCCUCACUCACGAGAAAAUGGCUGGUCACCGGGAUGCCUAGUCCCAUGCUUUAUGCAAACUAAAUCAAAAUUAAUUGCAAACAAAACUCCCCCUGGGACCUGAUGUAUGUUGGAGGCACUCGUUGUUUCGAGCAAACCAUGGAUUGAUGCUUGUUGGUGCAGGGGGAGUAUAAACUUUACCAUUCUGUUUGGGAACCGCCUAUAAUGUGUUUAGCAUGGAAGAUAUCGCCAUCUCUUAGUUGUUAUGUUGACAAUGAAAGUAUACCGCUCAAAAUACAAUUUAUCUCUAUUGCAAAACUGAGCUCUGGCACCUCUACAAAUCCCUACUUCCCUCUGCGAAGGGCCUAUCCAUUUACUUUUAUGUUGAGUCAUCACCCUCUUAUUAAAAAGCACUAGCUGGAGAGCACAGCCGUCAUUUGCAUUCAUCACUAUUAAUUUAUAUUGGGUAUGACUAUGAUUGGAUCUCUUUUACCAUGAAUUACAAUGUCUAGUCAGUCCUUGAUCUUUAAAGGUGCUCUACAUUUAUGUUUUGCGGUCUCAGAAAGGGCUAGCGAGAUACCAUCUUGUUAUAUCAUAUUAUGAUUGUUUUGAGAAAGUGUCAUCAUUUGAGAUUUAUUAUUAUGACUUGCUAGUUGAUUAUGCUAUUGAUAUGAGUAAUUAUGAGACCUGAGAAUUAUUGCAAAUGUGGUUAGUUAUGAUCUAUGCUGAAAACUUGAAUGCUGGCUUGACAUAGUUACAACAACAAGAGCAAACAGAGUUUGUAAAAGUUUUUCUUUCAUUCAGUUUGUCAACUGAAUUUCUUGAGGACAAGCAAGGGUUUAAGCUUGGGGGAGUUGAUACGUCUCCGUCGUAUCUACUUUUCCAAACACUUUUGCCCUUGUUUUGGGCUCUAACUUGUAUGAUUUGAAUGGAACUAACCCGGACUAACGUUGUUUUCAGCAGAAUUGCCAUGGUGUUGUUUUAUGUGCAGAAAAUAAAUAUUCUCGGAAUGACCUGAAACCCCACGGAACAUCUUGGAAAAAAUAAUAAUAAAUCCUCGCCAAAGAUGAAGACCAGAGGGUCCCACACCCUUCUCAUGAGGGUGGGGGGCGCCCCCCCUAGGGCGCGCCCCCCUACCUCGUGGGCCCCCUAGAUGCCCUCCGAUGCCAACUCCAACUCUAUAUAUUUGCUUUCAGAGAGAAAAAAAUCAGAGAGAAGAAAUCAUCGCGUUUUACGAUACGGAGCCGCCGCCAAGCCCUAAAACCUCUCGGGAGGACUGAUCUGGAGUCCGUUCGGGGCUCCGGAGAGGGGGAUUCGUCGCCUCAUCAUCAUCAACCAUCCUCCACCACCAAUUUCAUGAUGCUCACCGCCGUGCGUGAGUAAUUCUAUCGUAGGCUUGCUGGACGGUGAUGGGUUGGAUGAGAUUUAUCAUGUAAUCGAGUUAGUUUUGUUAGGGUUUGAUCCCUAGUAUCCAUUAUGUUCUGAGAUUGAUGUUGCUAUGACUUUGCUAUGCUUAAUGCUUGUCACUAGGGCCCGAGUGCCAUGAUUUCAGAUCUGAACCUAUUAUGUUUUCAUGAAUAUAUGUGAGUUCUUGAUCCUAUCUUGCAAGUCUAUAGUCACCUACUAUGUGUUAUGAUCCAGCAACCCCGAAGUGACAAUAAUCGGGACCACUCCCGGUGAUGACCAUAGUUUGAGGAGUUCAUGUAUUCACUAUAUGCUAAUGCUUUGUUCCGGUUCUCUAUUAAAAGGAGGCCUUAAUAUCCCUUAGUUUCCAAUAGGACCCCGCUGCCACGGGAGGGUAGGACAAAAGAUGUCAUGCAAGUUCUUUUCCAUAAGCACGUAUGACUAUAUACGGAAUACAUGCCUACAUUACAUUGAUGAAUUGGAGCUAGUUCUGUGUCACCCUAUGUUAUGACUGUUACAUGAUGAACCGCAUCCGGCAUAAUUAUCCAUCACUGAUCCGGUGCCUACGAGUUUUCCAUAUACUGGUUUACGCUUAUUUACUUUCCCGCUGCUACUGUUACAAUCACUAUAAAAUACCAAAAACAUUACUUUUGAUGUCUUUACUUUUGUUGCCGCUACCGCCACUAUCAUAUUACUUUGCUACUAAACACUUUGCUGCAGAUACUAAGUUUCCAGAUGUGGUUGAAUUGACAACUCAGCUGCUAAUACUUGAGAAUAUUCUUUGGCUCCCCUUGUGUCGAAUCAAUAAAUUUGGGUUGAAUACUCUACCCUCGAAAGCUGUUGUGAUCCCCUAUACUUGUGGGUUAUCAGGCUUCUUCACGGGAGUGGCAACUUGCUUGCCAUUCUUCUUGAAGUUCCCUUUCUUUCCCUUGCCCUUUUACUUGAAACUAGUGGUCUUGUCAACCAUCAACACUUGAUGCUUUUUCUUGAUUUCUACCUUCGCCAAUUUCAGCAUCGCGAAGAGUUUGGGAAUCGUUUCCGUUAUCCCUUGUAUAUUAUAGUUCAUCACGAAGUUCUAGUAACUUGGUUAUAGUGACUAGAGAACUCUGUCAAUCAAUAUCUUAUCUAGGAGAUUAACUCCCACUUGAUUCAAGUGAUUGUAGUACUCAGACAUUCUGAGCACAUGCUCACUAGCUGAGCUAUUCUCCUCCAUCUUGUAGGCAAAGUACUUGUCAAAGGUCUCAUACCUCUUAACACGGGUAUGAGUCCAAAAUACCAAUUUCAGCUCUGGGAACAUCUGAUAUGCUCCGUGGCAUUCAAAACGUUUUUGAAGUCCCGGUUCUAAGCCAUAAAGUAUGGCGCACUAAACUAUCAAGUAGUCAUCAUGCCAAGCUUGUCAAACGUUCAUAACGUCUGCAUCUGCUCCUGUAAAAGGUCCAUCACCUAGCGGUGCAUCAAGGACAUAAUUCUCCUCUGCAACAAUGAGGAUAAUCCUCAGAUCAUGGAGCUACUCCGCAUCAUUGCUACUAACAUCUUUCAACAUAGUUUUCUCUAGGAACGCGUUAAAAUUCAAUGGAACAACGGGUCAUUUAUCUACAACAACACAGACAUGCAAAAUACUAUCAGGUACUAAGUUCAUUAUAAAUUAAAGUUCAAUUAAUCAUAUUAUUUAAGAACUCCCACUUAUAUAGACAUCCCUCUAAUCGUCUAAGUGAUCACGUGAUCCAUAUCAACUAAACCAUGUCCGAUCAUCACGUGAGAUGGAGUAGUUUUCAAGGGUGAACAUCACUAUGUUGAUCAUAUCUACUAUAUGAUUCACGCUCGACCUUUCGGUCUCAGCGUUCCGAGGCCAUAUCUGCAUAUGCUAGGCUCGUCAAGUUUAACCCGAGUAUUCUGCGUGUGCAAAACUGGCUUGCACCCGUUGUAUGUGAACGUAGAGCUUAUCACACCCGAUCAUCACAUGGUGUCUCGGCACGACGAACUGUAGCAACGGUGCAUACUCAAGGAGAACACUUGUACCUUGAAAUUUAGUGAGAGAUCAUCUUAUAAUGCUACCGCCGAACUAAGCAAAAUAAGAUGCAUAAAGGAUAAACAUCACAUGCAAUCAAAUAAGUAAUAUGAUAUGGCCAUCAUCAUCUUGUACCUUUUGAUUUCCAUCUCCAAAGUACUGUCAUGAUUACCAUCGUCACCGGCUUGACACCUUGAUCUCCAUCGAAGCAUCAUUGUCGUCUAGCCAACUAUUGCUUCCACGACUAUCGCCACCGCUUAGUGAUAAAGUAAAGCAAUUGCAUGGCGAUUGCAUUUCAUACAAUAAAGCGACAACCAUAUGGCUCCUACCAGUUGCCGAUAACUAUGUUACAAAACAUGAUCAUCUCAUACAACAAUUUAUAUAAUCACGUCUUGACCAUACCACAUCACAACAUGCCCUGCAAAAACAAGUUAGACGUCCUCUACUUUGUUGUUGCAAGUUUUACGUGGCUGCUACGGGCUUCUAGCAAGAACCGUUCUUACCUACGCAUCAAAACCACAACGUAGAAUAGUGAUUGUUUUUUGAUCUUCAAAAAGAACCCUGUUCAUUGGAACCGAUUUAACUAAAGUUGGAGAAACAGACACCCACUAGCCAGUUGUGUGCGAAGCACGUCGGUAGAACCAGUCUCACAUAAGCAUAGGCAUAAUGUCGGUAUGAGCCGCUUCAUCCAACAAUACCGCUGAAUCAAGAAUCAACUAGUGACGGCAAGCAAUAUGUAUAUACUCACGCCCACAACUCCUUUAUGUUCUACUCGUGCAUAUAACAUCUACGCAUAGACCUGGCUCAGAUGCCACGGUUGGGGAACGUAGUAUUUCAAAAAAAAUCUACGCACACGCAAGAUCCAUCUAGAUGAUGCAUAGCAACGAGCGGGGAGAGUGUGUCCACGUACCCUCGUAGACCGAAAGCGGAAGCAUUUAGUAACGCGGUUGAUGUAGUCGAACGUCUUCGGAUCCAACCGAUCCAAGUACCGAACGCACGGAACCUCCGCGAUCUGCACACGUUCAGCUCGAUGACGUCCCUCGUACUCUUGAUCCAGCUGAGGCCGAGAGAGAGUUUCGUUAGCAUGAUGGCGUGAUGACGGUGAUGAUGUAGUUACCGACGCAGGGCUUCGCCUAAGCACUACAACGAUAUGACCGAGGUGGAAAUCUGUGGAGGGGGGCACCGCACAUGGCUAAAAGAUCAACUUGUGUGUCUAUGGGGUGCCCCCUCCCCCGUAUAUAAAGGAGGGGAGGAGGGGAGGGCCGGCCCUCUCUAUGGCGCGCCCAAGGGGGAGUCCUACUCCCAGUAGGAGUAGGUUUCCCCCCUCCCUAGUUGGAGUAGGAGAAGAAGGAAGAGGGAGAGAGAGGGAAGGAAAGGGGGGGCCGGCCCCCCACCCAAUUUGGAUUGGGCUUGGGUGGGGGCGCCCUCCACCUGGCCUCCUCCUCCUCCCACUAAGGCCCAAUAAGGCCCAUUGACUCCCCGAGGGUUCCGGUAACCCCCUGGUACUCCGGUAAAUGCCCGAACUCGUCUGGAACCAUUCCGAUGUCCAAACAUAGCCUUCCAAUAUAUCGAUAUUUAUGUCUCGACCAUUUCGAGACUCCUCGUCAUGUCCGUGAUCACAUCCGGGACUCCGAACUACCUUCGGUACAUCAAAACACAUAAACUCGUAAUAUCGAUCGUCAUUGAACAUUAAGCGUGCGGAUCCUAUGGGUUCGAGAACUAUGUAGACAUGACCGAGACUCACUUCUGGUCAAUAACUAAUAGCGGAACCCAGAUGCUCAUAUUGGUUCUUACAUAUUCUAUGAAGAUCUUUAUCGGUCAAACCGCAUAACAACAUACGUUGUUCCCUUUGUCAUUAGUAUGUUACUUGCUCGAGAUUCGAUCGUCGGUAUCUCAAUACCUAGUUCAAUCUCGUUACCGGCAAGUCUCUUUACUCGUUCCUUAAUGCAUCAUCCCGCAACUAACUCAUUAGUCACAUUGCUUGCAAGGCUUAUAGUGAUGUGCAUUACCGAGAGGGCCCAAAGAUACCUCUCCGACAAUCGGAGUGACAAAUCCUAAUCUCGAUCUAUGCCAACUCAACAAACACCAUCGGAGACACCUGCAGAGCAUUUUUAUAAUCACCCAGUUACGUUGUGACGUUUGAUAGCACACUAAGUUUUCCUCCGGUAUUCGGGAGUUGCAUAAUCUCAUAAUCAUAGGAACAUGUAUAAGUUAUGAAGAAAGCAAUAGCAAUAAACUAAAUGAUCAUAGUGCUAAGCUAACGGAUGGGUCAAGUCAAUCACAUCAUUCUCUAAUGAUGUGAUCCCGUUCAUCAAAUGACAACUCUUGUCCAUGGCUAGGAAACUUAACCAUCUUUGAUUAACGAGCUAGUCAAGUAGAGGCAUACUGGUGACACUCUGUUUGUCUAUGUAUUCACACAUGUACUAAGUUUCUGGUUUAAUACAAUUCUAGCAUGAAUAAUAAACAUUUAUUAUGAUAUAAGGAAAUAUAAAUAAUAACUUUAUUAUUGCCUCUAGGGCAUAUUUCCUUCAGUAGCAGGACGAGAUCCUGUUGCAAUCAUUCGGGCAACAAAAGAAGCAAUAGCUUUGCUACAACUUCCUAGGAAGGCGGCUAUGGUUCUGCCAGGUUUUGGAUGGCGACCACCCGAUGCGGGUGUUGUUAAAAUCAGCACGGGCGGAGCUCUGAACUUGGCUGAUGGACGAGGGGAUGCAGGUGGUGUCACUCGUUCGAAUACAGCGUUCCUAGGAGCAUGGAGUAAACCAUACUUAGGGGUGUCUGAUCCCCUGAUUAUUGAGGCUUUUGCGCUGCAAGGAGUUCGCUUGGCCACACUUCAAGGCUUCCUGCACGUCAUAAAUGGAGGUAGGCUGCCUGGAGCUGGUGACGCUCUGGAGAACUCGCUACAAUUCCCGUUCUAUUGUGGCUCCAAUCUUAUUAGAAAUAGGAGAGCUUAUUAGUUUUUUCGCUUCCUUUGAUCUACAACAUGUAAACAGGGCAGCUAACGUGCCGACUCAUCUUUGUGCAAAACAUGCAUGCACCUUGAAUGUGACUGAAACUUGGUUGGCUGAGACCCCUAGCUUCCUUGUGACCAACCUUCUGGCUGAUUGUCCGGGGAAUGCUCUUAUCUGAAUAAAGCUCUCUGAUUUGCCUGCAAAAAAAAGACGUGCAGUCAGGAGCUAACCUACUAGAAUGUUUAUACUCCCGUUGCAACGCACGGGCAAUUGUCUAGUAUCAUAAAAAGGGUGUGUUAUAGGUUUUGGGUGAGUCUUGAUGCAGAAGAUUGAAAAGACAAGGGGUUUAUUUAUCUAUUUAUCAUUUAACAAAAUAGUGAAAUCUGAUAUCUAAAUUAAUUAUUUAGGUAAUACAAUAUGAUGAUGGAAUGUUUAUAAUAUGCACAUGAUGCACAAACAAUAUAAUAGGCUAAUAUAUAUAUGGUAUUACUCGAGGGUUGUUACAAUCGUGACCACUAGUGUCACUAUAGGGGAUUCCCAACCAGGCUAGAAAUUUUGUCGACGAUGCUGCACAUCCAUGUCCUCUGCCUCAAGCCGUCGUUUGUAGAUCUCACUCGGGAGCAACGCCACCAAGCACGGGAUCAGGCCCGAUCUGUGUGGUCGCAACGACGGCACAACAUAGCUAGAUUUGGGCCACAAGCCUUGCCACCCCCAACACAGCCCGCCGCCGGCAGCUGUCGUCGGCUAAGCCCCUCCAGCACAACCUCCCGCCACCACGCCGCCUAGAGCCACUGCCCGCGCCACUCCUGUUUGGGGUUAGUCGGUUUCCCUAUUGGACUUGCAAUUCUCCUCUUUUUAGGUGAUUUCUCCUUUUAGUCUUUAUGGGCAUUUUCUUGAUGUUGGGUGAGUGUAAAUGUAUACACAUAAGUACUAUACGGUAUGUGUGCAAAUUAUACUAGAUUUUGAAAAUUGCACUAUUAUAUGUUUAUUCUUUGCAUAUUAAAAGGUGCAAUUUAAGUGCAAAGUUCUGUGCGCAUUUUUUUAAAUAAAUCUUAAAGGGUAAUACCAAUGCUACUAUUUCAUUCUUUCUGACAUAAACAUGGGUAAAUCAGCUUUUACCCACUGCAUCGCCAGCUUGGGAAAACUUGGAGAGCUAUACCGCAGUGAGAAGGGACUCAAGGUUCUGAAAUCCGACCUCCUGUCUGUCCCGACUGUAACGAUUUCCGAAGCAACCCGCUUCGCGCUCUGGACGAAAUGGGUGACCAGCAUCGAUGAAGAACUGGAUAGUCCGGUACCCAAGGAGCACAGUGAGCUGUUCAACCAGUGGGAUGUCAUUUCAGGCUCCGUGGCACAAAACAAACCUUGGCGCGGGAUUAAGGUAACUGAUCUGAUGACGAAGCUCGCAGUUCUGAAGAGAACUGUCCAUAUCAAACCUGAAAAAGUGAAGUGGGCGUCUUCUGCAAGUUCUUCGGAAAAGAAGUGAUGCUGAGGUUAGCAUUGUCAGAUAUAUGACGGAAUGAAUCUUCACUCAUUAUGUUUAAUUAUGCCUCUUUUCUAUAAUUAAGUACAAUAUAACUUGAGACUUUUUAUUAGCCUCCUUAUAGUCAAGUAUAAUGCUAGUAUGACUUGAGACUUUUGAUGGCCUCCCCUUUUUGUUACCUUUGAAUGAUCUUAGCAUAUGAAGCAAACAAGUGCAUCAAAUUACAGCAAACAACGGGAUUUUCCUCCAAGAAGAAAGAUACUCAUGUCACUAAUACCAAACAUCCAGCAAGCACAAUUCUAAUACUCCCUCUGUUCACUUUUUUAAGUCGUUUCAGACAAGUGAAAUUGAGCUGUUUUGCAUAAUGUCUGAAACAUCUACAAAGCCUUAUAAAAAUGAACGGAGGGAGUACCAAACAUUCAGUGAGCACAACUCUUACAACUUGGUAAGAUGAGAGGAAGAGGCUGCUACCUGGCUACAGGGACACGUCCUCCCACGUCACACAGACAAGGGGCAACAAUCACCAUCAUCAACCACUGUAAUUCAGCGAACCGUAACGCUCGGUCCAAGAGAGGUUCCUCUUUGGGUUAUAUUUGGCACCCAUCGGUCUUGUGAGGAUGGCAGUCCAUGUAACCUUCACUUUUAGCUCAUAGGAACCGUGAGUGCAAACAUGCUCUUCAUCAGGGUGCUGUAGAGUAACAUGAGUGCCUUCAUCCUCAUCAUUAUCAAAAAUACAAACAUGGACCAAAAACUCUUCAUCGUCGUCCCAUGUAGGUAUAGGGAUAACUACCAAAUUACGACUCAAGGGAAUGGAGGCAUCAUCUCCGACUAAUAUCCCGCUGCAACUCAUUGCUCUACCAUCAUAUAGAAUAAUAUGGGUCUCGGCAUUUCUAGUCCCAGCAGAUACUUUGCCAACGAAAGGGGCAUAGGGCGGACCAUUAAGAAUGUUGAUUUGGAGGCUAGCCGCCACCGGAUGUUUAACAGGUGCAAAUACUAAUUCCACUCUAUUGAGCCAACUAGGUAGCAUCAUAGUUAUGGGUCCAGUGUCAAAGGUGCGGGACUCGAUUACGCCUUUGCUAAAGUCUUCAUCGUCAGGAUCACCCUUCACCUUCAGGUUGAACUCAAAAUGUAUAUUAUCAAAUGCUACUAAUCCUCGACGUGGACCUGUCAAUGCUAACAUAUCCUC